UAUCGAGUGGACUUGCUUACUAGACAGAUAUCGUCACCAGAUGUUGAUUGGAGUUAUGGCGAACCCACGGAGAUGUUGUCUCCAAGAAAUUCUGAAGGUUUAUCGGACGAAAUGGGAGAGAGCAGUGGUGCUUAUAUCGUCCGUAUACCUUUUGGACCAAGAGAUAAGUAUGUUCCGAAGGAACUUUUAUGGCCCCACAUCCGUGAAUUUGUUGACGGUGCACUCAGCCAUGUAAUACAAAUGUCAAAAGUCCUAGGAGAGCAAGUUGGCGGUGGCCAACCAGUGUGGCCUGUUGCCAUCCAUGGUCACUAUGCUGAUGCUGGGGAUUCCGCUGCUCUUCUAUCUGGGGCUCUUAACGUACCAAUGCUAUUUACUGGUCACUCACUUGGUCGAGAUAAGUUGGAACAACUCCUCAAGCAAGGCCGUCUGUCCAGGGAUGAAAUCAAUACGACAUACAAGAUAAUGCGCCGAAUAGAGGCAGAAGAACUGUCCCUUGAUUCCUCUGAGAUAGUGAUAACUAGUACUAGGCAGGAGAUUGAUGAGCAAUGGCGCUUGUAUAAUGCUUUUGAUCCGAUAUUGGAGAAGAAGCUACGAGCAAGGAUAAAGCGCAAUGUAAGCUGUUAUGGAAAGUUCAUGCCGCGCAUGGCUGUAAGUAUUAUAAACUCCUUUUUUCUCUCCUCUUCUGGCAUAACUCUCUCAUUCUUUACUGUUGUUUAUUGCAUGAUGGAUGUGACAAUCUUUCACGCACCUUUUAUUUCCAUGCCCGUUUAAAACUGGCUUACUAAUGCUCAAACGGUUCUUCAGUGAACUAUGCAAAUUAAUCAUUACCUACAUUCUGCUCGGGUGCUUUGUAAUUGAUCGUUGACGAGAGAAAAGUAAAUGAGCAGCAUGCUUUAUAUAUACAUAUACAUAUAUGAUAUUUUGUGCAUGUGUAGAUAUUGUUAUUGUUGAUGAUGCUGUACCAUAAGGUGGACUAAACAAUUCUGGGGCACCAAUUCAGAUAAUACCUCCAGGAAUGGAAUUUCACAAUAUUGCUCCACAAGAUGGUGAUAUGGAUGGGGAGAUGGAAGGAAAUGAUGAUCAUCCUACUACCCAAGAUCCACCUAUUUGGACUGAGGUUCGUUGCUAAUUUGUUUGAAAAAGCUAAGAUUUUGAAGAAUGGCUCAAGUUAAAGCUUCUUCCAGCACAUGCAUCGGCAUGGACUCACUUUCGAUUUGUAAUAAUGCAGAUAAUGCGAUUUUUCAAUAACCCUCGGAAGCCCAUGAUACUAGCACUUGCAAGGCCAGACCCCAAGAAGAACAUCACGACACUGGUCAAAGCAUUUGGAGAAUGCCGACCAUUACAAGAACUGGCUAAUCUGGUAAUAUAGUCUAAGAUCAUUACCAUUGUAUUUGUUUGGUAAAGUAUCUUCUCGGUAUGCUUAUGAGACCGCGAAGAGUAUGGUAACCUCAUUUAGCACUUUGUUAUACAGACUCUCAUUAUGGGUAAUCGAGAUGGCAUUGAUGAAAUGUCAAGCACAAGUUCUUCUGUUCUCCUGUCUGUGCUGAAGCUUAUUGACAAAUAUGAUCUUUAUGGGCAAGUGGCAUAUCCUAAACACCACAAACAGUCUGAUGUUCCCGAUAUAUAUCGGCUAGCUGCAAAAACAAAGGUAACUUUGGAGUAUUGUGCUAAACAAGUUGCCUGUGAGAAUACAGUUGUUCAUUUUCCCAAGAGAGCUGUUGCAUCUUACAGAUAGUUUUUUUUUUUAUUUUUAUGUACGUUUCUUUGAUACAGACAUCUUGCAGACCAUUUGCUUAGAACAUACACUAGAACAAGCAACCCCAUUUUGAUUACUUAAGUCAGCCAUAUUUGUUCUAUAUCAUGUUGUGCAGUUAUUGUUUUGAUUUAGUCAAAGAUUAUAUGCUGCACUCUACACAUGCCAGUGCCCACUUGCAUGCAUGUGUGCAAUUUUCUGCUGAAUGACUUUUGAUCUGAUUUUUUUCAGGGUGUUUUCAUCAAUCCAGCUUUCAUUGAACCAUUUGGGCUUACCUUAAUAGAGGUGAGCAUUACUUUGUGAAGUGUUGAUCUUUUCAAGUCAUUAUAUGAUAAGAGUACUCCCUCUUUUGUCACAGGCAGCAGCUCAUGGUUUGCCGAUGGUUGCCACAAAAAAUGGAGGUCCUGUUGAUAUACACAGGGUAUGCCUCAUCAAUCAGAAGCUUUUAAACAAUUUUUCUAUGAAUAUAUAAUAUUAUUCUUGGUAUUAGAUCUCCAGAUCCAAACUGACUGACAUGAACAAAAAGUGCAGGUUCUUGACAAUGGCCUUCUUAUUGAUCCCCAUGAUCAGCGGUCGAUUGCUGACGCUCUUCUGAAGUUGGUGGCAGAUAAACAUCUCUGGGCUAGGUGCCGGCAGAAUGGACUGAAGAAUAUUCACCUAUUUUCAUGGCCAGAGCAUUGCAAGACUUAUCUCUCUCGGAUAGCAAGUUGCAAGCCCAGGCAUCCACAGUGGCAAAGAAGUGAGGAUGGUCUUGGAAAUUCAGAAUCUGAUUCGCCAAGUGAUUCUUUGAGGGAUAUCCAGGAUCUGUCCCUAAAUUUGAAGUUCUCAUUGGACGGGGAGAAGAAUGACGCUAGUGGAAAUGAGAAUUCUGUAGGAUCUGAAGAGAAUUCAGCAGAUAGAAAAAAUAAGUUAGAGAAUGCUGUAAUGACAUGGUCCAAAGGUGUUUUAAAGGAUAAGAAGACGGGAUUAGUGGAGAAAUCUGAUCCGAAUGCCAAUUCUUCCAAAUUUCCACCCCUGAGGAGGAGAAAGCACAUCUUUGUCCUUGCUGUGGACUGUGAUUCGCUGACAGAUCUUCUUGAAAUCAUACAAAAGGUUUUCUCUUCUGUGGAGAAUGAGAGGAAUGAAGGCUCCAUCGGAUUUAUACUGUCAACGUCUUUGACGAUGUCUGAGGUUCACAGUUUUCUAGUUUCUGGGGGUUUGAGUCCUAAUGAUUUCGAUGCAUUUAUCUGCAACAGUGGUAGUGAUCUCUACUAUCCAUCUCUCAAUUCUGAGAACCGUCCAUUUGUGAUCGACUUCUACUACCAUUCACACAUUGAAUAUCGAUGGGGUGGCGAAGGGUUAAGGAAGACUUUGGUUCGUUGGGCAACUAAUAUUAAUGACAAGAGGGCUGAAAAUGAAGCCCAGAUUGUCACUCUGGCAGAGAAGCUCUCCACUGACUACUGCUACACCUUCAAAGUGGAAAAGCUGGGAAUGGUACACCUUAUCUCUUUGUAACUCUGUUUUUAAUGGGAUGGUCAUUGCAAGUUUUUGUUGAUACAGAUGAGGGGAAUCUGGGAUUUUGCUGAUUUCUGUCACUGUCCUAUAAUUCUGGUUGAAAUCGGUGAGAGCCUCUGACUGUUGGUCCUGCAGGUUCCCCCGGUUAAGGAAGUGCGGAAGAUGAUGAGAAUUCAGGCUUUACGUUCGCAUGCUGUUUAUUGCCAAAAUUGGACCAGGCUGAAUGUCAUUCCAGUUCUGGCAUCUCGUGCCCAAGCACUUAGGUAUUGCUUUUCCUAUUGUCAUGGAUGACCUGAAAAUAUCUGAUAGAAAUAAGUGCAUUUGGUCAAAAUAUCAUACUGGUUUAAAUUAGGUUGCAAGCAUUUGUUUUGUUUGAAACAUGCACAUUCGAGUCUUAUUGUCCUCUAAGAUAUGGAUGUGAUGAGCAUGGCUUAAAUCCAAAUAAUGGCACCUAAUAGUCUAGCUACAAUGCUCUGGUAAAGAUUGUCAUAAAACCACAGAACCGUGUAAAGAUGAUUCAUUGAACAUCAAUGACCAAUGACUAGAGAGUUAAGGUAUAUGGGAAGGGAAAUGCCUUCUACAGACCAAGAAACACGAAGCAAAUUUUGCAAUUUGCUAAAGUUUUGGUAGCUGUAAGAAACGUCACGCGGAUUUGGGAAACAUAUGGAGUUCUGCAACCAAGCUCUUUUACGUGGAACUGCAUGUAGCAUGCCUGAUCUCCAUAUUUCCAAUGUCCCCUGAGAAUUUACUUGUGUUGUAACAUCAAUUGAUAAGAGUACUAAACAUGGUCAUAAAUGGAUGUUACCUGUAACAGGCACAAAGAUAGUGACUAGGCUUCGAUAAAACUGCUCUGGCCAUACUUAACUCUACAAUUACAUUUUCUCUCAGAAUGCACAGCGUCUCCUUGUACUCUGUUGUAGAGAUGUCCAUUAUUUGCAUCAUGCUUGACUCGCUCUAAAUUGACCUAAAAAUAUUUCUUGUAGGUACUUGUAUGUGCGAUGGGGAGUCGACCUAUCAAAGAUGGUGGUUUUUGUUGGAGAAUGUGGUGACACAGAUUACGAAGGAUUGCUCGGAGGGUUGCACAAGAGUGUUAUACUUAAGGGUGUUUGUGGCAGCGCCAGCAAUCAAUUCCAUGCCAACAGAAACUAUCCUCUUUCAGAUGUAAUGCCCUUUGACAGCGCAAACAUCGUUCAGACACCUCAAGACUGCAGCAGCGAUGACAUUCGGGCUUCUCUGGAGAAUUUAGGAGUCUUGAAAGAGUGAAAGAUUCUUCUCCAUGACCUGUUCUAAACUUUAUCACAGGAGGUACUCGUCGUCAUCCCUCACAGCUUGACAUUCAUUCCUUUGCUCUUCUUUCAAGAUGCAUUCCCACAUAGCUGUUCUCUUACUCGAUGAUGAAGCCUCCUACUGCUGGAAUCCGAGCUGUUUUUGUUUCGUUGUUUGCGUCGAAAAGUCCAUCGUCUACUUUUCCUUUCAUUCAUUUCCUUCGGUCACGGGAUCUUGAGAAGGUGAGUAUCUCGCUGUUACUUGUAUAUUAGUGCCGGUGCAUCUUCUGAUGCUCUUCUUUUGGACGUUAAAACUGGUGGAUAUUGCCAUCUCCCAAGCUGUUCCAAUGUAUCUAAGGAGGAACAUGAUGUAUAUACAUAAGUGGCCCUCUCCCCUCCUCCCCCUCUCUCGCACGCGCGCAUGCCCACGUGCAGCUCAAAGCUUGACCAAACAGUGGCAUAUAAAUAUCCACAUGUACUCUCCUGUCCUGGGAUUCGUUUCGUUUGUUAACGGGCCGUAUCAUUCUGUAUAUAUAAAUUACAUGAACAGAGAUCGUCGUGAGUCAAUACCAGUGAACUGAUCCCGACGGGUGAUUGAUCCUUGUGUUAGAAUGAUGGCGUACCUAUCCACAGGAUCCCUAACGUAUUUUCCCCCGUUUGCUCUAUUUAACUCAACGGGACUGGUUUCGGUGAAUCAAGGAGUCGAUCUCCGUGUUGUUUGAUCGCAUGUUGUAAGUCCAAUUCACAUCGCCGUAUGCAACGGAUCUCAUUUCCGGGCUGUUCAUUUGAUUCAUCCGACUUCUUUCGCGUGACCUGUGAGGUUAGUAUGAUGCCGGUCGGGUACCACCUCUUGGGGCCUCAUAAUAGAUAAUAUGAUGCAUUUCUUUCCCGUACAUAAAAAUGGCGUUAAGUCGUUUAUUAGCAAAGAGAAAGUUGAAUGGCGUUAAGUCGUUUAUUAGCAAAGAGAAAGAUCAUCAAUUGUGUGGCAUUGGUUCGUCUUUUUAAAGUUUAAUUGAUGUUGCAUUUUGGUAAAAAAAAGGUAGAUGAACUAUUUUGAAGAGAAGUAUCCACAUAUAAUUAAAUUUAUUGUAUGAUGGUCAAUUUAAUCUUAAAUAUUUAAAUUUUAGCCAAUUUAGUUUUUAACUUUGAUGAUUUGUCAAUUGUUAAUAUAGUCUAUCCGGCUGUUGGAAUUCGCUGACAUGAACAAUUUUUUUUUAAUUAAAAUUUUAUUUAUUUCUCUCUGAGUAUUGCGGCCUUUGCCAAGUCUAAGCUGGGCCAAUGAGCCCUCAUUGUGGCACACAAGGGUAUUGUAAUGCCUGCAAGGGUUAUUGUAAUGCCUGCAAGGGAUACUCCUAGCCCAUGGUUGGCGAUUAGCCAAGGAAAAUAGAAUAAACAGAAAAAAGAAAAAGGCAAGAAAAAGGAAAAAGAAAAUUCUGGUCAAUCGUCUUUUUGAUUGUGUCAUGCAAGACCCUAGCGUUUACACCGGCGAUUUCUGGUCAAUUUAUAAAAUUGAUCGAAAUUAGCCAAAUUAAAAUACUUAUGAUCGAAUUUUUGCUAUUGCAUGAUAGAUUUAAGGCUUUUUGAACGAUUAUCUUGACAUUUUACAAUGUAAAGUUUGAAAUGUUACAUGUUUUGGGCUUUGAGGAAAGCAUAUAAUGGAGGACAUAUGGGAUAUCGAGGAAAGCAGAUAAUGGAGCUCAUUUAUACUCGUGAUCAAUGACUAUCCCUCCCUUAAUCUCUCUAUUAAGGGUGGGUUUUGUAAUCAUUCUAUUUUUGGAAACAAUUUUUGUUCAUAAAUGAUUUUUUUUUUAUUUUGUUCUGGGGGACAAUUUUUGAGUUCUUAAAAGUGUUUGGUUAGCGUUCGAGGAUAAAAAUAUGUUUGAUAGGAUUUUUAUUUUUUUUUAUUUCUUUUAAUAUUUUAAUAAUUUUAUUAUAUAAUUUUAUUUUUUAUUUUUCCUUUCUCUUUAUUCCUCCUCCUUUAUGGCCGGUCACUAGCCAUGGUUGAGGCCAGUGACUGGCAAAAGGAAGAAGAGGAAAAGGAAAGAGAAGUAAAGAGAAGAGAAAAGAAAAAAAAAUAGAUUUGAUUUUAGGAACCGCUCUUGGAAAUAAGAAGUAAUUUUUUUUUUUGCUUCUUGAUUCUAUUCCAAAUUUAUUUCUGAGAACAAAAAAACGGAUUUUUGUUAUCGGAAACAAAAAAAUUUACUAAACGGAUUUUUAUUCUUUUUUUGUUCAAAGAAUAAAAAAAUAGAAUCAGUUGUUCUUGAGAAUGUCAUUAACUAGAAACCUCCCAACAUUUCCUAGAAUCUAACUUGGAACCUAAUGAGAUCAAGCAGAAAAACCAAUUGAAAGAGCGACAGAAGUACGAAACCUAACAAAUCGAAAACCAUCAACCUAGAAUCCAACCCAAAAUUUGAACCCUAAGCGAAAGAGUUGAGCUCUUGGAAGUUAAAAUGAAUGAGAAUCUAUUUGCAAUGUAUAAAUAUAGAAAGUAAUGCAUUAAAAAGAAUAUGCAUCUCCACCUAUACAUAAAAGCAAGUUCUUCUCCAUGACUCUAGAAAAUAUAAUUUCACAUAUAUAUAUAUAUAUAUUAAGGAAGAGAUAAGAAGCUUAUUUUAUAAUUUUUAUCCUCGAGGUGUGUUCUCCAAAUAUAAUCACAUUAUAAUCAACCAAGAGGCCUUUUUUAUAAUUAAUAAUUUGCAAAAGUGCAUUGCACACUGGCGGUGAGCAAAGAUUCGGGUAAAAUUGGAACCGGCUUGGUCGGCUCACGGAAAAUUGAUUUAGUUGAUUUUGAAAAUUUGGAAUCAACCAAGACUAGUAUGAUUCUCGAUUUAGGCCUUGGAAUCAGCAUUUCUACCACGAAAUGAGACCUACCAAGGUGUUAUCACAUAAAUGUAAAAAAUCGAUAAAUUAAGCAUUGACUUCUAAGUUGCAUAGUAUGAGUGCUGAAACUUCAGUGAAAUCUACUUGAUAUAACAUGAAUUUUAAGGACUGAAUUCAAUAUAGUUGUUUGAAGACGAAUACAGCUGAUUUUUAAAAAAAAAUAUUUUUACGAAAUUAUUUUUAUAAAAGAAAUAAUGCCGAAUGAUGUUACAUUGUUAAAAAUAGCCAUUAUAAAGUGAAUUGCCUUUUGAGAGCAUGACUUAUAAGAAUUUUAUACGCAAUCAUUUGAACAUUUUCGAAGUCCUCCUACCUAUCAAGACAGGCCCAUGAAACUUUUAUGAGGUAAAGAGAAAUAUUUUAUCUAGAGAAAAUUACACUUACGAUCAUAUAUGCUUUGCCAAAAAGUACAUAGUCUCAAACAUUUGAAAAUGUGCAAUAAAAUCAUAAGCGUUUAAAAUUCGGUACAAUCAAUUGCUUCGUCAAGUUUGUUGACAUGACAUGACAUCAUUGGCACAUAUAAAAGAAAAAUCAUGUUGAAUUUCUGAUGUGUCCCAUCAACUAGAGUUGUUGUGAAGGACUUGAUUUUAUCGAUUUAAAAUCUUUAGGAUUUGAUUAUGUAUAUUUUUAAACUGUGUACGACUUAUAUAUUGGAAUAAACAUUUAAAACUGUUAAUGUAAUUUUCCCUUUUAUGAAUUUCAAAGAUGCAUGUAAAUGUUUCAUUGCCAACAUGAAGGUUUGGACAACCAAAUAUAAUGCAAAAUCUCAAAGUGCAAUGACUAAUCACGACUGCAAUAGGUUAGUGGCAAUUCUCCACAAAGAAUUGGGUUAUCUUCUCGUGUUUUACUUGAUUUCUAGUCGACCUAAAUAGGCUAAAGACGACUCAUCGCAUAGAAUUUUCAUAAGGUUAAUUGAAUUAAAAUGAAAAUCUCUAUGUUAUGCGAGGUAAGGGUUUGGGAGAAUUCCCACUAAUUAAGGACCAUUGGCCCUCAACUCGACAUUACUUUUGAGCUCGUCAUUUCUCUAAAAGCUUGUCUGGGAAGGUUGUGAUGCGAUGUCUAGUGAAAGUGGGGAAUAGAGUUAAAAAAAAAGAUAAUGAUGUCGCCAAGUCCCUUAACAAUGAGUUCGUCAGCUAAGCUCAAAUUUACUUGUUCUUUAUUGUUAACUAGUUGCAUGGGAUAUGUUUGGGGCAAGACACAAGUUGUGAUCUUCAACGAUUUACAGGUUGGAACUAAUCUGAAAGUUCAUUGUAAAUCCAAGGACAAUGAUCUCAAGGGCCAAUAUAUGACAAGCCAUAGCUCAUCAUGAUUCUCCUUUCAACCCAAUUUCUUGGGACGUUAGUCUUUCGUAGCUUUGCACGACCCAGGGGAGUUUUCCCCCGAACCUUUUAUUUCCCUGAACCACGCCAGCGUGUUUCAGCCAGGAAGGCUUCAUGGGGAUCCAGACCAGUUCCUCUACCCCGUAAGGGGGGUGUGGAUGGGAGAACUAAUAGGGCCGGUAUAUUUUUAUCGAGACCCCGGACCUGGGCCUCUACCCAGACUUUUCUGGUGGUCAGAGCCUUUUAAGGACCUGCUCAGGUCCAACUGGGGCAUAUAUAUAUAUAUAGAAAAGAGACCAAAAAAGAUUGCUCUUUUUUGUGUCUUUGGAUAAUCUCGCCCAGAGGUCCUUGUAGGUUCAAUCCAAUCACCAAAAGAGCUGAUGGUUGCUUUCCAUGGAAUCCUCCAACACAAUUAAGGAGGAAACCUCUCAUCUAAAUGUACGAGAGAGAACGGUGAUGUUGUUACAGCUCCAUUACAAUUUAAAUGGACUAAGGAGCAUCUUAUUUAUCUUUUAAAUAGUUAUACGCACACACACACGUGUUUCUUCUAAUAUCCACAUCGCAUCGAUUUUGAUUGGCAUAUCUUUCUUCAUAGCGUUGUCUUUUCAUUUUUUGCCAUUCUAUUUGUACUUUUUAUUAUUAUUUAUUAUCGCUAUCAAAACGUCUCAAUCGUAGUCUUUUUUAAUUAAAAAAGAGGUUAAUAAGUGUCAAGCUUUGUCGGUUUCAAAAUUGUAAUGCCGAUAUCGUAUCAGCUGAGAAUUGUCAUGCAUAAAGCAGAACAGCAGGCCAAUCCACCUGGAAUGAACUAAUGGGUACUGCUGACAUGAAGACCAUGACAAAACUAUUAAACUCUAAUCUUCACAGACCGUAUAAUGUAUAAUUUCUCCGAAGGUAUCGAAAAUCAAGCCAGAAGAUGUCAGUUCUGUUGCAGCUAGCAAUAUCACCUGGAGGGAGGGGGGAGGGGGUGAAUCGGUGAUUUUAACAAUGCUUGGCAACUUAAUGCAAAAAAAAAAAGAAAAAGAAGAAGAAGUCAAAUUAAGUAUUAUCAUACCCGAUAUUUGGAGUCUGAAUAUUGAUAUGAUAGUGAUAUAAUGAUAUUCACUAGUGCGCAAAAUUUUAUUAAAAAUAACGAAUAAGAGUUGAGAGAAACAAGUUUGCAUACAAAAUUUCUAGAGAUUUUGCUUAUAGCAAGUCUAUGUCCACUCUCCCACGUUGACCUACUCUAAUCAAUUAAUGAGAAGUUAUGGUUGCAAACGUUGCUUAAACUCAAGCACUUCUCUUUGAAGUAGGUGUUGUUUACACUCAAACUGAUAGAACUCAGUUCCUACCACUUAAACAUACACUUAUAAUACUAUUUACAUCUCUCAAAAGAUUACAAUAAUAUACUUUUAGAAGACAAUUCAAAAUAUGUGAAGCUCUCUUGAAAAUUUGAAUUCUGCACUCUUGAUUUGUCUUGGCCUUCGGUGCCUUAAUCUUGUUUUAUACUUCUCACUAUCCGAACUUCCCAUUGGAUAAUCUUUGAGGAUCAAUUUCCAAUCCACCCGUUGGACAAUUGUUGGAGAAUAUUAGGUAGCCAUUGAGGUCAAACAAUAAGAGAUUCCGCCGAUUUGGUUGCCCAGGUUUCCAAAAAGGGAGUUUUUCAACUAUAGAAAGAAUUUUGACUUCGAAAUGAUUGCCAAUCAAUCAUGAUAUCUUGCGUGACUAAUAUGUUGCAAAGAUAAUCCAAGGAUAGAAGGUCAAUGAAUAUCUCCUUACGACCAAAUUACUAGCUGUGAGAAAUGAGAUUAGGUAUCUCAAAAUGAUGAACUUGAAGUUUGUGACAAGAUUGUUGUUCCAAGUAGAAAAGUGUUAUGAUGAUAUUCAGUGUCUGCUAAUAUUCAAGUGUAAGCUCUUACAAUAUCCAUGCAGUAACUUAGUUGAUAUCCAUUGGCUAGCCUUGCUGAUAUCGACAUUAUAACCUACUUCUAAUGAUAUGCAACUCUAGUUGUCUGGUGACAUCCAACUCCAGUUGUCAGGUGAUAUCCAUGUAUAUUGCCAAUCAUGGUUCUACCUUGUUGGUCAUCUAUAUAAAGUACUUCCAAGUUUUAUUGAACUCCUUAGUAGGCUUACCUCCUACCCAAGUAUCUUUAGCUUAUAAACACCUCUACGCCCAAUGUCUUGCUCAUGCUAUCAUCUAUAUAACGGCCUGUGCAACAUUUACUAGACUUACUCAACCAUUAAACACAUUAGUAGCCUUCGAUUAUUUUUUCAUCUUCAAAACAUCAGAAGAAAUUUUGCCAACUAGUUCAAAUUUCCUCAUAUCAACAUAAUCCAUUGAAUAUGUGUACACGGACUUUAUUGGUGCAAUUAGAAGUUAUAAACAACAUUUCCAUAGAACUUGAAAAGAGUUGUUACUAAGAUUUACUAACGGCCACCAACAGACCUUGUUCACAUUUUGUCUUAAGAGGUCUAGAAAUAUUCAUUUUAUAUCAGUCUUUUGGUAAGUUAAGAACUCUUCAGCAGAAGCAAUAUCGAGACAUCAAUGAAUAAUAUGAGAAAGGCUAACAAAGAAGUAAAAAGAGAAAAAUAAGAAAAUGGAACAUGGAAAAAUGAUAUUUACAGUCCCUCAAAAGUCCCCAAUCAGCGAAUCAAAGGGGAAAGUGUCCAAGAAGUCCUAAAUCUUUUGCAUUUAUGUCAAUUUAGUCUUAAGCCUUUUAUUUGUGUCAAUUUAGUUCUAAUUUUUUUCACUUUAUGCCAAUUCAAUCAUUUCAGACUAAUUUCAAUCGGAUUUUGCCGAUUAGGCACUGGUCGGCUGAUGUGGCACGAUUGGCUCUUGCAUGAACAACUUUUAAUAAUAUUUUAAUAUUUUUUGAAUUAUUUCAUUUCAUUUUCUUUCUCCUCCUCUUUCCUCCAGCUGGUCAUUGGACCUUGGCAACCGGCCAAAGGCGAUGGUAGGUGAGGUUGAGGUCGACCUUAUUGACCAUUGGUGAGGCUCAAGUCCUCGCCAAAGGCCCGCGAGGGUGGCCUCACGCUAGGCUGGCGAUGCUUGCCAAAGGUCGAUGAGGUUGACCUCGAUCUUGCUGGUCGUCGCCUUUGGUCGGUCGUCGAACCUUGGUGACCUACUGGAGGAAGGAGGAGGAGCAAGAAAAAAGAAAAAGAAAAAGAAAAAGAAAAAGAAAAAGAAGAAAAAAAGAAAAAAAGAAAAAAAGAAAAAAAGAAAAAAAUAUUAUUAAAAGUUGUCCACGUUAGCGUUAAUCGUGCCAUGUCAGCCGACCAGCGCCUAGUUAACAAAAUCCGGCCAAAAUUAGCCGGAAAAAACUGAAUUGGCACAAAGUGAAAAUGUUUAGGACUAAAUUGACAUCAAUAAAAGAUUUAUAACUAAAUUGACACAAAUAUAAAAAGUUUAGAACUUCUUGAACACUUUUCCCACGAGUCAAACGAUAUCUGUUUAAAAGUACCCGUGACUCCGUAGUAAGAACUAUUCCAUCAAGUGGACAUAAUGCAUGAGAAACCAGUAUCCUAUAGUUAACAAAGCCAGGUAUACAAAACCACACAUGUGCCAAAGGUAGUCUUAUUGGUUAGUGUUGAGCUACUGAAUGUAGUGGCGCUGGUAUAAAUUCUGUAGCGGGCUGAUGUAAGAAAGAAAAUAGCAUUAUCAAAUUGCGAAGCACCUUUGCGAUAUCCAUCAACUCAUCGAUUGCCCUCCCUUCGUGAUGAAAGAUUUCUUCAAGUUUUCCCAUAUCCCCACUCAACCUUUCCUCUGCUAGGGGUGAGUAACACAAACCAACCUAACCAGAAAUGGCCCGGACCAAAUCAGAUCGAUUGGUUCUGAGCGGUUCCCGAGAGCGUCAACCCGAUUUCAGAUUUCAUAAAAAUGAAACCGAUGAUUUUCGGUCCAGUCCCUGAUUCCAAGGGAGAGUUGACCAAUGAUAUUUAUUUAUUUAUUUCCCUCCCCUUCUCACAUGUCUUACUCUCCUCUCUCUUCCUUCCCUCUUCUCUCUCCUCUCAUCAUCCUGGUUCCACUUUGGUGUCUAACUGAUUUUUUUUGGCAAUUUCUUAUCCCCCAGCUUCCAUUAGUAAAGCUCAAUAGACUCAAUCUUGUUCACUGCUUCCUUGCCUCCCCUUAAAGAAAACUCAAAGUUGAACUUUGCCUCACGGCUUCUCGAAUUCAUAGGCUUUCCUCUUUUUUUUUUUUCCCUUCCCCAAAUUGUCGAAAAGUGUUCAUGACGAUCGAACUGAAAUUAGUAGUUUAAUCUCAAAGACAAAAAAUAUACCUGUCAUCCCUAGCAAAGCUCAGUUAUGAUAAUGCCUCGGAUAUGGCCAAGUGUUCACUGGAUGUCUUAUGUUCUUGUGCCCAAGAAUUAUUUGUAAAUCAAUCGAUUCCAUUGGAUGGCUUGGGAAUCGGAUUGGACUGGUCGGGAUACUUUUUAUAUGGAGGCGUAAUGAAAAGUAAUAGCAAGAUUGCUCCUAUAGAUUAUUAAUUACCAGUAGUUAUUAGGGUAGUACUUAUUAGGAAUUCAAGCAAAUAAUCAAGGAUAUGAUUUUUCAGGUUGUAAAAUACUAUACUCACCAGACCACUGACGGUAUCAAAUCAUUUUGAAGUAAGUAGCUUUCCCUUACUAAACCAAAAUAGUAAUUUUUCUAAUUCAAGUCAAGUGAGGGUCGCUUGGAUGUUAUCAAAAACAUCCAACCCCAUUUUAAUUGUUGAAUCUUUUGAUUUCAGCGCUUGAUGAUGUUAUUGAACCGCCCUUAAGUCGGUCCCUAGGUAGAACCGAUGAUUUCGAGCCGGUUUCAAAAUGGAACCGGCCCCAUAACAGAUUCAAGACGACCACAAAAUAAACAGGCUUAAUUUGGUCCAAUUAUAUUGAGAUCAUUAAUUAUCUUAAUUUAAAAAAAUCUCUACGUCAAGACUGAUCGAUUCUAGAAUUAAGUCAUUGUCAAUUCCACAUCCUGGAAGUUCCACCUCCAAAAUCGGACACCACGACGCUCCGUAUUGCACGCCUAGUAGUCGUAUAACCACGUUAAACGUGCAUCAUGGUCUAUAUCAGUGAACAUAUAGCCUUCUGUGCCCUUCUUUUUUUUUUAACUACUUCAAGAUUGAUUUAGGGACAAUUGUAAGGAGCUAUAAUUUGUUCAUGAUAAUGCAUUUGAGCCCCCGCAACUUUUCUCUUUUCCGUACUUUUAACCUCUAGAACUUGCAGCUCCGAUGCAUUCGAGUGUUUUCAUUGAUUCGGUCCAUUUUAAGUGGACAUAAAAUGGUCAUGUGGCUCAUUGUAUUAUAAGCCGAUUACUGCUCAAACCUAACGAAGCUAUCAAAGGUAUUAAGGCUGACAGGUACGAUUUAAAUUUUUAAUAUACGAAAGAGUAAAUACUUUUUAAAAAAAAAGCCCCCAAACUAUGUCUAUUGUUACAUAAAUACUCCGAAUUUGUUUUUGUGUUAUUAAAAAUCCUAAACUUGCUUAUAGUGACAAAAAUAUCCUCAUUUUUUUUGUCAUAAAAAAUCCUGAACUUAUAUCAAUAGAGCUGAGAUAGAGGGUAAGUUUGGGCUUUUUGUGACAAAAAAAAUUUGGAGUAUUUGUUUCAUAGGAUUUGUGAUGCGGUUUUUGACUCAUAUCGUGACAGCUCUCUCUCUUUUCUGAUCCUACAGUCACGCACUUCAUUCAUGAAGACGCUCUCUCUUUUUGCGCCUACAGUCACGCACUUCAUUCAUGUAGACUCUCUAUUUCUGCUCCUAGAAUUACGCAUUUCAUUCAUGGAGACUUCCAGCACCGGGCAUCCGAUGACUUUGGUUUGAACCGGAAGGCAGCAAGCCCGAAAAGCUUUCUUAAUCCAAGAGACUCCCUAAAAUAAUAGUGGCUUGAACGACAAAUAAGGUUUGAGAAGCUCUUUCCCUAAGUUCUCUCCAAAGAAAAAUAUUCAUUGACUUGACUGGGGCACAAGCUUCAUCUUAAAUGCUAGCCAAGCUCAACAUGUGAAGCCCCUAGAAGUUACCGCUCGAGGAAAUAGACUAAUUGCAAACUCUCACGUUCUUCAUUGACUUCAAAUUCAUCACAAAUCUCGACUCCAACCUCAACAAGAGGAGAAACAGACAUUUGGCUGUACGCGUUUAAGCAUCAUAAUUUUUUUAUUAAGCAUAGUGAAUAUGAGAAGUAGUCUGUCUUCGUUGCAUGUGGCUCGUUGAUCGAUACAAAUACAAUAAUCAUCACAAGAGAUGAAAGCACUUUAUACAGAAAAGUGACGUUGAGUACAUCAAUCGAGUCCUAGGAAUAAUUGGAUUUUGCUCAGCCUUGAUUAUGCAUGACACAAGAAAAUAAGUAGUAUGUUGGAAAAUCGCAAAAUUUCUUUAAUUUGUUGCUUAACAAAAUUCAUACCAACAUAGCUCAAGGAUAUUGGAUAUUUUAAAUCUGAUUUACAGAGCCGACAUAUUAAGCAAUGCGGUAGACAAAAGGAGAGGAGCAACAGACUCGUAAAUUAGAUCAUAUGAUACUAAGAUGCAGCCUAUGUCAACUACAUCCAAUUAUAAUUUAACUAAUGGUUUAUACAUAUGAGUUUCAGUCAUAUUUAUAAUGAGUUAACUUUUCAUGUAAGUGAUGUUAAUAAUUUGUAAUCCACCAAUUAAAGAUAUUGUUUAGAAAAAUUGUAGAAAACUAUAGACCCUAAAUUCAAGUUACACCUUGAAGUUGCAGUUGAAAGUCAAAUUAGGAUCUUGCUUACUUGAUGCUCACGUAUAUAUAGAUACAUAUGUGAUCUUACCUUCUCUUCAUUGCUCAUGUUGAGAAGAGAUGGCAUCCACUGACUUCCCUUACGCUCAAUGCUCUCUUAUUCCAGCAAUUUGUCUCCUCCUUUUGAUCUUUCUCUGUUAUUCUCCUUUCGAUGCUAAACUUAACAAUCCCAUCUUUUCUCUCUCUUCCUCUUCCACUUCACCUGAGACCAACAACCACACAGGAACACCUUCAGUUUUAGUAAAUGGGCCUCGUUCAACCUUAAUGUACCAAAGCAGAUCCAGACACAACACCAACAAAAUCAAAGUGAGUAUCGUCAUCACUCAUGCUGUAUUAGUAACUAACAAUAAUCCCUUUUACUUGAUUUCAUUCUGUACUUUUUCGGGUGAUAGUAACUUGGCAAUGUUUUUCCUGAUCUGUGGGGAAGAAGAGUAAUUUGGAAAAGAUCGAAGAUGACUUAGCCCAAGCCCGCGCAGCAAUCAGGAAAGCCAUUCGGUCCCGGAGCUAUGUUUCCGAUGGGAAAGAGACCUUCAUACCCAGAGGAAAUGUGUAUAGAAACCCCUACGCUUUUUAUCAGUUAAGUUCUCCUUUGAGUUCACUUAAAGUUCAGAGUUUCUAUUUUUCACACGGUUGGUGUUAAUAUUAAUCGUGGUAGGUUUGUGUUCAGCGCAAGCAUGCAUGUGUUUCUGUAAGGGGCCAUGGAAUCAAAAUUUAGAUUACCUCACGUUAAUUUGAUUCGAAAUUGUACGCCUUAUAGUUUAUAGAUUCUAACACGAGUCUUAUUUCUUUCUUCGCCAUUUUUUGGACUUAAUUCUGGGCAGGAGCCACAUGGAGAUGAUGAAGAGGUUCAAGAUAUGGACGUACAGAGAAGGCGACCAUCCUUUGGUACAUUACGGGCCGGUGAACGACCUAUAUGCCAUUGAAGGACAGUUCAUCGACGAGAUGGAGGACAAGCGGAACCCAUUCAGGGCACACCAUCCCGACCAGGCACAUGCCUUCUUCCUUCCUUUCAGCGUGACCAACGUCGUCAGCUAUGUGUACCAACCGAUCCUCUCCAUCAAUGACUACAGGCGGGAUAGAUUACAGAGGUUCGUGCGUGAUUACGUUCACGUUGUUGCAGAUAGACAUGAGCAUUGGAACAGAAGCAAGGGCGCCGAUCAUUUUAUGUUCUCUUGCCAUGAUUGGGUAAGUAUAUUUCGUAAUUACGCUCCAAAAAGUUCUGCCAAAUCGUACAGGAGAUGGAAGGAUUAUGUGUUCAGUGUCCAAUUAAACCUGUCGAAUCCGCUGAAUAAUUGUGAUUUGAACUGGCCGAUCUGCUCGGGUUUACAAAGGACCAGUACUUUAGAUACUGCGUGGCUUUUAUAAUGCGAAAGGUGCCGUUAUGCUUUGCCUCAUUGAAUCGAUGAGAAUUCAAUGCAAGUAUAUUGAGAUUCUGCAGAAAACGAAGGUCGGCAAGUUAGAUUGGUUCUACUAGUGUCUUUAUAUCUGAGGACGGCAAGCGGAUGGAAUAUUAUACGAAAGCUUUCAUAGCAGGGUCAACCUGCAUUUAUUAUAACCGGCAAGUUAAAAAAAUCAAUUUCAUACUGGUCAGAAUUAUAAUUAUAUGGCGUGAAUUGUUUAAAAUAUUAAAUCGCAUAUUCAUUUGACAGUUUAAAUUUUUAGAAUAGUGAGCGGUCCCAUAAAAUGUUAUAUGACAUCAGAACAAGCAUCAAGAAUUCGAAUCAAGAUACUCCAUUAUAUUUUUCAACUGUUUGUUGUUUAUAUUAUUCUUCUUAUUUUCUUGUUUCAUGACUUGGGCAUGCCUGGAUCGGCUUACAUUUCAAUUGAUAGCUGCCAUUCAAAGUUUUAACAUGUGAUAAAACAUGUAAGUUCGUCUGACUCAAAAUAAUAGUUACAUGAACUCAUCAUAUGAAAGAUACGAUGGACAAAAUCAAUCAGAAUGUUUUUCAAAAGAUACAUAAAAAGUUAUUUUCUGCGAAAUUCACUACUCAUGACACAAAAAAGGAUCACUAUUCCACCCACUAUUUUGAAUAGAAAUUUCUGAAUAAUUGUUUGAUCCUAUUUCAUGUUCAUGUAGGCUCCUGACGUUUCAUCAGCGGACCCUGAGCUCUUCAAGAACUUCAUCAGAGUCCUCUGCAACGCCAACACCUCCGAAGGAUUCCGACCUGAGAGAGACAUCUCCAUGGCCGACAUCUAUUUAACCUACGGUGAGCUCGGCCCGCCUCGCUUAGGUCUUGACCCUCGCAACCGCUCAAUCCUUGCCUUUUUCGCCGGUGGAGCCCACGGUCACAUCCGAGAGCUCUUGCUCGAGCACUGGAAGGACAAGGACGCCGACGUCCAAGUGCACGAGUAUCUUCCCAAGGGCCAGAACUACACUCAGCUGAUGGGGAGGAGCAGGUACUGCCUGUGCCCGAGUGGGUUCGAAGUUGCGAGCUCAAGAAUCGUGGAGGCAAUCUAUGCGGAGUGCGUCCCGGUGAUCAUAAAGGACAGCUACUGGUUGCCGUUCAGUGACGUGCUCAAUUGGAGCAAGUUCUCGGUUCGAAUACCAGUGAACAGAAUAAAGGACAUCAAGACGAUUCUGGAGGCGAUCCCAUUUGAGAAGUACGUGAAGCUGCAGAAGCGGGUGGUGAAGGUUCGGCGGCACUUUGAGGUGCAUAGGCCGGCGAAACCGUUCGACGUGAUUCACAUGGCGCUCCACUCUGUGUGGCUGAGGCGGCUGAACAUAAAGCUGGAGGAAAGAGAUUAGUGAGUAGCUCUUUAUGUCCUGGUUCUUGCGUACAAACAAUUAAAAGGAGAUCAUGAAAGUUCGAUAUGCAGGAAAUAAUGAAAAUUGAGUUUACAUUAAAGUUGGCAAUAUCCGUCAUAAGAUAUCAGGAUCAAAAUCAAUGUACCCGGCUUCGAACCUGAGCUGAACAACCAGUUUCAUCAGGGACUCCGGUCUAUCAGAAAGGGGAAGGAAUAUAUAGUCCUAGCUAGCUGGUCACUGAAGCAGAUAUAACUCGACACUAUACCCUACGUGAGCAAUACUAACGUACCAAAGGUUGAUCUUGGACUGACGUUUGCCCGCCCCCAAGAAAGACGGCUGAUCAGCUGUAUUGCGGACCUCUGCUCACUUUCCUCAGGCCGCCGCAAAUUCCAGACUAGGAAAAUCUGCCUGACGUGUCCAACUCUCGCUUUGAGAUUUUCCGGACUACAUGUGCUUCUUGAUGCGUGCGUUUAGAGAUGUCAACAGGGAUCUUACGGAUGCUAAUGUGAUAUUCUGUUAUCAUGCAAUGUAAUCUGCCGCACUAUCUUCCAUCUGAACGUGACAAAGCAUCGGCAGCUUCGCGAAAUCUAUGCUUUAGGCGCAGAACGGGGACGUCAGGUCAAGUGGAAGAAGCUCAAGAAUCAGCAAGGCUAAAAGGUAGACUAGUAAUGACAUGGCGCUGUGAUAUGAACGCGGGGAAAGGGAUCAAUUGUUUUUCUUUAGAAUAUCCCAGAAAGAAUUUCAAAACCACAAGCAAAAUUCUAAAUUCCGAAGUGUGCAUUUGACAAUACUGCCGGUUCGCAGAAUCCUAAUUUCCGUGCCCAAAAAUACAGAUUUUUUUCGAUAUUCAUAAAUUUCAAUAAGUGUUUGUAAGCAUCUAAUAAAAAUUGGUAAAAAAGAAAAAAUUAAGCAUCGACAUUUCCCAAGUAGUUUGUUGGGGGUAGCAUGCCAACAUUUUUAUAAGAUUACCAACUUCUCUUAUGGUUUGCAAAUUAGCAAUUUUUGUACUAACUUACCAACACUUCAACUUUACCAACUCUAUGUGAAAUUACUAACUGAAACUCAUGAAAUUUGCUAACUUUUAUUUGAUGAAGUUAGCAAAUAGUUUUGAAUUCCAACUUUCAAUCGUGUUACUUAGCAACGUUUCUGUUUUUUACUAACUAGCAUCUAAACCAAUACUUGUUAGUAAACUAUUAGGGAAAAAACUGGUAAGUCACAUUGAUAAAUGUUGGUAAAUUCAUACGAGAGUCGACAAAUUCAAAGUAUUGCAAGAAAGAAAUAAAAGUUAGUAAAUAAUAACCAAAUUUAACAAAUUAAAGUACUAAACAAACUUCGACAAAAAAAAAAGAAGCCACCAGAUAAACAUGGUAUGUAACAUAAUUGACGGUUAGUAACCAAAAUUUACUUGGUAAUUUAAUUGGAAAAAUUGGCAAGUCGUUCAAGUAGAGACCGGUAAAUUCAUAUGGGAGUUGUAAAUUUAUAGCGGUAAGAAAGAAAAAUUCAAAAAUUAGAAAAGCUGAUGAUUUCUAUACCUUCAAAAAGAGUAAGCGAUUUCAUAGAAACGUCCAGAAGUAAUUCAGCAAAUAAGAUGACUAGCAUCUUUCCUCUCCAUUAAAUUAGCCUGAUCGCAGCCGUUUCCAAAAUUCUAUUUCGGGGUCUACAAAUUUCUCUGAUUCUAUCGGAUCUUAGUGAGGAACGGCUCGCAUCUUCAUGCACACGUCUCGCCAACUCCAAGGAACUUCCUGCUCGGCUGUACGCAGUUCAGUGCAAGUCGAGGUGGUCUAGUAACACGCUGACUUUGGUUUCAAGCGAAAGGCAGCGAGCUCGAAAAGUCCUUUCGUGAUCCAAGAGACUCGCUAAAUUCUAGGGAGGAUAUAGUGGCACGUGAGCAGUAAAAUAUAAUUUUAGUUCGACAAGUUGCUUCGCCGAAAUUCUCCUUGGAAAGCACAGAUUUUUUUUUUUCUUUGAGCAAACUUGGAAAGCACAGAUUAAGAUUUCGAAAAGUUAGCCACACGAGGAAGAAAAAUGAUUGGAAAAAUAUAACUACGAGUACACAGGCCACGGUUUACAAAAUAGAGGAACCAUAUGACGGGGCGAAAUACUAUUGAGUGUCGAAAUUGAUUCACUUAUUUAAAGGCUCUCUUGCAACUUACCUUAUCAAUUAAUAUAUCAAGUUUGUAAAUCUAUUUAGGACUUUGCUAGCAUAAUAGUUUUUUGGCUACUGCGAGGAUAAUGUUUUGUUGUGAGUCAUAAAUUUUUGAAGGAGUAGGCUCUAUAACAAUUUAUAAUUUUUUGUUAUUUGAUUUUAUAUGAUCUAAAAUAGAUUAUUAUUCUAACAAUAGAUUAUAGAUUGUCAUGUAAUCAUUUCUCAUCUAUUUAAGCAUGCUUAACGAAUUACAUUAGCUAUUUUACAUAUAUAGCUGAUUAAUCGUCUAAAAGAGAUUAUUGAAAUUUUGUGCAAGAAAAAUGUCGGAUUUAUUAAAAUCAGUUCACGGAAUUCACAUGUUACAUAAUAUUAUGGACUAGAAGAGGGAUUUAAAUAGGUGGCUCUUGCUCAAUUGCUGGUAGGAGUUUGCCGAAUCAUUCAAAAUGGCAAUUUUGUAAAUCAAUCUUAGCAUAUCAACUAUUGAUAUUUACCCAUGCUCAAGAACCAAAUCGGAUGAUAACAUUCAAAGCAUUAAGAAGUACCGACAACUAGGUUGUCAGCAUCAUAUGUUGAAGGCAUGAUAGUCCAAAAAACGGAAAAGAAAGGGUGGAAAAUUUCUUCAUGACCCUUCUGUUACGAUGUUACGAUGAGUUGGAAAUUUUUAAAGCCAAACAUCACUAGUAAAAGUCCACAAAGACCAUGACUUCGUCGGAACCAUUAUAACUCCUACUGAUGCACCAUCAACAAACAUAAAAACCCAAAAGACCUUGAGACUUCGUCGGAACCAUUAUAACUCCUACUGAUGCACCAUCAACAAACAUAAAAACCCAAAAGACCUUGAGUUCUUGAGUUGGUACAUGUUUCUUCUUCUUCUUCUUCUGGUGACAGCGUUGGUACCGUUGUCCCACAGAAGCUAACCCUUUCUCGUCGCUAAAUAGUGUCCUUACGACACAAACCUUUUAAGAGGAUAAUAAAAGAAUAUUACAAUUUCGAAUGCACUGAAUUUUUUCACAGUAUGUGUAACGAAUGCUUUGGAAGUCGGGAAUUGCUUUUAAUAAAAUAUACUUAGCAAGUGUGUUGAGAGAACUCGUUAACAUGAUAAGACAUGGAAGACAAUGUUAGUGGGGUCAACAUAGUGGUGAGGGAUGGAUCCUUAUCGCAUCACCCAAGAUAAGUGUAAAAAUUACUCCACUUGGUGAAAGCAAAGUGAAAAUGAAAACUUGAAUAUGGUGCUUAUGACAAUUUGAUCCCCAUGGAUUUCUACCAAUAAAUAUACAAUUUCUAUCAAUAUAUAUGAAAUGUUUAUGAUUGAAUUGGCAAAUCGUUCAAAUUUUAGGACCAAAUGAUAUAAUAAAAAAGGUUUAGGACUUAAUUGACUGCUGUAUAAUAGAUUUAUGGUGCUUCUUUUUUUGGAUAUUUUCCCCCUUUCUUAUGCGCUUUUUCUCUUUUGUACUUGGUGAAGUUAACCCGAUUUUUGUAUGCUUCUGGAUUCGGUUGUGCGAGUUAAAGAAAACAUUUCUACUUAUUGGCAUGCAUGAGAUAUUCUUAAAGAAAUUAUAUUUUAAAGGUGCAUGCAUAUGGAACGAAUAUAGAAAAUUGUCAAAAAAGUCCUUAGUCUAUUGUAUACCAAUUUAAUCCUAAACCUUUCAAUUUUAUAAAUUAAAUCCUAAACCUUUUCACAUUUUGCUAAUUGAGUCCAUCUAACCAACAUGGCACAAUUGACGUGGACGCUUGCUAUCCUACGUGCCAUGGUUGAUGUUAAACAUGGAUAAUUUUUAAUAAUUUUUAAUUUUUGUUCCCUUUUUUUUUCUUGUCUUCUCUUUUCCUUCUUUCCUUAUUUUCUUUUCUUUUUUAUUUUUUCAAUUUUAUUUUUUAUUUUUCCCUUUUUACCUUUUUCCCUCUACUGGCCACUACUAGAAUUAGUCGAUGGUUGCCUAAGGUUGCGAGCCUUAGAUGAGGAUCACUCUCACCAAAUCGGGGGAGGACGAGGGUUGUCCUCACACCCUCGUCCUCCCCCACCCAUGCAAGGGCUACCCAUUCUCGACCAUGCAAGGGUGAUCCUCACCAGGGGCUAGUGAAAGCGGGCCUCGCCAGCCAAAGUGACCCUCGCCAACUAAGGCAACCCUUGCUUGAGGCCGGGACUUUCACUGGUCAUUACAAGGUGCAGUAGUGCCCACUUCGUUAAGAGAAUGAUUCUAAAUCUAAUUGAAUUAUUAUUUUUGAUAGGGUGAAAAAAAAGAAAAAGAAAGAGAGAGAAAAAGGAAAAUACAUUUAAAUAUUGGAAAAAAAAUUAAAUUUAUUAAAAUUGUUCAUGUUAAUAUCGGUCGUGCCAUGAAAAUUGUUGAAAUUCACAUCAGUGUUUUUUGCAAAAAUUAAAUCGGAUUGACUCAAUUGACAAAAUGUGAAAAAAUUUAGAAUUCAAUUGGCAAAAAUUGAAAAGGUUUAUGACUAAAUUGGUAGAAAAACAAUAUAGGUACUUUUUGGAUAAUUUUGCUAGAACAAAUUAAGCUCCAUCUAUUUUGAUUGAGAUACUAUUGCAAGUUACAUAGUUAUCAAGCCGACUUGCAUAUGCAUUACAAGGGCCAAGUUCCUCUUCAUGUGUGUGGGAAGGGCUUGAACUACCAGACUAUUAGGGUGCAUUUGGCAACUUGCCAAAUAGUAACUGAUUAUAUUCUUUUGUUCCUGAGAAUAGAUUUGGAAAGGAAAUUCGUUUGGUAAAAUUUUUUAUUCCUGCGAAUAGAUUUGGAACAGAAUUAAGGAGUAAAAUAAAAAUUUGGUUCUUUGUUCUCGGUGACAAUUCCAUAAUCAAGUCAAUCCAAAUUUCUCGUUUCUUUUUUCUCUUCUUCUCUUCUUCUUGUUCUUCUUCCUUCUCUCUUCUCCUUCCAUCGCCGCUGCCGUUGGCCAUUGCUACCAUCGCCGUCCAUUGCCGCCAAUUGUCGGCAAUUGGUUGGGCGAGGUUCGGCUGGCUUGGCCUUGCUAGAUCUAACAAGGGUGAGUCUCAUCAGUGGCUAGGCGAGCCUUGCCUACCUGGGUGAGGCUCGAACUUACCCAAAACUUGCAAGGUUGAGCUCACUUAGCCGCCGGUGGGAAUCGACCUCACCGGGCCACCGUAUGGUUUGCGCUGCCUAGCUAGGGGGACAUUAACCUCAUGAUGGCCCAGUGAGGUUGAGCCCCGCUAGUAGUUGGGCAAGCUCGACGCAACUUUGCCCAACUACCGACGAGGCUUGGCCGACGAGGCACGACCUUGUUAGGGCUCGGCAAUGCUCCGCCGAGGUUGUUGGCCCUUGUCUGGCUAGUCCUUGAUCACCCCAAGGCCGGCGAUUGGACCAGUGAUUGGCCAAAGCUUGAAGAAGAAGAGAAACAAAGAAAAAAUAAAAUAAAAGAAAGAAACAAGUAAUAAAAUUAUUAAAAAUUUAAAAGAAAAUAGUUUGGAUUAGAAAUUUUAAGGACGAUAGCAAACGUAAUUCUAUUAAGGGAAUAUAAAUUUUGGGUAGUUCCCAGACGCCUUCAAAUGCUUAAAAAUGAUUCUCAGGAAUAAAAUAAAAAAGAAUCAUUUUUGAUUAGAAAUUAUUUUCGGGUAUAGAAUGUUUACCAAACGCGCUCUUAGUGACAAUUGACAUAAACAAGCUUGGCUCAGUUUAAAUAGGACUCGGUCAAUGAAGUCUUUGAAGGACCUGUUCAUUCGUGAAAGAUCAUUGAAAGAGUAAGAAAGCAAGAUGGAUGAAAUGUUGAAUGCAGAACAAAACGUUGGAUGUAGAAUAAGGGGCUAAUCAUCUUGAUACCGACCUAUUUAAUAGUUCGAAUUAUUUAUAUACAGGUUAAAUUCAAGCAUGAUCCGUUCACUGACUGUCUAUUAUACAUACAAUGUUGAAACAGCAUGAAGAGAUAAGCUCCAUGCUAUUUAAGAGUCUUCCCAUGGGGGGCUGGAAAUCGCUGGAAAUCGCCGUUGCUAUCACAAAAUGUAGGAUAGCAAGUUUACGAAAAUUUACCUUACAACAUAUAUUUCUAUGCUAUAUGUUCAUUAUGAUUGACGAGUUACAAGUAAUGUAUCUUAUUUCAUCUCAGCUAUUAAUUAUUAUCCUUCUCAUAAUUUUUUCUCGUAAACAUUGGUAGGCAGCAUCUGCAUUAAUCUUAGUAGGAGCUUGCCUUAAGGAACCACGCUCACUAUCCUUCCUAUCACUGUCUUCAGCAUCUAUCCCUUGCUGCUUUCAACUUCUUUCUAGAAUGUACCCAUCAAAUUCAAUCAAGUUUUUAAAACAGAUGGAUUAUUUAAAUGAUAUUUCACAAAUCUUUUCCAGCACGAGACACAGCUCGAUCGACAAUUAUAUGAACUUUCUGUCUAAAUACAUACUGGAUGAACGAUUUUUAGAUAGGAGAAAGUCAAACAUGAUGCGUCUAACGUGGCCUUUUUCGCUGCAAAAAGUACACAUACACAACAGUGAGUGUAUAAUCAGGAAAGUGGAGAAGACAACGUGUCAAAAUUGCUUAAUCAAUUAUUUUUGUAUUUGUAUAUAUAGCUCUCUGCAGUCAUACCUGGUCAUGCUCAUAUCGAGAAGAUGCCAUCCAUGAACUUCCCUUAUUUACAGCUCCUUCUCAUUCCAGCAAUUUGUCUCCUCCUUCUUUUCGUCUUUCUCUACUACUCUCCGUUCAAUGGAAAUCAUGAUAAUGCUAUUUUCAAUCUGUCGUUUGCAGUUAACGGGCUUCUCUCGACUGCCAUGUACAAAAACAGCUCCAGACAUAAGUGUUGUCAUGUGCAUCAGUGUGCUAUUCAUUUCGCAUUACCAAGUUACAACGUCUAUUGUAAUGCUUGGGGGUUAACGAGGGAAGUUUUUCUGGUGCAUGUAGAAGAAGAGUAGUCUAGAAAGAAUCGAAGACGAUUUGGCUCAAGCCUGUGCGGCAAUUCAGAAAGCCAUUCGGUCCGGAGCUACACUUCCAAUGAGGAAGAGACCUUCAUACCCAGAGGAAAUGUGUAUUGAACCCUUACGCCUUUUAUCAGUUAAAAACUUCUGCACUCUGUAGAGUUCACUCAAGAGUACACAGCUGUUGUUUUCUAUAUACGGUUUGAGUAUAUAUUAGUCUCCAUGAUUUAUGUUAAGUGCAUGCAUGCAUGCCUGACAGAGAGUUUUUCUCACCUUAUUUCUGGGCACAUUACUGGGGCAGGAGCCAAAUAGAGAUGAUGAAGAGAUUCAAGACAUGGGCAUACAGAGAAGGAGACCAGCCUUUGGUCCACGAUGGACUGAUGAGCAACCUAUGCGCCAUCGAAGGCCAGUUCAUUGACGAGAUGGAGGACAAGCGGAAACCAUUCGGGGCUCGCCAUCCCACCCACUCAAGAGCAACCUAUACGUGUUUUGUUAUCUUGCAUACAAUCUGCACGAUAUCUUUCCAUCUGGACAUGACGAAGCACCAGCAGCCCCGCCAAAUCUUUACUUUUGGCGCAGAACGGGGACAUCAGGUCAAGUUGAAGAAGCUAAAGAAUCGGCAAGGCAAAAAUGUAGACCAGUAAUGACAAAGCGCUAUGAGAUGAACGCGGAUAAGGGAUCGAUGGUUUUUCUUUAGAUUAUCCGAGAAAGAAUUUCAAAACCACAAGCAAAAUUCUAAAUUUCUAAGUGUGCCUCUGACAAUACUGCCAGCUCGCAGAAUGCUAUUUUCCGUGCCCAAGAAUACAGAUUUUUUUUCGAUAUUUAUAAAUUUCAAUAAGUGUUUAUCAGCAUCUAAUAAAUAUUAAACAAACUAAACAACGACAUUUUCCAAGUAAUCUGUUGGGGGUAAGAUACCAACAUUUUUAUAAGAUUACCAACUUCUCUUUAUGGUUUGUAAAUUUGCAAUUUUUGUACUAACUUAACGACUUCUAUUUGCAAAACUUACCAACAAUUCAACUUUACCAAUUUUCUGUGAAAUUACCAACCUGAACUAGUGAAAUUUACUAACUUUAUCUGAUGAAAUUAGCAAAUAGUUUUGAAUUACCAACUUUCAAUUGUGUUACUUAGCAACAUUUACUUGUUUUUUACUUACUAGCAUUUAAACCAAAACUUGUUAGUAAACUAAUAGGGAAAAAACUGGUAAGUUAAAUAAAUAUAUGUCGGUAAAUUCAUAUGAGACUUAAUUAAUAUAAAGUAUUUUUAAGAGAGCAAUAAAAGUUAGUAAAUGAUACCUAAAUUUAACAAAUCGAAGUACUAAACUACUUCCGACCGAAAAAAAACUACCAAAUAAAUAUAGUAUGUAACUAAUUUGCAGUUAGUAACCAAAAAUUAGUUGGUAAGUUAAUCAGAAAAAAAUUGGUAAGUUGUUUAAACAAAAUAUGGUAAAUUCAUAUGGGAGUCAUAAAUUUAAGGCGUCAGUAAGAAAGAAAAGUUCAAAAAUUAGAAAAUCUCAUGAUUUCUAUAUCUUUAAAAGGAGCAAGUGAUUUCAUAAAAGGCUCGAUAAGUUAUUCAGAAUAUAAGGUGACUGGCGGUUUAAGUUCACACCCAAUGAAUAGCCGUUCUUGUAGACCUACCGAAAUACUCCUCAGAACCUAUCCCGACACUCUAGUGUGGACUUGCAACUUGUCGGAUAGGAGAAUCAACAACACCUAAGAAAACUACUAUCAGUCUUCAUGGUAAGUUAAGAAGAACCGCAUGAGGUUCCCGAGUGAAAUAUUUGGAAAAAUGUCUAACAAGUAAGAAUGAGUGGACCGAGCCAAAACCCUAGAUCAUCAUGAUCGCUUGGGGGCAUUGGUGUGCAAGUUCUGACGAGCGGCGACGGACUAGUGCAAUGGCAGAGGCCAGAGCUGCGAUGACAAAAGGCCUCCCGCGCCUCUUGCCUUGCCUCGAUAAGGACAGCGCCACUCUUACCCAGGGCUCAGGCUAUGCUGCAUGACUGUCGUUGUAGCGCGUGGGUCACCUAGACCCUCACCCUUAUUGAGCGAGGGUCAAGCUAUCUCACGUAGCCACAGCAAGGAUCAAACAACCUCGUCAAGCAAUAGUGAUUGUCGCGGGAUCACUGUGGUUAUCUUUUUCUCUCCAUUAAAUCAGCCUAAUUGCAACCGUUUUAAAAAAUUUACUUCAAGAUUUACAAAAUUUCUAAUUCUAUUGCAUCUUAGAGAGGAACGGCUCGCAUCUUCAUGCAUAUGUCUCACCAACCCCAACGAACUUCCUCAUAGGCCGUACGCCGUUCAGUGCAAGUUGAGAUGGUCUUUAUUCUUUUGCGAUGAUUGGUUAACUUUGGCACGUGACUUUAGUUUCAACCCAAUGGCAGUGAGCUCGAAAAGUAUUUUGGCGAUCCAAGAGACUCACUAAAUUCUAGGGAGGAUAUAGUGGCAAGUGUGCAGUGAAAUAAAAUUUUACUGCAACAGGGUGUUUCACUGAAAUUCUGCUCGAAAAGAACCGAUUAAGUUCCCUAGGAGUUACCAACUUGAGGAAGAAAAAUAAUCAUAAGUUAUCGCGACUAUAAAUAUAUAAAGAACUGUUUACAAAAUUGAUGAAUCAAAUGAUGUGAUGAAGUGUUAUUGGGUGUUGAAUAUAGUUCACCUAUUUAAAGGGCUCAGUUGCAACUUACCUUAUAUGUUAAUAUACCAAGUUUGUAAAUCCAUUUUAGCACUCCUAAGGAUUACAUUAGCUAACUUGAGGGGUUUUACAAAUAUGGCUAAUUGAUUGUCUAGAAAGAUUAUUGCAAUUUUGUGCAUGUACAAUGUUGCCUUGAUAAGGACAUCGCCGCUCUUACCCAGGCUCAGGCUGCGCUGCACAACCAUUGUCAUAGGAAGCGCGGGUCACCUAGACCCUUGCCCCCACCGAGCGAGGGUCAAGCCACCUCAUGUAGCCACAGAAAAAUCAAGCAACCUCUCCAAGUGAUAGUGAUGGUCGUAGGAUCAACAUGGGUAUCUUUUUUCUCCAUUAAAUUAGCUUAAUCGCAGCUAUUUUCAAAAUUCACUUCAAGAUUUACAAAAUUUCUAAUUCUAUUGCAUCUUAGAAAGGAAUGAUACCUAAUUAAGUCCUUAUAUUGCUAGGAUUGUGCCUCUUGCGGACCUCAACAUCCCUAAAACACCUCUCAGGGUAUUCUUUCCCUCUAUGGAAUAAAUGUUCCCUUUGGGGAANNNNNNNNNNNNNNNNNNNNNNNNNNNNNNNNNNNNNNNNNNNNNNNNNNNNNNNNNNNNNNNNNNNNNNNNNNNNNNNNNNNNNNNNNNNNNNNNNNNNNNNNNNNNNNNNNNNNNNNNNNNNNNNNNNNNNNNNNNNNNNNNNNNNNNNGCCCGUCCGCCCAUGUUGGGCCUAAAAGCCCGGCCCACAAGAUUAGGGCCCAUGGAUGAAGGGAUACGUUUCUUUAUUUGGAGGGGACGUAUAUAAGGGAGGAAAGAGAGGGAGAACGCACUUUUUGACAUUACGUACGUUCCUCUCCCUCUCUCCCUCCAAAAGAAAAAACAAGAAGAAAAAGACGACGCCCUCUUCCCUUCAAGGCCAAUCAACGUCAUCGGAUCGAACGGGAUCGGUUUCUCUUCCUCUUAUCGGCGUCGGUGUUUAAUCUGUGGCUAACAAGGUACACUCGAUUCCGUGGUGUGCUUUAGGAUCGGUGAUACAUGUGAAUUUCCCGGGCUCGUCUUCCGUAUUCGUUUUAGGGGUUCGAUUUAGUGUCGAAUCCGGUUUUUGGGAAUCCGACAAACCCAACAUUGGUAUCAGAGCCCUAGUUCAUGUUUUCCCGACCCCUUUCAUGUUUAUGAAUGUUUUUUGAUUGAUUUUUCGUGAAAAUAAUCGGCCGACACGGAUCGGGGCGAAAAAUCCCGACACCCGAGCAUUGUUCAUCCAUUUUUUCGAGUUUCUGUAAGUCGAAAUCGAUUUCUGAUGACAUAGGGUGAAAGAGCUCGUCGAGACAAGUCCGUCGACGAGUCAAACGUCGCGGGGAGACGCCGGACGCGCCUGAAGCGCUGGCACAGCCAGUGCGUGCGCCACACGCGCCGGUCGACAAACCAGCACGUGCGCGACGGCGCCGGCCGGCGAAUCGGCACGUACCGGUCGGCGAACCGACGCGUGAUGACAUCACCAUGACGUCACCCAACGGUUAGUAACCGUUGGGAUGACGUCAUCGGUGACGUCAUCGCCGGCGACAGUUGGCCGGCUGGCGACCUGACCCGACCGGCGAACCGACCUGACCUGAGACCCGACCCGAGAUCCGACCGGUCGCUCGCACGUGUGAGGCACGUGCCGGGUUGGUUCGUCUGACCCGGCCCGACCGGUCCGUCCGGUCCGACGACCCGGCGACCCGACCGUUGACCGAGGAUCAUUGACCGUUGACCGUUGACCAUAAAAAAAAGGAAAAGAAUGUGUUUCUUUUUCAAUUAAAUCUAUGUGGAUUAUAUGUGAUCCCUUAUUUGUUCUGCAUUUGUUGCAGGAACAAUGCCUCCCCUAAGGUUGCGCACACCUAUUCGCGCAAUUACCGAUGAACAAAAGGAAAGGCUUUCUAAGUUGAUAGCUGAGCUGACGGAUCAUCGAUGGGAGAGUGGUGACUUAAUUGAUCACGUCCUUGAAGUCAACGGGAAAAUUCAAAAGGUCAUAUGGAAUGGUCGUCCUAUGCCACGGUCUGAGAGGGUGCGAUUUUUCAUGAACACCCUUCCACCAGAAUGGCAAUGAGCAUUGAAUCGCAUAUGGGAUGUCAACAAAGUUGCUUCAUAUAGGAAAAUUGUGAUGGAUUUUAUAAAUGAAUAUUACUGGAUUGUUACAAGGGAAAAAAUCAAGAAAUUGAACAAAAGAGGAUCUUUCCCAGUUCGUGUAUUGACUUGGUGUUAGAUGUAUUGGCUGAUCUUUGUUAAGCGUGCUUUGUGGACAUCUUAUGUAAUGUUUACUACCUGAUUGUUGUUGAUGUAGCAACUGAUAUGUUAGUUGAAUUAUGUGAAAUCAUUAUUAUUCUAUUGGAUGUCAAAUAUUAUUUGCUUUAUGUUAUUAUUAGUUGCUGUGGGUAGUUCAUAGAAGUUUUUGUAACUUCAUAGAAUUCAUUUUUGCAUAAGACAAUUAUAUUAAUGAUAGUUUUGAGUUAGGAUUUUUGGAGGAUGAUUGGAAACAUAGUGACCUUUUGAUUCUGAAACCUUACUUGAAAUUGUUCAUUAAUAUGAUGGGUCUGUGCAAAAUGGAUGCAUAAAUGAUAGGCAUUAAUAAUUCGUGCAUAUAUGUCUGAUGUGUUCAGAUCAAUGGCUUUAGCCACAAAGAGCAUAAUUGCCGAGCUGAACAAAGGUGAAAAGCUUAAUGGCGAUAACUAUGAAAUAUGGCACAUGAAAAUCCAAUAUGUGCUGGAAGAGCAAGAGGCACUAGAAGCUCUUAACCUGACCAUGGUAGAACCUGAAGAAGAAAACACUACACAUCACAAGAGAGAUAAGGAAGCAUUUGCUGCAUGGAAAAGAAAGAACUCUCUUGCUCGCAUUACGUUGCUAAGCAGCAUGGAAAAUGACGUCAUGCGAGAGUUUAGGCGUUUUGAGAAUGCCAAGGAAAUGUGGGAAGCAUUGGCAGCAAGAUUUGGUCAUACUUCGGUGACCAGAUUGAGGCAGCUCACUAUUAGGUUUGACUCUUAUAAGAAGUCUCAUGGUCAGACCAUGAAGCAACAUCUUAGAAAGAUGUCAAACAUGAUAAAUGAGCUGAAAGAUGCUGGCCAUGUCCUGACAGAUGAGCAGCAAGUGCAAGCAGUGAUUCGUUCCUUGCCUCAGAGUUGGGAGCAUAUGAAGGUGCACCUGACCCAUAAUGAAAAUAUCAAAACAUUUGAGGAUGCAAUGCGUCAUCUUGAGCUGGAAGAGGACCGCCUCUUGGCGGUUAAUCCGGAAGCUGAAAUUUAUCAUGCUAGUUCUAGCUCACAUGGAGCUUCGAGCUCCAAGCGCAAACAUCCUAACUGGUUUGAUAAAGGGAAAGGCAAGGAAGCAGGUCCUUCUGGGAAGAAGCCUAAGCUUAACCAACAUGAAAGAGGAAAGCGUCCUCGAAUGAAGAAGCUUGCAAGGGUGAAGUGUUACAAUUGUGACAAGAAGGGUCACUAUGCUCACGACUGUCGUGAGCCAAAGAAGGUAUACACCCCUUAUACUUUUCAGAACUUUGCUUUUGUGUCGAGUUCUGUAUUCUUGACUGAGUCUAAUCCUUUGUGGACUGUAGAUUCAGGAGCGACAGACCAUGUAGCGAAGGAUAGAGAAUCCUUUGUGGAAUUCCGACGAGUACCAACUGGAACUAAGUGGAUCUAUGUGGGAAAUAACUCCAGAGCUGAAGUUAAAGGGAUUGGCACCUGCCAAUUGAACAUGCGUGGUGGACGCACCUUGUUCCUACAUGAUGUUCCAUAUGCUCCAGAGACUCGUCGAAAUUUAGUGUCUGUUUUAGUGUUGGUUAAAUUAGAUUUUAAUAUGAACUUCCAUAAUAGAGGUGUAGAUUUGUAUUUGGAUACAAACUACUAUGCUUGUGGUUAUUUUCUGGAUGGUUUCAUUGUAUUAGAUAUUGACUAUGUUAAUGCAAAUGUUUGUUAUUCCCUUCUCACAUCUCCUACUUCAUAUGAUAAUGAUGUGAUUAUGUGGCAUGCUAGACUUGGUCAUAUUGGCCAACAACGUAUGAAUAGACUGGCCAAAGAGGGCUUGUUGGGCAACAUUGAAAAAGGCGAUUUGCCCAGAUGUGAGCAUUGCCUAGUAGGGAAAAUGACAAGGAAACCAUUUCGAAAAGAUAAAAGAGCUGAAUUUUCUCUGCAUUUAAUCCAUUCUGACGUCUGUGGUCCAAUGAAUGUGAGAGGAAGGCAUGAGGCUGUUUAUUUCAUCACUUUUAUAGAUGAUUAUACUCGAUUCGGAUAUGUCUAUUUGAUUUCUCAUAAAUCUGAAGCAUUAAGUUGUUUCAAAAGAUUUAUGAACUUGGUAGAAAAUCAGUUAGACAAGAAAAUAAAAGUAUUUAGAUCCGAUCGAGGUCGAUAAUAUUUAUCUGAUGAGUUCAGAAAAUUAUGUGAUGAAAAAGGAAUAGAAAGACAGUUGUCUAUUCCAUAUACUCCUUAACAAAAUGGUGUUGCAGAGAGAAGAAACAGAACCCUACUAGAAAUGGUUAGGUCCAUGAUGGCGCAUGCUAACUUACCUAUUACUUUUUGAAGUGAUGUGUUGUUAACUGCUGCUUAUAUACUUAACCGGGUGCCUUCCAAAUCGGUUAUUUCCACUCCAUAUGAGUUAUGGACAUGGGGUUGUGCUGCCUAUACUCAUGAGUCCUCUCACAAAUUUGGGAAAUAUGGUCCCAGAGGAAAGAAAAGUAUUUUCAUAAGAUACUCCGAACACUUGAAAGGGUAUGUGUUCAUAGGUGAGCAGGAAAGUGGGAGUAUAACUGAAUUUGAAUCACGGGAUGUCACAUUCUAAGAGGAUGGAUUUUCUAAGAAGGGCGAAAUAAGGGAAGAUUACUCCCCAUUUGAAACCUUGGAUCAACAUAAUGAUAUUAGUGGAGUUCGUCCAAGUGGGAGUAAUGUGAGAAGUGAUGAAUUGAAUUCAACUCAUUCUCAAUUGCAACCACAUGAUGAGACGACGUCAUCAUUAUUUAAUCAUAGUGGGAGCAUAAUAAGGAAUGAUGUGCUAAGUGUACAAUCUCCCAUACUGCGAACAAGUCGCCAAAGUAUUCCCCGUCGACGUUUUGACAUUGAAGGGGAAACUUUUAUGAUUGCUCUGCAAGAUGAGGAUGAGCCAAGAAAUAUUAAUGAGGCUCUGAAUUGUCCUAGUAAAAAAAAAGGAUUCAUGCAAUGGAAGAGGAAAUGGAGUCAAUGAAAUCAAACCAAGUUUGGGAACUGGUUGAUCUUCCAAAAGGACGCAAAGCUAUUGGGAACAAGUGGGUUCUCAAAAUAAAGCGAAAGGCUGAUGGCUCGAUAGAAAUGCAUAAGGCUCGCCUUGUGGCGAAGGGGUAUAAUCAAUAGGAAUGAAUUGAUUAUGAAGAUACAUUUUCUCCUGUAGUGAGAUUUACCUCGAUUCGCAUUAUUCUGACAAUAGUGGCUAGUAUGGAUCUUGAGUUACAUCAAAUGGAUGUAAAAACUACUUUCCUCAAUGGAGAAUUAGAGGAAGAAAUAUAUAUGGAACAACCUGUUGGUUUCAUAGUGAAAGGCCAAGAAGAAAAGGUAUGUCGACUUUUGAGAUCGAUAUACGGCCUUAAGCAGUCAUCGAGACAAUGGUAUAUACGUUUUCAUAAUGCCAUAAUGGCAUAUGACUUUACAAUGAUAGAUGAGGAUCAUUGUGUAUAUAUCAAAAGAUCCAAGGAUCAAUUUGUGAUCAUAUCAUUAUAUGUUGAUGAUAUACUAAUUGCCGGAAGGAAUAUGGAGCUUGUUAAUACUGUCAAGAGUUGGUUGUUUUCCAACUUUGAGAUGAACGAUAUGGGUGAGGCUGCAUACAUUCUUGGAGUUAAGAUUUCAAGAGAUCGUUCGAAGAGAUCAUUAUCUCUUUCGCAAGAAACAUAUAUAAACAAGGUUCUUGAACGAUUUCGUAUGCAAGAUUGUAAACCCAUAGACACUCCUAUUGCAAAAGGUGAAGGAUUGAGCUAUAGACUGUGUCCAAGGACUCCACAAGAGAAGGAAUAAAUGAAACAUGUUCCUUAUGCUAGUGCUGUUGGGAGCUUGAUGUACGCUAUGAUGUGUACAAGGCCUGACAUAUGUUUUGCAGUUGGAAUGGUGAGUAGAUACCAAUCCAAUCCAGGUCCAGCACAUUGGAAGGUCGUUAAGAGAGUACUGAGGUAUCUUAAGGGAACUGCUGAUUACAAGUUGAAUUACCAAGGAAAGGAUCUGCGACUUGAAGGCUAUUCAGAUGCUGAUUGGGGAGGAGAUUUAGAUGAAAGAAAAUCUACCUCUGGAUUUGCUUUCUUACUGAACAAUGGCGCCAUAUCAUGGAGCAGUAAGAAGCAAACAUGUAUAGCCUUGUCCACGAUGGAAGCUGAGUUCGUGGCAUUAUCAGCAGCGGUACAAGAAGGAGUUUGGCUUAAGAGAUUUUUGGAUCAUUUAGGUGUCAUUGAAAAAGCUGCAAAUCCGUUGUUGGUUAACUGUGAUAGCCAAGCAGCUAUAGCGUACACCAAAGAUCCAAAAUAUCAUGGCAAGACCAAACAUAUAGAUACCAAGUAUAACUUUGUCAAAGAUAUGGUUGCACGAAAGGAUGUGAACUUACAGUACAUAUCUACGCAUAGAAUGGUAGCAGAUCCCAUGACAAAGCCAAUACUUAGAGAUGUGUUUUGUGGUCAUGUAAAAUCUCUAGGAUUGCGUAGAGUCUGAUGUACUGGAUUGUAAUUUCCCUAAUUUGUUCACAUUUAUGAACUUUUGUUUUUCAUUGUUAAUGCCUAUGAAUCUUUAUUUGAUCUUUAUGCAUCUUAAUGCUUAGUGCAUUAUUUUAAGUUGAGAAAGUAUUUCGGACAGAUAUAAGAUUAGCCUGCUCACACGGGUAAUCACCUCUAUUUACUGUGUGAUAAAUAGAGAUGAGACUGUUUUUAAGCUUAUUAUCUAGGUGAUAAUCGAGAACUCAAGCUUAAAAUACGUAUGUCGCCUUAACUGAGUGUUAAGAUGAGGACAUAAUAUUUACUAUGUUUGAAAGUAAAAUAACCCACAUAUUUUACUUUAUCUGUCUAUAAUGCCAGAUGUGAGUUCUGAUGAAUUUUGUGAAUGAGUAGAUACGUGAACUCAAGUUAGACAUUGGGUAUGUCUGAACUAUCAUCUGUACGGUAUUGAAGGAAAAGACAUACGCUCCAUGGGAAAGGAGUUAAUACCGUAAUACGUAUUUCAUACUACGUAUGUAGGAGACGACCAAUAAGAGUGGCAAAAGUUUGAUCUCAACUUUUAUGCCGUGUGAGACUCUUGAGGAAAUGAGUUCCUCAAUUUUAGUGCCUUCAUGACUUUUACUUAUUCUCAAAGAUUUCUAUUUAGUGUUUGCUAUCUUAGGAUGUUGCCAAUGGUCAUGAGUUGAUUUGAUCUAAUGGGACAUUUCUAGAAAAGCAAGCUGAACUGAAAUUGAGAGUUUGAAGGAAAGAGGAAGAUCGAAUUUGGAGAAUCACAUUGUAGUUUUGUGUUCACUGGUCGACCAAUUAUGACUGUCUUUGGGAUAAUCAUAAUUGUGAAUAUAAUAUAUAUAUAUCAUUGUUUAAAAGAGAUCAAGAGAGAUAUAAAUGUGAUCGAUCGAUCUAGGGUACUGUAUACUAAAUCUACUCAGAGUGUGAUGCCCAUUGUGAGCUGCUAUAUAUUCCUAACAGAUGCAUAGCAAUGAGCUCUCAAAGUAUGCUGGUUGCACAGAUUCUUCACUGGUAUGAAUGUUGAAGAGAGGUUAAGAGAAUCUUGUUCAGCCCACCAUGUGCGAGUGGGAGAUGAUGGUUUUAUGAGAUGGGCCUAAGUUGGCCCGUCCGCCCAUGUUGGGCCUAAAAGCCCGGCCCACAAGAUUAGGGCCCAUGGAUGAAGGGGUACGUUUCUUUAUUUGGAGGGGACGUAUAUAAGGGAGGAAGGAGAGGGAGAACGCACUUUUUGACAUUACGUAUGUUCCUCUCCCUCUCUCCCUCCAAAAGAAAAAACAAGAAGAAAAAGGCGACGCCCUCUUCCCUUCAAGGCCAAUCAACGUCAUCGGAUCGAAUGGGAUCGGUUUCUCUUCCUUUUAUCAGCGUCGGUGUUUAAUCUGUGGCUAACAAGGUACGCUCGAUUCCGUGGUGUGCUUUAGGAUCGGUGAUAUAUGUGAAUUUCCCGGGCUCGUCUUCCGCAUUCGUUUUAGGAGUUCGAUUUAGUGUCGAAUCCGGUUUUUGGGAAUCCGACAAACCCAACAAAUCUUGUCAACCCGCCAAUGAUAUAUCUGUUGGACAAGCAGGGCGGCCCUCAGUCGAAGCUUUCGCACUCCUACUUUGUGGUGAGGAAUCCUGUAAACAUCCAAGGAUUCAUGGGAUCAAUGCAGGUAUGAUUUUUCUCCAUUAAAUUAGCCUCAUUACAGCAGUUUUCAAAAUUCACUUUAGGAUUUACAAAAUUUCUAAUUCUAUUGCAUCUUAGAAAGGAAUGAGACCUAAGUAAGUCCUUAAACUGCUUCGUUUGGGCCUCUUGCGGACUUCGACAUCCUUGGACAUAAAACACCUAGAAGCUAUUCCCUCCAUUUGAGGAAGAAAAAGAUACAAUGGGAAAGUGGAGGGCUGAAGCGUGAGAGCAUUUACACAUUAAAAUAAGGAACGCAAUCCUGUCAGUUUGCCAACGAUAUAUCCGUUGGGCAAACAGGACAACUCUCACUCGGAGCUUUCGGAGUCCUACUCAGUGGUGAGGAACCUUGGAAACAUCCAAGGAUCCAUGGAUCAAUGCGGGUAUCUUUUUUUUCUCCAUUAAAUCAGCCUAAUUGAGGCCGUUUUCAAAAUUCACUUCAGGAUUAACAAAAUUUCUAAUUCUAUUGCAUCUUAGAAAGGAACAGCUCGCAUCUUCAUGCAUUUGUCUCACCAUCUCCAAAAAACUUCCUCAUUGGCUGUACGUUGUUCAGUGCAAGUUGAGAUGGUCUAGUUUUUGUAACGAUUGGUUAACUUUAGCACGUGACUUUGGGUCAACCUAGAGGCAGCGAGCGCGAAAAGUAUUUUCGUGAUCCAAGGGACUCAUCAAGUUCUAGGGAGGAUGUAGUGGCAAGUGGGCAAUAAAAUGAAAUUUUACUGCAGCAAGUUGUUUCACCGAAAUUUUGCUAAAAAAGAACCGAUUAAGUUUCAUAGAAGCUACCAACUUGAGGAAGAAAAAUAAUCGUAUACAAAGAACGGUUUACAAAACCGAUGAAUCGAAUGAUGUGGCAGAAUAUCAUUGAGUGUUGAAUAUAGUUCACCUAUUUAAAAAGCUCGGUUGCAACUUAUCUUAUUUGUUUAUAUACCAAGUUUGUAAAUCAAUUUUAGCACGCCUAACAAUUGUGCUAGUUAGCUUCAGGGAUUUUACAAAUAUGACUGAUUAAUUGUCUCAAAUGUUAUGAAAUACAUGAAUGAAUAUUCAUUAUAUUCAUCUUAUCUAAUGUACUUAUUAUGGUACAUUUGUAUCCUACAUUCUAAGUACAUCUCCCUAUUCAAUGAAAGUUCAUCUCCUUAUUCAAUAUAUGUAUUAUUCAAUACAAUGAUAUUAAUGAUAAGUGCAUCAUUGUUUUCUUUUAAAUAGGAGCUUAGUUUUUGUCAUAGAUAUAAGGUAAUAUAGUGAAAAUAAAAUUUUCUCCUCUGGCUUUCUCUACGAUCUUUGGUGCCUGGCUUUCUCUACUUAAUCUCUCUAUUCUUAUGUUAUAUAUUUGCAAUGCAAUAUUUUACAACACGUUAUCAGCACGAAAAUCUACCGACUGAGUAAGUAAAUUUUUGCAAGGUAAGUGUUCUCUUUAUUUUCAUUAAUCAACUUAUACUUCAUCUUCUUUUGUCAAUUCUUCAUUUUUAUUUUUCUUGGCCCGAAGCCAAUUUCAAAUCUAAAAGUAUCCUUCUGCUCCUGAAGUGGCGGUGGAUAUUUGAAAAUCCUUUUAAUUAAUUUAAUGAUUUAUUUUUACAAGAAUUAUGACAAAUAUUGAAAAACCCAAAUUUUACAUCUUGAAAGUGAGUAGAAAUAAUUACCUAUCCUGAUGCCUUGACAUGGAAAUGCACCUCUAAGGGCAAGGUCUCGCUAAUACAAUUAUAGAGAAAGGAACCUCAAAUGAAAAAGAUAAAGCAAAUGCACUAAUUUUUAUUCGCCGUCAUUUGCAUGAGAGCCUGCAUACUCAAUAUUUAUCAGUUCGAGACCCGCAUAUCUUGUGGAGGAGGUUGAAGGAUAGGUAUGAUCAUACCAAAACUGUUAUCAUCCCUCAACCAUAAUAUAAUUGGCAAAAUCUCAAACUGCAAAAUUUUAAAUCAGUGUUUGAUUAUAACUCCGUUUUAUUUGAUAUUAUUUCUCUGUUGAGUUAUGCGGUAUUAAGCUCACUAAUGGGGAACUAUUAGAGAAAAUUUUCUCCACCUUCCAUGCUUCAAAUAUUGUAUUGCAACAGCAAUACCGGCAGUGUCAGUUUGCCAUAUACUUUGAAUUAAUUUCUAUGCUACUCACUACUGAGCAAACUAAUGAAUUGUUGCUAAAAAAUCACGAUCUUAGACCUGUUGGCUCAAAAGUAUUGCCUGAAGCACAUACUAACUCUGAGAAAAAUACUGGCCAUUUUAAGGGCUAUAAGCACAGGUAAGAACAUAAUAUUGUGGGGGAUGACAAGAAGUUUAACCGCCCAAGGAAAUCUAACUUUAGCCUGAAUCAUGACAAAGAAAAGAAGCCAAAGAAGGUGACUAAUGAAAGUAUUUGUCAUCGCUGUGGCAUUACUAGGCAUUAGUCAUGUACUUGUCGUACGCCAAAGUACUUUGUUGAUCUAUACCAUGCAUCUUUAGAAAAUACGGGCAAGUGUGGUGAAUCUCAUGCCAUUGAAAUCAAUUUUACUGCUAUAACCACUGUUGAGGCCAAUAAUAUCUCUGUUAGUGGGACUCCUCUUGUUCCUAAAGUAGCAAAUGCAUCUCUGGAUGCCUUUGAUUUUUUUGAGGACCUCUGAUUACUUUGAUGAGGCAUCAAACUGGUAGAUGAUAACUUGGACUUCCAAUUUUAUGAUUCUAAUAAUUUAUUUUCGAAUUGUUUUCCCUUUUAUUGUUCUCUAAUAUGGUUAUGUAAUGAAUUGCUUAUGAGCCUUAUAUAAUAUUUUGAAAUUUUAUUCGACUCUAUAACUAAUAUACAAAUUUUAUGAUACUUGACACUUGAAGUUGUCAACAUAAAUGUAAAUGGAAAAUGCUGAGAAAAAGGAAGAUAUUUGUUUGCUUGAUAGUGCAACAACACAUAUUAUAUUUCGUAGUAGACACUUUUUCUCGAGUAUGACAUUGUGUAAGGCACGUAUCCAUAUAAUAUAAGAUCAUAUUCCGAUUAUUGAUGGUUUUGGGAAUGCCAUAAUUAUUUUGCCAAAUGGUACCAUCCUACAUAUUGAUGAUGCGUUUCUAAGUAGUAGAUCAAAAAGGAAUCUGCUCAGUUUCAAAGACAUACGCUGUAAUGAGUACCAUAUUGAGACUAUUUAUGAGCAAGAUAAGGAAUAUAUUGGCAUUACCUCUUAUAAGAUGGGCUUGAAGACCAUCUAUGAGAAGUCAGAAGUUUUUUCUUUGGGUUUGUAUUGUGUCAUGAUUAAGGCCGUUGAAACCUACGCCACCACAUCCUGGAGAUUGGUAAACCUUGAUCAGUUUGGACGGUGGCAUGAUCGCCUUGAUCACCCUGGCGCUUUAAUGAUGCGUAGAAUAAUUCAGAAUACAAAAGUGCACCAUUUAAAGGAUACAAAUGUAUUGUUGUCCAAAGAUUAUAAUUAUGAGCAUUGUUCACAAGGAAAGCUCAUUACCAAACCUUCUAUAACAAAGAUUAAUCUUGAAUCUCCUUUAUUCUUGUAAAGAAUUUAGGGUGAUAUUUAUGGACCAAUACAACUACCAAGUGCACUGUUUCGAUAUUUUGUGGUACUAGUAGACGUAUCUUAUAGAUGGUCCAAUGUUUGCCUAUUAUCUAGUGCAAUGUCACAUUUGCACGUUUACUUAUGCAAAUUAUAAAGCUCCGGGCACAAUUUCCUGAUCAUCCAAUUAAAAGCAUAAGGAUGGAUAAUGCUGGUGAAUUUACAUUAAAGAGUUUUGAUACCUAUUGUGUUUCGCUCGAAAUUGAGGUUAAGCACCUGAUCGCAUAUGUUUAUACUCAAAAUGGAUUGGCGAAAUCUUUGAUUAAACAUAUCCAAAUCGUUGCCUAUACUCUAUUAUUGAGAACGAAUCUCAGCGAUAUAGCUUGGGGUCAUGCAAUUUUGCAUGCGGCAGCUCUAAUAAGAUUGCGCCUUAUUGCUAGUCUUUUACAAUCUCCCAUUCAAAUGUUUCUUGGUUAUGAAGCAAAUAUUUCACAUUUGCGCACAUUUAGUUGUGCAGUACAAGUGCCUGUAGCACCACAAGAAAGAACUAAAAUGGGUCCUUAACGCCGUUUGGGCAUUUAUAUUGGGUUUAAUUCACCAUCCAUCAUUAGGUUCUUGGAACCAACUACUGGUGAUCUUUUUACUGCCAGAUUUGUAGAUUGUUAUUUUGAUGAGAUUAAGUUUCCAUUAAUUAGGACACCUACAACUUCUAUGAUUGCAAAGCAAAAACUAGUUAAGGUUUUUUCCUAGAAUGAGAAAAAUUUAUCUCAAUUAGACCCAAUGACUCCUAAGUGUGAAAACGAGGUGCAACGCAUAAUCCAUUUACAGGUUAUGACUAAUAGACUUCCCGACGCAUUUAAUGACGUUACUAAGGUAAUGAAGUCUCAUUUCAUCUACAAAUGCUCUAGUUAGGAUAGUUGUUCUGGAAGGACAAGCUGAAAUGCAUCAAAAUCCCUCGCACUUGAAGCAUGGUUGAUUUGGACAUCGAGCCAUAUCGAGGAGGAGGUGCUAAGGACCCAUUAUCUAUUCCUACUGGUUCGAUCACUCGAGCGCGGGCCAAGCAAUUUAGGCAAGCUGUUGGUGUCAUGGUUCGUGAUCUUUGGCGUGGAGAUGACCUUGGAUAAGAUCUUGAAGAAUCUUGGAAAUCUUGGCGCAAUUUAAUUAUCUGGUCACCAAAUAUUUGACCAAGUCAAAUAUGAAUAUUCUUCUUGUUUUGGAAUAUUCUAGAAUAUGACGCAUUAGUUUUUUUUUAGGGUUGAUUUUAGGGUUUGUGUGGUGGCUAGAAGGCUUAUAUAUAAGACUGACUGAAUUUCUUUGGGGGAUAGAUAUAUUUUAUUUUUAAGGACAAGAAUUGAGAGGUUUUUUUCUACUGCUCUUUUGAGGACUUGACCUUAUCAAGAUUCUCUUUGGCGGUCGAUUUGACUUAUCGAGCGAGAUAGCGAAUUCUUUCGCUCGUGGCGUCUAUAACGUUGGUUGGUUGACACGCGUUCGUCAACAGGUCACGUUCAUACCGAGGUUGCCAAUCACAGGUUUGAUUGGAGGUCGGGGUUUGCAAUUCGCACCAUCUGGGUCUUCGUAGAACAAUCCUUCCGCAACGAUUCACAUCAAUGGUAGACCAAUAGAAUAAAAAGAUAUUGUUCCUCGUAAACGAAAGGGAAAGAAUCAAGAAUUUGCUCCAAAAGAACCUGGUGUUGUGCUUUCUCCCAAAGAGCUUAUUGCUCUUGAAGAGGCGUAAAUCUAUGAAAGGAACACUAACCCUGGGAAUACUAAGAAUUCCAUUACAUAUUGUAAUGAAAUUUAGGAUCGAAAUGAAAUCAUCAUUGAUGAUACUUUUGCAUUCUUAGUUGCUCAUAAAAUUACGGAUGAUGAUUGUAGGCCAUAAUCUAUUAUUGAAUGCCGUCAAAGGCAAGAUUGGCCUAAGUGGGAGGAAGCAAAUAAGGCUGAAUUAGCUUCCCUAGCUAAACGAGAGGUUUUCGGACCCGUAACUCGAAUUCUCGAUAAUGUAAAACUCGGUGAAUAUAAAUGAGUAUUUGUCCGGAAACAAAGUGUCACGCCUUGAACCCCGAGUACGCGAACAUUCCUCAGCGGUCGAUUAAAAAUGUGACGUCACAGGACGCGUCGCCGACCUAUUCUUUUUAUCUUUCAAUUAAACGCAUGCAGAAGCGACUAAAUUAAAUAAACACACAAUCAACCAUUAGAAAUAAGGAUAGUAAAACGCAACGACGAUUUCCCAAAAACUACGAUUUAUUUAUCGUUAGGUUAACUCAAGGAGUUUAAUAUAUACAAGCCUACCACAAAACAAAACUCCUAUGCAACCUAUAAACAAAAAUGGUCAAAAGGUCAAGGUCAACUCCUAACAACACCAACUCCAAACAUCCGCUCUAAUACCUAGGCGUGAAGUUGUGCACGGCGUCAGGUGGUUCCAGCUCCCCGGGCCCCUCCAGCUUGGAAUCCGGAUUCAUGACGACACCGUUAGGAAUGUCGAUAUCCAUGGGGUCGCCUACUGGCCCAUCCAUGUAUCCGACGGGUGGUCCAUCAACAACUUGCAGGGGACCAAUCCUAUCGCUGUUCACCUCCCUAAUGAACCAAGCCUUAAAAUUGUGGGGCAUCACAUGUACAAAGCCCUUGUCGACCCACAACAUCGUAACUACCAACUUGCGAAAAUGGUCGGUCCCGGGGAUAGGAUAGAGAGUAGUCUCUACCUCCAUAUCCUAGGGGACCCCAAAAUGUACAGGGCGGCUCGCCAUACUACGGACCUAAAAAUGUUUGAUAACGACGGGGUGAGAUAAAUCUUAACGAGUUAAAUCCCUAAGCCUCGAUUAGGAUGCGAAUUCGCCUCGAAGGCAGCCUAAGCCCGCGCCACACAUAAACUCACCUCACCUUGGCACAUCCCUGCAUAUUAGCACGUCUCGUACAAUAAUAAUAGAGUAACGUGCUUAAAUAACAAUUAGAACACAAACGAGAAUUUCACGCACAUUGUCGACGUACGUGUUCCAAUUAUUACGACUCCUCGGGCCACGGCCAACAUAAGUGUCGACGGUCUUCCGGCAUAACCGGGUAUCGUCCCGCCCCGUUAGGCAUGGCAUCGUCUAGGACCCCCGCCUAAACGGCAUUUCAUAAAGGAAUUUCGGUCCGGCCUCAACCUUGACUUGGCGUCCGGACUCCCGUCGGGCAUCCGAUAAACUCGAGCAUCGCCCCUAAACUCCCGUUGGGUGACGGGUUCAAUUACGUGACCACUCGAGCACAUCAUCAAUCAAGCCAACUUUUAUUACGGUUAGUUAGCCAAAAACAUAAUACUUCCCUUUUUAAAUAAUAAACUUGACAACCCCCCCCCCCCCCUUUUUUUCUUUAAAACUCCCGGAAAGAAAUUCGUACGGGGUUACGUAUUUGAAAUCAACCUGUCAAACUUUGCACUCUUCUAUUUUAAAACCCCAUUGUUUUAAUGAGCAUAUAAAAUUUGGUGUCCAAACCCGACACCUUAUUGUUUUUCUAUUUAAUUGCCCAUAAAACCAUCAUUUGUAAUAAUAAUCGGUAACUACCAUAGAGCAAUCAAUUGCACCAUAUCGUAGUACAAACCAUCAAAAUCACGCAUAAUCUCAUCCAAGAAAACAAGCGUAAAAUUCUACAUAACGACUAAUUCAUCACUAAUAACGCUAAUUGUGAUUAAUUAAAUAAAUGACGAUUAAAAUAAAUAAAUUACGAUUAAUUAAACUAAAAUUAAUUAAUUAAUCUAACCAUGAUUAAUUUAUCUAAUUGUAAUUACCUAAACUAAUCGUAAUUAAAAUUAAUCUAAACCAUUAUUAAUCUCAAUUAAGACUAAAUUAGGCUUAACUAAGACUAACCCUCAUUAGCACUAAUCCAACCACCCCUAAAUGAAAUUAACGGCCUAAUAAAAGAUUAUGAAGUUAACUCACGGGUUUUCGAGGGCGGUGGGCUCGCGGUGACGGCAACGCGACUGCGUUGAGGAUGUGCCACUCGCGGAUCAAAUGGGGCUCAACGGCAGCGGUGGCGGUCCUUCAAGCCCUCGGCCACCUAGGAGUUUCGAUUUGGGUGUUGGUCUCGGUGGAGGUGGCGGACAGCCAUUGGGGUGGUGGGUGUGUGGUGUUGGCGCGAGCGGUGGUAGCUGGACGCGGAGGUGGGGCUACGGUGGAGCUGGCGGGUGGAGCUGGACGCUGGGGUGGUGCCGCUGGUGGUGGUGUGGAGCUGUGGUGAUGGGAUGCUAGCGAUGGAGUGGUGAUGGUGGCAGCAAAAAAAAAAGGUGUUGUACUUUAGCUGGUACGUCCAUGAUGGGGUGUGAUUAGAUCACACUUGUUCGCCUUGAUACGGUACGAUGGAAGGACACCAUUUGUAGGGGUGUCAUGGAGUCGUAUAAAAGCCUUUUGAAGACAACCAUUGGGGGUUGUUGUUGGCAGAACAUACGUACCAAAUUUCUCUCCCUUUCCAUAAGAAAGAAGAAGGCAUUCCAUUUCAGUUUUACAAAAACAAUCGGCAUUUACGUUGUGGAAAUCGGGUGCUUUCCUCGUGAUCGCAUCCAGACCAACGUGAGGUAAUAUUGUUCGUGUUUCAUCGGCAAUUCAAUGUUCGUUCCGGGGCUAAUUAAAGUUUGCGCAUCGGAUAAAGGUAAGUCGUCUUCCGCCGACUUGAAUUCCAACAUUGGUAUUAGAGCCCGGUCGUGAUUUCUGCGUUGUUUUUCAUUGAAUUUCUCAUUUACCAUUUGAUAUUGAGAUCAAAAGUAUGAAAUCUACACUGUUUGGAUGUCUAAUGGUCGGAAUUGAUAUCUUAAAACUCAAAAUCGAACCGAAGUGAAGAACGGGUUCGGGGUCGUGUGCAUCCAUACGGUUUUGGCCAUUUUUCGAAAUAUUUUUUCGGCCAAAAUCAGUUUUUAAAUAUAUAGGGUGAAAGUGCUUGUCGAGACAAGUCCGACGAUGGGUAGAGCACCGCCGGAGGACACCGGACGUGCCCACACGUGCGGCCAGAAGUUGCUGCGCGUGGGAUCCACGCACCGGACGCGCUAGAGACACCGGCGAAUAGGCGCGUGAUGUCACGCGAUGAUGUUGGCAAAGCGACACGUGCUGACGUCACAGAUGACGUCAUCCAACAGUCGGUAACCGCUUGGAUGACGUCAUCGAUGACGUCAGCGCCGACAGAAGUUGGCUGGUCGGCGACCCGACCCGUGACUCGACCCGACCCGACCCGACCCAUUGACCGGUCAACAGUCGGAUCGGUUAAUCGGUCCAGCAGUCAAACCGGUCGGACUGGUGAUCGAUCCGACCAGCUAGGAGCCAUUUGGUUCGCUGGCGUGUGCGCCACAGGCGCCGCUCACUCAGGCAGCACGUGGGGGCGCGUGCAAGCUCCGAUUGGAGCAUGGUCGGUGGCGUUUGGUUCGUAUGAAUGUGCUCUAUAUUGUGAUAUAAUUAUUUUAUAUUUUUUUAAUUUUAUAAAUGUAUGAAAAUGUGUAGGAAACCCUAAGUACGCAUAUUUUUUGGGGUUUAAUGCAUAGUUUAUUCAUUUGUAGCUUGUAUUUUCUUGUGGUUUAGGAAAUACAGUAGCUAGUUUGUGUGCAAAUGAUGUCAUAUAUGCUGUGUAGAGCUUAGUUCGAUGAUAUCGUGUAUAUAGUUUAAUAUACUUGCAAUUUUCCAGUUGCUAGAAAAUUCGAACAAUGGUAAGAAAUCUAUUACAUGUUGAAUUGCGAUUUUGAUUAUAGUUGAAGCAUGAUUGUUGUUUGUAUGUUGGUUUACAUCAUGCUAUGCUUUUUGUAUGAAUGGAAAAAUGUAGAAAUUACAUAAGGUCAUGUAAUUAUUUUUCCUAGUAGGAGUUCAUAGGUUGGUAGAAUUCGAAGGAGUUCUCAUCUAGAAUUUAAAAUUUGCGUAAAUUAAACUAAUUAAUGAUAAUAGAACAAUUGUACAUAGAAGUUGAUUGGGAACAUAGUGAACUUUUGCUUUUGUGUCUUUUGUUGAAUUAUCAUUAAUUUAGUUUGUCUCUGCUGCAAAUUAAAUAUGUGUGUUACUCUAUAAAGUGUGCUAGUAUUGAUUCUGCGUUUAUUAUGUUAAUGUGUUAUAGCAAUUGAUUAUAGCUUCGGCAUCCAAAACCAUUGUGGCUGACCUCAAUAAGGGUGAGAAGCUGAACAAUGACAAUUAUGAUAUUUGGCAUCGAAAGGUUUAGUACAUCCUUGAGGAGCAAGAGGUUUUGGAAACCCUCAACCAUACCAUGGAUGAACCUGAGUAUGAAACGAUGAGGCAGCAUCUUCGGGAGAUGUCAAACAUGAUUCGUGAGCUGAAGUCGGCAGGUCACUCUCUUACUGAUGAACAACAAGUUCGGGCUGUUAUAAGGUCUCUUCCUGAUAAUUGGGAGCAUAUGAAGAUCAAUAUGACGCUAAUGAGAAUAUUGUUACUUUUGAUGAUAUUGCAUGUCAUUUGGAAUUAGAGGAUGAGCGCCUAGAGGCUGCGAGAUCCUCUACCCAUGCUUAUGUUGCUGAAUUGAGUUCGUGUAAGGUUUCGGGCUUCAAGCGCAAAAGGAAUUCUCAAUUCAACAACAAAGGGAAGAAGACUGAUCAGGCAUCUAAGAGAGUUAAGACCUUCCAACGCAAGAAGCGUGGUGGGAAGAAGGACAAGGCCAAGAUGGAGUGCUACAAUUGUGGCAAGAUGGGUCACUUUGCUUGUGAAUGCACUGAGCCGAAAAAGGUACCCUAUUACUCCAUUACUUUGAGUAAUGCUUUUGUUUCUAGUACUGUAAUGCUUGCUGAAUCUCAUCCAAUGUGGACUGUAGACUCAGGAGCAACAGACCACGUAGCUAGAGACCGAAAAGCAUUUGUGGAGUAUCAUCGGAUACAGCCUGGAAGAAGAUGUAUAUAUGUUAGGAAUAACUCAAGAGUUGAAGUGAAGAGUAUGGGCACAUGUAAAUUAAUCUUACGUGGUGGUCGAAACCUAUUCUUACAUGAUGUCCUUUAUGCUCCAGAUAUUCGACGAAACUGGGUCUCUGUAGUUGUUCUUCUUAGCUUAGGUUAUGUAUUGAAUUUACAUGGUGAUUGUGUUGACAUUUUUUACGGGAUAAUUUAUUAUGGUUCAGGUCAUGUAUCGAAUGGUUUUAUGGUGUUAGACAUUGACUAUGAUCAGUACAAUGUUAAUAUCGAUGGUUGUUUUUCUUUAAUUGCAUCUUCUAGUAAUGUUGAGAUUGAUGCAAGUACUUGGCAUGCUAGAUUAUGUCACAUUGGAUUGCAAAGAAUGUAAAGAUUAGCUAGAGAAAGCCUUUUAGGAUCACUCACUAAUGUUAGUCUAUUCGUAUGUGAACAUUGUCUAGUGGGAAAAGCAACUAGAAAACCAUUAAGUAAAGGGACUAGAGUUGAAUUUCCAUUGCAUCUCAUACAUUCUGACAUUUGUGGUCCUUUGAAUGUGAGGGCGAGGCAUGGAGCCUCAUAUUUCAUCACUUUCAUAGAUGACUUCACACGUUUCGAUUAUGUCUUUCUGAUCUCCCAUAAGUCAGAAGCAUUAGACUGCUUUAGACGAUAUAUAGUGAUGGUAGAGAAUCAGUUAAACAAAACAAUAAAGGCAUUGAGAACUGAUUGUGGACGUGAGUAUCUAUCGAAGCAAUUCAAGGCUCUUUGUGAUGAAAAGGGAAUUGUACGACAAUUGACUAUUCCUGGUACUCCACAACAAAAUGGGGUAGUUGAGAGAAGGAAUAGAACCCUAUUGGAAAUGGUUAGGUCUAUGAUGGUGCAAGCGAAUUUACCUAUCUCCUAUUGGGGAGAUGCAUUAUUGACUGCUGCCUAUAUACUUAACCGAGUGCCCUCAAAAUUGGUUACUUCCACCCCUUAUGAAUUAUGGACUGGUAGGAAACCAGACUUGAGUAGUCUACAUCCAUGGGGAUGUGCAGCUUAUAUUCAUGAUUCUUCUCAUAAAUAUGGAAAAUUAGGUCAUAGAGGAAAGAAAUGUAUCUUUAUAAGAUAUUCUGAACACUCCAAAGGGUACGUGUUCCUAGGUGAACAAGCUGAUGGAAGUGUGACCGAAAUGGAGUCACGAGAUGUUACGUUCUUGGAGAACGAUUUUCCUAGUAGAGGUGAGAUUGAUAAGGACUUCCAAUUAAAUGAGAUGGAAGAUCCUGAUAACACACUCACUGAUGUUAUAGUUCACCUCAACAUGCAAGAUCUAGUGGGAGUGUUGCAUCGCCUAAAGAAUUGAAUUCAAGAUAAAUUCAAUUGCGUAAAAGUAAUCGUAAAAGUAUUCCUUGUCGUCGUUUUGAGAUUGAAGGGGAAGCAUUUAUGAUUGCUCAUAAUGACGAUGCCGAGCUUAAGAUUGUUCAAAAGGCUCUCUCAUCUUCUGAUAAGGAAGAAUGGAGAAAAGUUUUGGAAGAUGAGAUGGAGUCAAUGAGGGCAAACCAUGUCUGGGACUUGGUUGAUCUACCACCUAAUUGUAAGGCCAUUAAAAGCAAAUGGGUCUUCAAGAUUAAGCGAAGGGCGGAUGGAUCCAUUGAAAAGUAUAAGGCUUGUCUUGUGGCGAAAGGUUAUACUCAACAAGAGAGUAUAGACUAUGAGGAAACCUUUUCACCAGUUGUAAGGUUUGCUGUAAUACGUCUUAUUCUAGCUAUCGUUACACAUUUGGACCUUGAAUUACAUCGGAUGGAUGUAAAGACGGCAUUUCUCAAUGGAGAACUAGAUGAGGAAAUCUAUAUGAAACAGCCAAUAGGUUUCGUAGCUAAAGGUCAAGAGUAUAAAGUUUGCAAACUUUAGAGCUCAAUAUAUGGCCUUAAGCAAUCAUCUAGACAGUGGUAUCUUCGUUUUCAUUGAGCCAUAACCAUUUUUGGUUUCACGAUGAUCGAGGAAGAUCACUGUGUAUAUGUCAAGCGGUCCGAAGAUAAAUUUGUGAUUUUAUCAUUUUAUGUAAACGAUAUUUUAUUGGCUGGAAAUGACAAGGUUUUGGUUAUCACCAUAAAAGAAUGGUUGUUCUCUAAUUUUGAAAUGAAGGACAUGGGAGAAGCCGCUUAUAUAUUAGGAGUUAAGAUCGAAAGAGAUCGAUCAAGGAAACUCCUUACUUUAUCACAAGAGUCUUAUAUUAUGAAGAUCCUUGAGCGUUUCAAUAUGCAGCAUUGUAAUCCCAUUGAUAUCCCUGUCAUGCAAAGUGAAGGCCUAAGUACUGAGAUGUGUUCUAAGACUCAAGAAUAAAUCAAAGUGAUGGAAACUGUUCUUUACUCUAGUGCAAUCGGAAGUUUGAUGUAUGCUAUGAUGUGUACUCGACUCGACAUAUGUUAUGCCUUGGGAUUGGUGAGCUAAUAUCAAUCAAAUCCUAGUCAAGCACACUGGAAAGCAGUGAAGAGGAUCCUGAGAUACUUGAAGGGCACCAUGGACUAUCGACUUUGUUACCAAGGAAAUGAUUUACGCCUAUUAGGCUAUUCAGAUGCCGAUUGGGGUGGAGACUUGGAUGAGCAUAAAUCGACUUCUGGAUAUGCGUUCUUGCUUAAUGGAGGUGCGAUUUCUUGGAAUAGCAAGAAACAAACAUGCACGGCCUUAUCUACGAUGGAGGUAGAAUUUAUUGCAUGCUCUGCCGCAACGCAAGAAGCAGUAUGACUAAAACGUUUCUUAGAAAAUUUAGCCACUGUCACUAGGGUUUCAAGACCGGUGAUAGUUUAUUGCGAUAGUCAAGUAGCCAUUGCCUAUGUGAAGGAUCCAAAGUAUCAUGGAAGGACAAAGUACAUUGACAUAAAGAACAACUUCAUAAGAGAUAUAAUAGCGUAGAAAUAAGUAAUCCUACAAUAUAUUUCAACCAAUCAAAUGGUUGCUGAUCCAUUUACGAAAGCUAUUCCUAGAGGCAUAUUCUUGACCCAUAGGAUGUCAUUAGGAUUGCGUAGAAUGUGAUAUCUGUUAUUGUAGAGGAUCAUUGGUUUAUGUAUUUGUGGAUAGAUGUAUUGUACUUGUUUGUUUAUUAGUGAUUUGAUGUUUUAUCAAUAAGUAAAAAUCCACUAUGAGACUAGCACAAACACACACAUAUUAUUGAAAAGUAUUUUAGCAGGCAAUGAUUGGCCCACUCACACGAGCAAUCGCCUCAAGUGCUUUAGAUAGCACGUUGAGAUGAGACGUUAUGUACAAAUAAACGCUGAGGAGCAAGUUUAGUAUAUAAAAUGAUAUGUUGCCUUGAUUGGAGUCAAGAUGAGGUCUGUGAUUUAUUUAUAAUAAGACCGAACAUGAUAGUCCCAUAAUCAUGUAUGCCUGUGAGAUGCUAGAUGCGAGUACUUAAUUGGGUGCUAUAGAAAGCGAGUCGAUUUAGCACUCGAGCUAAACAUGAGUAUGUGAGGAGCACGUGACUAUGUUUAGGCUAAGAUCCCUAUAGUGGAUAUGUUUAAUAAAUGACACACUCUUAUAGAAAGAGAAAUCCAUUAUAGCAUGUAAUUCAUACUACAUGUGCAUUGUAUGACCAAUAAGGGAAGAUGAGUAAAAUUAUUCCUAUUUACUCAUCGUGUGAGCCUUUGAGGUAAUUUAUAAUUUACCACAAUUUUGUGCCCUAUGUUACUUUUGACUAUGUUCUCGAAGUGAAAGAUCAAUAUUGCUACUUUAGCAUGUUACCGGCGGUCAUGAAUAGAUAUGGCAUUAUGGGACGUGUCUAGGAAAGCAGUUGUUCUGAAAUGGAGAGAGACAUGAGUGCGAAGGAAGACUAUUGUUGUUUUACGUCUAUUACAUGUAUUUACUGGUCGACCAAUUAUAUUGCCCUCUGUGGCUGCGGAUAUAAUUGUAAAUACAUGGUGUUUUGAGAAUAGUCAAGUAUAGCCUUUAAGGGAUAGGUAUACUUGGAUUGAUGUAACAAAAUAUGUCUGGGGCAUCGUGACACAUCGAUUGUUUAUUUCUUUUCGGGGUUGUAGCCAUUAUGUCAUCCCUAACUGGUGCAUAAUUUGAGCUCCCAAAUGCAGGUGUACUCAUUGGUCGCACAGCUUAUUUGCCAGUAUGAAUUGUUUUGUAAAGUUGAUGAAUGUUGAAUGCCUUAUAUUUUUGAUAGAGCGCUAUCAAGCCCAUCAUGUCCGAGUGAGAGAUGUUGUACUUUAGCUGGUACGUCCAUGAUGGGGGUGUGAUUGGAUCGCACCGAUUUGCCUUGAUAUGGUAUGAUGGAAGGACACCAUUUGUAGGGGUGUCACGGAGUAGUAUAAAAGCCUUUUGAAGACAACUGUUGGGGGUUGUUGCUGGCAGAACAUACGCACCAAAUUUCUCUCCCUUUCCAUAAGAAAGAAGAAGGCAUUCAAUUUCAGUUUUACAAGAACAAUCGGCAUUUACGCUGUGGAAAUCGGGUGCUUUUCUCGUGAUCGCAUCCAGACCAACAUGAGGUAAUAUUGUUCGUGUUUCAUCGGCAAUUCAACGUUCAUUCCAGGGCUAAUUAAAGUUUGCGCAUCGGAUAAAGGUAAGUCGUCUUCUGCCGACUUGAAUUCCAACAAGAGGAAAAGCAGAACCAGAACCGGAUGAAGAAAAUGGGAGUCGGCGGUAAAGAAAAGGAAAGAGAAUGGAGGGGAGGGGAAAUGCGUGAGGGAAGAAAGAACGGUGGGAAGAAAAUGAGGAGGAGCAGAAGGGUGGCUGUUUGUGCGAGAGAGAGAGAGAGAGAGAGAGAGAGAGAGAGAGAGAGAGAGAGAGAGAGAGAGAGAGAGAUAAGCCAAUCCAAAGACUUUAGGGAAAAUAUCCUAAAUUCUUCAUCACAUAUGCCUCAAAACUCUUCUACUCUUAUCCUUGGUCUCCCUAAUAUCUUCUUUAACUCUAAUUUCUCAAAAAUAAGGCUUUUUGGGUAGCAAAUUUCAAAUUUGCUUCCCCAUUCAAAUUUCAUUUCCUUGUUCUUUUUGUCCGAAAAUCAUUUUUCCGCAAAAUUUCGAACUCAUCGAAAAUUUGACAAAAGAUGAGACAACAUCCAAUAAAUAAAUUGUGACACCCUCGAAAGUUUGAUUCCCGAAAUCGAAUUAAAUUUCGUGGUUAAAAUCGAUCGAACGCGACUUUAGUACGACAUAAUCUAUCGGGUAGCUUUUAGGAAUUUUAGCGUGUUUGACCCGUGGUCGAUAAUUUUCAACCCACAUUUGUGCAUCUUCGAAUCGUAGACGACCCUCGGUUGUCAUGUAAUCACGGGGGUUCAAUUACGUAUCUUGAAUAUAAUAUCAAUAAAAAAUCGGUUUAUUGCCGUUCAACACGAAUAUCGUAAUCAUGCAGAACCACUCGCACUUCGAUUACGUACUUCCAUCGAAUCCACUUCUAUCCAUUUGCUAAUUGAUUUAUAAUAGUGUGAUAUUGACCUUUGUCGAUUAUUAUGGUUGAGUAGUCGAUUUCUGAUCGAAUUUUCUAGUCUGUUGCGUUUAUACCCCUUAUCAGCCUCACCUAAUAAAUUAGUUAAUCUGUGAGUGAUUAGUUCUGAGUAAAUAACCAUAAGUGCGUCGAUGAAAUCGGCAUUUCAUAUAUUCGAAAUAGGGGUCAAAUUUCGAGACGUCACACGAAGUGAGAAAAUCGAGGUUGUCAAGUAUAAAACUCGACUCGUUGUCCAAGGAUUUUCCCAGAGAUUUGGGAUUGAUUAUAAUGAGACAUAUUCACUUGUAAUGGAUAUGAUUACAUUUCAUUUUCUCAUUAGCCUAGUACUUUAUAAAAUAUUGGAAAUGCGUUUUAUGGACGUUGUGACGGUAAAUCUAUGUGGCUAAUUAAACUUUGAUAUUUAUAUGAAAAUUCAUAAGGGAUUCAAAAUGCCUGAUGCAUACACUCCCCGUAAUUUAUUCUCAAUAAAAUUGCAAAGAUUUUUAUAUGGGUUGAAGCAUUCUGAUCGCAUGUGGUAUUAACGCCUAAGUGAGUACCUAAUUAAGGAAAUGUACAAGAAUGAUCCUAUCUGCCCAUAUGUGUUUAUUAAGAAAUCAGAAACCAGAUUUGCUAUUAUAGUAGUUUAUGUUGACGAUAUAAAUUUAAUUGGAACUCUAAAAGAGCUAGCUAAAAUUGCUGAAUAUUUGAAAAUGGAGUUUGAAGUUAAAGAUUUGGGUAAAACCAAACUUUGUCUUGGUUUAGAGCUUGAGCAUAAAGUAAAUGGAAUAAUCGUCCAUCAAUUAGCAUAUAUUGAAAGAUUACUUAAACGCUUCAACAUGGAUAAGGCUUACCCAUUGAGCACACAUAUGGUUGUAAGGUUUCUAGAUCGUCAAAAGAAUCCGUUUCUCCUAAAAAAUUUGAUAAAGAAAUACUUGGUCAUGAAGUAUCAUAUCUCAAUGCAAUUGGGGGCUUUGUUCUACUUGGGUACAAUGUACAAGACCAUAUAUCCCUUUUGCAGUAAAUUUAUUGGCACGUUUUAGUUUUGAGCUAACUCGGAGACACUAGAAUAUAGUUAAACAUAUUUUCCGUUAUCUCUAGAUUUGGGAUUAUAUUAUUCCAAGGAUUCCACUACCUUUGGUUUAGUUGGAUAUGCUAAUGCUGGAUAUAAAUCUGAUUCACAUAAGACUCGCUCUCAAAUUGGUUAUUUAUUUUGUUAUAACGGCACCGUUAUUUCUUGGCGUUCUAGGAAGCAAUCGCUAGUAACUACAUCCUUUAAUCACUCUGAGAUUAUUGCUUUAUAUGAAGCUAGAAGAGAGUGUGUUUGGUUAAGAUUCGUUAUAACGCAUAUUUAUAAUUCUUAUUGUUUAAUACCGAUUACAAAUUCUCCCACUAUAAUUUGUGAAGAUAAUGCUGCUUGUGUUGCACAAGUUAUGGGAGGAUAUAUCAAAGGUGAUAGGACCAAGCAUAUCUCACCGAAAUUUUACUAUACUCAUGAAUUCCAAGAAAGUCGACAAAUUGAUGUUAAACAGAUUCGAUCCAUAAAUAAUCUGCAGAUCUUUUUACCAAAUCAUUGCUAACGUCAACUUUUAAGAAAUUAAUAUAUGGCAUUGGUAUGCGGCAAGUUCACAAGAUACAAGAUUGAUUAGCCCCAACAAUGGCUAUAUGACUUAAUUGAGGGGGAGAUAUUAUAAACUAUGCAUUGUACAAUUUUUUCUUGGGGGAGAUAUUAUAAACUAUGCAUUGUACAAUUUUUUCUUUCUAUCCUGUUUUUUCUCACAAGGUUUUUCCGGCUUAAAGUUUUUAACGAGGCAAUUAAUGCAUCCAUAAAAGGGAGAGAUCAUAAAAUUUGUGCUCUGUACUCUUUUUCCCUUUUGUCUGGUUUUUGUCUUACUGGGUUUUUCCGGCUUAAGGUUUGUAAUGAUGCAGUAUCAUUCAAUACACAUUCGUAAUAUAAUUAAUACAAUGAAUAUUCAAGGGGGAGUGUUAUGAAAUACAUAAAUGAAUAUUCAUUAUGUCCAUCUUAUCUAAUGUACUUAUUAUGGUACAUUUGUAUCCUACAUUCUAAGUAUAUCUCCCUAUUCAAUGAAAGUUCAUCUCCCUAUCCACUAUAUGUAUCAUUCAAUAUAUUGAUAUUAAUGAUAAGUGCAUCAUUGUUUUCUUAUAAAUAUGAGCUUAGUUUUUGUUAUAGAUAUAAGGUAAUAUAAGGAAAAUAAAUUUUUCUCUUUUGACUUUCUCUACGAUAUUUGGUGUUUGGCUUUCUCUACUAAAUCUCUUUAUUCUCUUUAUUACAUAUUUGCAACGCAAUAUUUUACAAUAUAAAAGAGAUUAUUGCAAUUUUUGCAUGAACAGUGCCAUAUUUAUUAAAAUCAGUUCACGAAAUUCAAAUGUUACAUGAUCUUACAGACUAGAAAAGGGACUUAAAUAGGUGGCUCUUGCUCGACUUCCGAUAAGAGUUUGCCGAAUCAUUCAAAAUGGCAACUUUGUAAAUCGAUCUUAGCAUAUCAACUAUUGUUAUAUACCCAUGCUCAAGAACCAAAUUAGAUGAGAAUAGAAAUUGUAUAACCAAGAAUUACGGACUGACAACCAGGUUGUCACCAUCAUAUGUUGAAGGCACGAUAGCCCAAAAAAAGGAAAAGAAAGGGUGGAAAAUUGCUCCAUGACCUUUCCGUUACGAUGAGUUGGAAAUUUUUUGGGCCAAACAUCACUAGUAAAAGUCCACAAAGACCAUGACUUCUCAGGAACCAGUAUAACGAGUACUGAUGCACCAAUCAAUAGGCAUGAAACCCUAAUAGAUCUUGAGUUCUUGAGUCGGUACAUGUCCAUUCUACCACGUGAUGGUCGUAGAAUCAACGUGCGAGACCUUGAAGGCCUUGACUUCUUGACCAUUGAAGUGCGUACUCGACAAGGACCUUGACUUGUUCAUGGAUAUGUACAAGAUCCAUCCAUACAUGCAUCUGGUUUAAUUUCUUCUUCUUCUUUUUCUCUUUUUUUUUUUUGGCUAGUAUGCUGAUUCAAGUUCUGAUUGAUUCGUAAAUCACCAAAUUUAGAGAUUCACAUGAGCAAAAUAUUCUUGGUGACGGAAACGAUGAAAAUGUUUCAAAGGUGCUCAUUGUAGGGGACCAUGCACAGAGGGUGGAAGAAGGGCAAUUGUCAACUUAAAAUGCAGUGCAAGAAAGGAUUUGAUUGCACAACCACAAGACCCCCAUCAUUUUUCUCUCUUUAUUAUGUGUAUUUAUGUUAUUUUCUUUGGCCAAAAAAUGAAUAUUGUUGCUACCAACAUUCAAUUUGGUUAAUCUUAACCACCAAAAGAAGCAUGCCUCAUGUCUAGGUGACAGCGUUGGUACCGUUGUCCCACAGAAGCUAACACUUUCUCGUUGCUAAAUAGUGUCCUUAUUACACAAAUCUUUUAAGAGGAUAACAAAGACUAUUACAAUUUCAAUGCACUGAACUUUUUCACAGUAUGUGUAACGAAUGCUCUGGGAGGUGAGAAUUUCUUAUUAAUAAAAUAUACUAAGCAAGUGUGUUGAGAGAAGUCGUGAACAUGAUAAGACACAAAAGACAAUGCUAGUGGGGUCAACAUAAGAUAAGUGUAAAUAUUACCCCACUUGGUGAAAGUGCAGUGAAAAUGAAAUCUUUAAAAUAUUUAGGACCAAAUGGUACAAGUAAAAGGUUUAAGAUUGAAUUAACCACUGUACAAUAGAUGUAGGGUUUUUUGGACAAUUUUCGCCUUUCUUAUGCCCUUUUUCUCUUUUGUAUUUGGUGAAGUUGAUUCGAUUUUUGUAUGCUUUUGGAUUCGGUUGUGAGAGUUAAAGAAAGCAUUUCUACUUCUUGGCAUGCAUGAGAUAUUCUUAAAGAAAUUAUAUUUUAAAAAUGCACGCAUAUGGAACAAAUAUGGAAAAUUAUCAAAAAAGUCCUAAAUUUAUUGCACACUAAUUUAGUUCUAAAUUUUUCAAUUUUGUCAAUUAAAUCCUAAUUUUUUUCACGUUUUGCCAAUUGAGUCUAUCUAGUUAGCGUGGCAUGGUCAACAUGGAUGCCUGCUGUCUAUGUGGCACAACUAAUAUUAAUGUGGACAAUUCUUAAUAUUAUUUUUAAUAUUUUUAAUAUUUUUUCUCAUUUCCUUUUUUUUAUUUGUCAUUUUAACCUUUUUCCCUCCACUGGCCACCAUUGGGCAUGAUUGCCAGAGGUUGCCGACCUUAGACGAGGGCAGCGCUCACCAAAUCAGGGGAGGAUAACGGUUGUCCUCAGUGGCCCAGGCAAGGGCUACCCACCUCGGCCAUGUGAGGGAGACCCUGACUAGGGGCCAAUGAGUGCAGCCCUUCCUAGCCCCCCCUCCCUCUCCAACCAAGGCAACCCUUGCCUGAGGCCGGCGACUUUCACUAGUCAUUGACAAGGUGUAACGAUGGCUAGUGGAAAGAAAAAGGAAAAAUAAAGAAGAAAAAUAAAAGAAAAAAAUGAAAAUAAGAGAAAAAGAAAAAAAAGAAGAAAAGAAGGAAAGAGAAGAAAAAAAAAGGAAAAACGUUUAGGGAAUAAAUAUUAGUAUCUUAUUAAAAAUUGUCUAUGUCAUAGCCGGUUGUGCCAUGUAAAAUUGCCGACGUCCAUGUUAGUGAUUUUUGGCAAAAAUUGGUCAAAUGGAUUUAAUUGGCAAAACAUAAAAAUAUUUAGGACUCAAUUGAUAUAAUUAGAAAUUUAUGACUAAAUUGGUAAAAGUGUAAUAGGUUUAGGAUUUUUAGGAUAAUUUUCACGGACCAAAGGCCAAAGUUCUUCGUCGUUAUUAAGUUCUUCAUCGUUAGAAGAUGAACUCCGUCUAUCUUGAUUGGGAUACUAUGGCUCGUGACAUCGUUAUCGACUCGACUUGGAGUAGUACAAAGGCCAAGUUUCUUCUUCGUGCGUGUGGGAAGGGUUUGAACUAUUAGACCAUUAAUGACAAUUGAUAGAAACAAUCUUGGCUGGGUUAAAAUAGGACUCGGUUAAUGAAGUCUUUGAAGGACCUGUUCAAUCAUGAAAGUGAAAGUGCUAGUAUGAACACCUAGAGAGGGGGUGAAUAGGUGUGAAUAAAAUUUUUUGUAAAGAAUAGUAGAAAUAUUUUUCUUCUGAAACCGAGUCUGAAUAAUAACAGAAUUUUGAAACUGAGUUUGAAAAAUAACAGAUUUUGAACGAGUACAGACUUUAGCAGUUAAAUAGAACUACGAAUAAAAUAAAGGAGUUCAUGGAUGAGAAUAAGAACACAAGGUUUAUAGUGGUUUGGCUUAGACCAAGCUUACGUCCACUCUCCCACGCUAACAGCCUUCUUGUUGGAUUCCACUAUGCAAUCAACAAGAGAUUACAACUUUGAGUGCAAACACUUAGUAGUAGAUCACACUAUCUCACUAAGUCACUCUUUUGGUAUUUCUCUCACGAUCACAAAUGUUUAAGCUCACAAGAGACAAGUGUAUGAUCGAAGUUUGCUCAGACUUUGGAAUUAUAAAUUCUACGUUCCAUCUCUUAUUUGCUCAUCGGUCCUUGAUCUCCUUAAAUACUCAUCAACUUCCAAACUAACCAUUGGACAAUAUCUCAGAGAAUUGUUUUCCAAUAUACCCAUUGGACAGAUCUGUAUCUAGAAGAUUUGGUAACCGUUGAGUGAAAAAAGUAGAAUCCCAAAUUGAUUAUGAUUGCCUAUACAAAUAGAAUCUUGGUUUCCAUAAGUAGAGCUUCUUCGUAUAGAAAGUUCUUAUCUUCAAGAUCCAAUUGUCAAUCAAAUCAAUCUUGAUGUAGAAUCCAAACCAGAUCACUAGCCGUUACAUGAUUGUGGCUUGUGUUACGUUCUAUCGAGUUGUCUCGUUCUAAAUGUAAAGUUUGAGAGUGUUCUGUCUAAAAUAGAGUUUGAGUGCAAUAGACUUUACAAUCUAAGUCUGAAUGUAAUAGACUUUACAAUCUGAGUCGGAACAUAUUCUACUUCUGAAUAUAUUCAGCCUUAAGGUCUGGACACGGUCUGAAUAAGUUCAGCUUCGGCAUAGAGUCUGUCUUCUGGUUCUUCAUUCACAUUCAAUCUGGAAUUUAUCAGAGUGGGUAGACUUCUGAUGUAGAACAGACUUUGACACUAAAGUCUGGCAGUCUUCGGACUUUGACACAGAAGUCUGGAAAUCUUCCGAAUAUACUUUGGACAUGUGUUACGUUCAGUCUUCUGGCCGUCCUCAGACUUUGACAAUAUCUUUGAUUCGUUCUAUCAUCUGCAUAGUCUAUUACUCAACCAUCAAACAUGUUAGUAGCUUUUGAUUUAUUUUGUCAUCUUCAAAACAUCAUAAGGGAUUUUCCUAACAGAAAGAUCAUUAAAAGAGUAAGAAAGUAAUCUAGAUGAAAUGUUGAAUGUAGAACAAAACAUUGGAUGUAGAAUAAAGGGCUAAUCAUCCUGACACUGAACUAUUUAAUAGUUCGAAUUACGUAUAUAUAGUUCCGUUCACUAACCAUGUCUAUUCUACAAACGAUUUUGAAAUAGCAUGAAGGGAUAAGUUUCACGUUAUUUAAGUGUCUUCCCAUGGCAGCCUAGGAAUCGCCAUUGCUAUCACAAAACGUAGGAUUCCGAGUUUAUGAAAAUUUACCUCACAACAUAUAUUUUUUAUGCCAUAUAUUCAUUAUGAUUGACGAGUUACAAGUAAUAUAUCUUAUUUCAUCUCAGCUAUUAAUUAAUGUCCUUUCCAAAUUAUUUUUUCUCGUAAACAUUGGUAGGCUGCAUCUGCAUUAAUCUUAGUAGGAGCUUGCCUUAAGGAACCAUGCUCAUUAGUCCUUAUCAAUGUUUUCAGCAUAUAUCCCUUGCUGCUUUCAACUUCUUUUUAGAAUGCACUUAUCAAAUUUAAUCAGGUUUUUAAAACAGAUUGAUUAUUUAAAUUAUAUUCACAAAUCUUUUCCAGCUCGAGACACAGCUCGAUCGACAAUUAUAUAAACUUCAGUCUGAAUACAUACUACAUGAACGAUUUUUAGAUAGGAGAAAGUCAAACAGGAUGCGUCUAACUUGAUUCUUUUUGGCUGCAGAAAGUAUUCAUACACAACAGAGAGUCUAUAAUCAAGAAAGUGGAGAAGACAACGUGUCAAAAUUGCUUAUUCAAUUAUUUCCGUAUUUGUAUAUAUAGCCUUCUGCAGUCACACCUUCUCAUGUUCAUGUUCAAGAAGAUGCCGUCCAUGAACUUGCCUUAUUCACAGCUCCUCCUCAUUCCAGCAAUUUGUCUGCUCCUCCUUUUUGUCUUUCUGUAUUGCUCUCCGUUUAACGGAAAUCAUGAUAUUCCUGUUUCCAAUCUGUCUUUUUCUUCCAACAGCCACACCAUAAGACCAUCAUCGUUUGCAGUUAACAGGCUUCUCUCGACCUCCAUGUACAAAAGCAGAUCUAGACAUAACACCAUCAAAGUGAGUAUUGUCAUGUGUAUCAGUGUGUUAAUUACUUCGUAUUACCAAGUUACAACGUCUAUUGUGGUGUUUGUGGGUUAACGAGGGAAGUUUUUCCGGUGCCUGUAGAAGAAGAGUAGUUUAGAAAGAAUCGAAGAUGAUUUGGCUCAAGCCCGUGCAGCAAUUCGGAAAGCCAUUCAGUCCCAAAGCUACACUUCUGAUAAGGAAGAGACGUUCAUACCCAGAGGAAAUGUGUAUAGAAACCCCUACGCUUUUUAUCAGUUAAGUCCUCCUUUGAGUUCACUUAAAGUUCAGAGUUUCUUUUUUUCACAAGGUUUGUGUUAAUAUCAAUCUUGGUAGGUUUGUGUUCAGUGCAAGCAUGCGUGUUUUUGUAAAGCGCCAUGGAAUCAAAAUUUAGAAUACCUAACGUUAAUUUGACUCGAGAUUGUGCACAUUAUAGUUUACUGAUUCUAAAACAAGAGUCCUAUUUCUUUCUUCCCCGUUUUUUGGACUUGAUUUCGGGCAGGAGCCACAUGGAGAUGAUGAAGAGAUUCAAGAUAUGGACGUACAGAGAAGGCGACCAUCCUUUGGUACAUUACGGGCCGGUGAACGUCCUAUAUGCCACUAAAGGACAGUUCAUCGACGAGGAGGAGGACAAGCGGAACCCAUUCAGGGCACACCAUCCUGACAAGGCACAUGCCUUCUUCCUUCCUUUCAGUGUGACCAACGUCGUCAACUAUGUGUACGAACUGAUCCUCUCCAUCCACGACUAUAGGCGGGAUAGAUUACAGAGGUUCGUGUGUGAUUACUGAUGGAAGAACAGUAACAAUUCGAACAAUAUCGAAUUAACGCACCGGAAUAAAAUAAUCUCCAAUUUUUACCAAACAGAUAAAAAUAAAAUAAUUUCCCUUCUUGUGUAAACUUAAUAGGAAUCGAUAUGGUAAAGUAAAAAAAAUACCAAUCACACGAACACAAGACGAUUUUUUACGUGGAAAACCUCCUCGAUGUGAGGAGAUCAAAAAACACGGGACCGGAGUCCACCUGAAAUUCUUCACUAUCAACAAAAUUGUUCUUCUCUAGCAAAUACUAGAGGUACAUAGCAGCAAAGACCUCAAGAACAUAAUUCUUAGCAAUACACAGGAAUUUCACAAGAGAUCAAGAAUAAAUUUGACCAAAAACGCAGGUUUUGAUCAAUCCACAAAAAACUUGAUGUAGGGAGUUUCAAAUGAAAAUCAAACCGUUCAGAUUCGAUGAAAUUGAGCCAGGAACAUGCUGACAAAAUUUCAGCCGAAUCGGACCACGAAUCGACCUCCGACGCCAACUUGAUGUAAAUCGGAUUUUGCCCCAAAUCUCAGAUUUUCUACUUUCUCUUUUUCUCUUGUUACUAUUUUCUUUUGCGGCUAUCACUUUAUAUAGAUAGUGAGAAACCAUAUUUUCUCAUAUAACUUAUCAUAUGGGCUCAAGCCCCUUUUGGGCUUGCAACUUAUUAGGCCUCCUCCACAUAGGAGUGAACCUAGUUAACAAAUCCCCCCUCACGACAAUGUGGAGGGAUUCACCAUCCCUACUAUCAAUUGACAAUGUUUAAGCUUUUCUCUUGGUAGGGUCUUCGUCAUCAUAUCAGAGCCAUUAUGAUCCGUAUGAAUUUUCUCAAGUUCCACAACUUUUCAUCUAUAACAUCUCUUAUCCAAUGAUAUCUAACAUUAAUAUGUUUCAAUCUAGAAUGAAAAGAUGAACUCUUACCAAGAUGAAUUGCGCUUUGAUUAUCACAAAAUAGCACAUACCUCUUUUGCUUGAACCCAAGUUCUUCUAAGAACUUCAUCCAUAGCAUCUCUUUACCGGCUUCAGUGGCUGCAAUAAAUUCAGCUUCGGUUGUGGAAAGUGCAACACACUUCUGCAAUCUUGACUUCCAUGACACAGCUCCACCCGCAAAAGAAAUCAAAUAACCAGAAAUAGAUUUACGAGUAUCAAUAUCUCCUGCCAAGUCGGAAUCUGUGUAUCCAACUAACUCAACUUUCCCGGUCCCGAAACUGAGUUUCAAAUUUAAAGUUCCCCGAAGAUACUGUGAAAGCUAGUAUGAGCACCUAGAGGGGGUGAAUAGGUGCAGAAACAAUUUUGCGAGAUAUGUGCAGUGCAAAUCAACAAUAGAUUAUGAAAAAGGAAAUUCUCAAAACGAAUUACGAUCAAAGUAAAAGAGUGUAGAGAAGAGAAUAUGAACAUAGAGAUUAUAGUGGUUCGGCUUAAUCCAAGCCUACGUCCACUCUUCCGCACUGACAGCCCACUGGCUGGAUUUCACUAUGAACAAAAGAGUUGUUACAGUUAGGCUCUUCCUUGAAUCCACAGUGUAGAGACUCUACUACACUUCCUCAAGGUCUUUCAAUGAUAUAGACUCUCUUUUGCGUACAAGAUUUCGCUCAGUAGUUUAAUUGACUAAGAACAAGGAGCUUCAGACUUUGGAAUUCUUCUAUCGCACACACUCUUGAACAACUGGAACGUCUUCCUUAUAUACUCCUUUAUGCUAUCAUACCCGUUGGCACUUACCAAAGGAAUUCUUCCAAUCUACCCGUCGGACAGAAUCAAUUAGGAAGAUCUUCGAGCUAUUUAAGGAACAUGACGAUAGCCCAUCAAUCCUGCUCGCCCAUACAAUCAGGAUCUUGGUUUCCAUAAGUAGAACCUUCCAAGUAUACUUCGCCAAUCAACGAAUCCACGAUUCCCAAAUCAAUCUUGAUCAAAAUCAAGGAUUCCGACAUGCUAUAUCCAACCAGAAGAUCUACUCCAGUCGAUAAAGUCAAAUCCUUGACGAAACAUCCAGUUCUGGAUAAGUCUUCUUCGACGGUCUAGAAACUGUCAACGAGGAUAGACUUUGAGUCUUGAGUUUGGCAGUCCGGAGGUCUUCAGACUUUGAUGGAAGAGUCUGCAAGUCUUCAGAUUAGACUGAUGAAAAUGUUUUGUAGCUUCAAAACACUCAAGGAAGUUUUCUCCAACAAUCUCCCCCUUUUUGAUGGUGACAAAACUUUCCUGCAGAUUUGGAUAACUUUGACCUGCAAAACAUUACUCAAGCAAAUAUGGAUAUCUCAUAAAGAUAAAUGGCUUAGUAAUAACAUUAGAAUCUGCAUCCACAGAAAGUAGGUUAGUUUUAUGAACAAGGCCAUGAGAUAUUCAAUAAUACUUAAGAUAAAUAGAUGUUCAAACAGUCAAUUCCAAAUCCAGUCCAAAUCCAAACAGCCAAACACAAACAUCAAGUCAAUCAAAAAAGUUUUAAAUCCAAAAAUCUGCACAUCUCUCCCCCUUUUUGUCAUCAUUAAAAAGAUAGAGAUGAAAAGAGAAUGAAAUUAAGAUGGCUUGGGAACACGGACAAGCUGGAAAUCUCCCAUUGACUGAACAAUGCCUUCCAGCCUUUUUAAGUCCUCCUUUAGUUGCGCUACUUCUUCACCCUUAGCAUUUGCCUGAACUUGAAGAGCAAGGGCUUGGAGUUGAUCAUACAAAGAAACUGAGGAAGCUUGUCUUGCAUUAUGCAUAUUCUGAAGUUCGCAUCCUAGAGCAUAGAUUUGACCUUUCAUCUCCAAAAGAAUAUCAAUAAUUCUGCGAAAGUCUGCUGAAUUAUCAGUUUGAGUACUUGCUUCUGCACGAUCAGACGGUGUAUCAGCAUUGUCACGCAGAUUGGGCGAUGAAACAUUGUGUCCCUCCUCAGGAAAUUGUGAGGCAUAGAUGUCCUCUGGAUCUGCUGGAGAGCGACUUACUCCUUCACUGGUGGCAGGGAUUGAGGAUGUUCCUCUUUUCUCAGGAUCUCCCCCCGUUUCCAUGCCUUUAGGUGGAGAAGAGUGUUCUUCAUGUUCUUUUUCUACUCUCUCCUCCUCCUCCUCUUCUUCUUCUUCUUCUUCUUCAAUUCUUUCCUCCUCUGCAUCUCUCUCCUCUGCUUCUUUCUCAAAAUCUUCACUAUCUCCAGUCCUCUAUUCUGCUUCAGCCGAGUCUUUUUCCUGUCUCUCAUUUGAUUCUGGUGCAGAACGACUCAAGUUCUUCAAAGCCAUUGCAGAAAUGGUAAUGUCAUCCUCAUCCUCUUCAUCCUCAAUGAUGAGAGCUCUUCUUUUCUUGGAUGGAGCAACCAUGGGCUCCUUCCAUUUCCUUUUUGUAGCCGAAGAUAUUUGAUGAGUCUUAACAGGGGUUUUCUCCUUGAACUUCUCCAACUCCUUGUUGAGUUCCUUCAGAUGCAUUUUAGAGACCAUUUUCAGUCCCACCACCAUUUGAUCGCACACUCGAUCGCAAAGAAUUUGUGGAGGCUGAAUAUUCAAGUGUCUGAAUAACUUGGUCACAAGAGCUGGAUAAGGAAGUUGACCCUUGUCCUUCACCACUGCCCUGUACAUGUGGAACAUAAUAGUGUGUGGAAGAGAGAAUUUUUUCCCAGCAUUGAUGGCAUACAUCAACUUUGCCUCCGAGUUUGAAACAUCGGUCUUUGAAGUAGAUUUCGGUCUGAGGCAGUUAAUCACAAUCUUGUGAAGCAGAAUGUUGGUUGCAUUCAUCCUCAAAUAGGAAAUCUUGUCUUCCGUUCUUCGAUUCUUAACAAGUUCCAAUGUUGCACGAGCAAUAGACACACUGAUAGGUUGAUAUCUCCCUCUUUCAACCCCAAUCACAUCAGCCAAUGUAUUCAUGUCAACAACAUGGUCCUGAUCUUGAACACUAAAAGAGAAUCUAUUCGCAUCCAAGAAACUAAGAUUCGAAUAGAAAUAAGCAGUAAGUUCAGCAUAGGCUUCUGUAGAUUUAGAACAAAACCGUUCGAGUUGAAGAAGGCUGAAUUUCUCCUGCAGAUUGGCAUUCACAGAGUCAAGAAAAUCAAAAUCCAUACUUCUAGGGUUUAUCACCCCACGCUUCAGCAACUUAGAGUACAGUUGCUUGUGGUCAUCCGAUCUAAACAAGUCUGUCCUUUUGCUUCGGAUUUUUACCGCAACACCCAUUCUCGGUUUAAACUGACUAUACAUCCUAUCAUCGUCAUUCCCAUCUGGCUGACUCAACCCUCCAACACGUGGAUCAGUUGGGAUAUUUGCGAAUGCCUCUUCCGCCGAUCCAGCAGGGGCAAUUCCCAAACGUUCCAUCGUGCGUAGAAAAUAGGUUUCAUUUCGAUACCCUUUUUCUUUCAAAAAUUCGUCAAUGUAGUUCAAAGGAGUACCACCCCUCUUCAAAGCAUGGUAAAGCUUAUAAGUAAAGCCAGGCUUAAGAGUUAUUACGGGUUCUGCGUCUUCGAUGAUUUCUUCCUCUUCUUGAUGUGCAACAUUCUGAGGUCUAGAUGGAGGAGAUGGACGCUGCUGAGAAUGUUGUGGGCUCUGUUGUUGAUUAGGAGAUUCCUCUUCCUCGGUAAGAUCAAAGUGCGUAGGCCCCUCACGCAUCUGCUGUGGUCCUUUGUUCGCGAUCCUCGAAGACUUUCUUUGAGAAGACAUUUUUCACAGUAUUGGAGGGAUUCCAAGCUUGUUUUCCCAAGAAAGAUGACAACUUUUCGAAGAUUAAACAAGAGAAGAAGAUAGAAAUGGAAGAUCUGUGCUCUCUUAGGGUUUUUGUGAGUAAAAUGAAGAAGAACCGACAGUAUAUAAGACAAUCGAAGAGAUGCAUACGGAACGUCGUAAAAAGGAAAUAUAAAGAUGCCAUUUAAAAAAUAACUGCAUUUUCAAAAAUUAGAUAACUGUCAUUUUAAAAAUUUCUUUUUUGAAAAGGAAAGAUUACAAUAAUCACGGAAAUUAAAAAUAGCAACAAUCAAUUACGGAUAUAUGAUCGUACCUUUUCGAGAUUUGAUCUAAGAGAAAAUAAAAUAUCUUACAGUAAAAAAUCUUGAUCAUCUGAGUCUGAGAGUCUUUAGACUUUCAGUCCUGGGUCUGAACUUCCUCAGACUUUAAGAUAUUGAGUCUGGAACGAAUAGCUUCAAAUUGAUUUUUCUCCAAAGGCUUUGUAAAUAUAUCCGCCAGUUGAUUCUUUGAGUCAAUAAACUGAAUCGAAACUUCUCCAUUUUGAACAUGAUCUCUAAUGAAGUGAUGUCGAAUCUCUAUAUGUUUUGCUCUUGAGUGAAGAAUCGGAUUCCUGAUGAGAUUGAUUGCGCUGGUGUUGUCACAUUUGAUUUCAGUGCAUGAAUCUUCAAUUCCAAAGUCUCUUAACUGUUGUUUUAUCCACAGAAUUUGUGAACAACAACUUCCAAGAGCUACAUAUUCUGCUUCUGCUGUAGAAAGAGCUAUUGUACUUUGCUUCAUUGAAAACCAAGACACUGUCCUGCUUCCAAGUAGUUGACAGGUGCCCGAUGUGCUCUUUCUAUCAACUCUGCAUCCGGCUAGGUCUGCGUCUGAGUAUUCAAGAAGAGUAAAGUCUCCUUCUUUAGGAUACCCGAGACCCAAAGUUGAAGAUGAGGCAAUGUAUUUGAUAAUACGUUUUGCAGCACUUAAAUGAGAUUCUCUCGGGUCUGAUCGAAACCUGGCACAAAUGCAAACACUAAACAAAAUAUCAGGUCUAGAAGCAGUAAGGUAAAGAAGUGAACCAAUGAUGCUCCUGUAUAGCUUCUGGUCGACUUUCUUUCCUCCUUCAUCUUUGUCCAACUUCAAGGAAUUUGACAUUGGUUGUGGCAUCCCAAAAUUCAUAAUGACCUCUAGUUACAUUAAAGUCUAUGAAUAGGUGAUGGAAGUAUCAUCAAGUUAUGGCCAUUUAAUCCAUAAUUUGCAAUAAGAUUUAUGACCAAGCUUUUAAUGGAUAAUUAUGUGAGAGAAAAGAAAAUUCUAUCAUUGGCCAUGUGUAUUAUAAAUUGGAAUUUAUGGAUUUGUGACUACAAGUUUUAUGGCCUUAUUACUUUUGCAAGUUAGGUAUUUAUUUAAGUGAAAAAUGUUAAUAGAUUAUUAAAAGGUUAGUGGGCCGAAAUUCUAAGGCCAAGCAUUGUAAAGGAUGAUUGUUUGGAUGGAGGUGUGUCUUCAAGUGACCCAAGGAAUCAUUAAAGUGCAAAUUGAUAUAGAAAAUCUUAUUCUUGGUGGUGCACUUUAUAAGUAGAAUUUUAUUGAUUUAAAUUUAUAGAGUUUUGUGGGCUUAUAAGUUGAAAUUAGGUGUUUAUUUAGUUUGGGAUUUAAAGGAAUAGGAAUAGGAGGGGGUGGGCUGAUUUUAGGGCCCAAAGCCCAUCCAACCAUCCCACACCAGCCCCCUAUUCGACCAGCCCAUUGCUGGCCCAAGCCCAGCCGAAGAUGGAGGCCCAUCUUGCAUGAAGGAGGAGCCACAUGGCCUCCAAGUGUCUUCAACAAAGAAGACACUUGUCUCCUUCUUAGGGACAAGUGUCCCCCAUGCAAAAUAAGAAUACAUGCAAUAUAUGUCCAACUAAAAGGGAAGAGGAAGAGAGAGAAUGGCUGGUUGAGAGCCACCGUCCAAGUCAAAGGGAGAUAGCGAGUUGCGCGAGAGAGAGUGAGGUCAAGAGAGGAGGAGCUCGCUCGUCACCGCCUGCACGCCGUCAGUCCGUCGCCGGUGUGCCGUUCGUGCGCCGCUGUCCGCUUGGUCUUUGAGGCAAGUUGGGAUUGAUUUCCACUCUUGCAUGUGUGUCUUGCAUGUGUGGCUGAGUUCUUGGAUGUUUAGAGGCUAGAAAUCGAAGUGAAUGAGGUUUGUUCUUGGAGAUGCUUGCUGUUUUCGUAUGAACCGCCUGAACCAGAAUCUUGUGAGAGUUUGCAUGCAUGUUUUGAGUUCGAUUUUAACCUUGAUUGCUUCAUGAAAGUUGUAGUAAGCAUCUUAAAAUACAACAUACUAACAUUUGGGACAAAAUGAUGGAGAUUUAAGGGGUCAAACCCUCAUCCUACAAAGACACUAGAUCUGGAACGAUUUUGCUGACCUUUUGGUAGAUCUGUGGUUGCAUGUUGCUUUUUAUCAAGAAUCUCUCUUCUACUUCUUCAUGAAACUUGUAGAGAACAUCUUAAAGACCAACAUACUCAAAUUUGAAGUAAAAUGAACAAGUGUAGCCUAGUGAAUCAACUUACUCUUGAAGACGGUAAAUCUGGAGACGCGGUACAGGACACCCGAUUUCAUGGACCCAUAUGAUGACUAUACUCUGGAAAUUUGACCUAGAUCCCUUAUGAAAGUUGUAGGGAACCUCUUGAAGUAAAACAUAUCCAAAUUUCAGAGGAAACGAAGAAGAAUAAGUGGGUGAAAACUCGAUAUUUCGGAGAUACCUACACUGGACGUUUCGGUACUAGAACCAGAAGCUUCGUAUGACUAUAGAAAAUUAACUAAAACGAAUCUGGACUAGAAGUCUUCAUGAAAAAACUACAUUAGUGUCUUAAAUAUAACCUGGUAAAAUUUCAUAAUUUUCAGAGGUCAUUCGGGUAUUUUAAUCAAAUUAUUUCGAGAACUGCACAUUCUGUUUCUAUCCGAAAUUGUAUGCUGUGUUGGUGUAAAUCAUAUCUUUUGUGUGGAACUCUAUUGGGCAUGUAUUUCUCAUGAAAUUAUUAUCUUGUUGUCUUGCCUAUCACAUGCCUUGAUUUCAUGAUUUUUGAGAAGCAUAUGGAUAUUUAAUUUAAGUAUUUUCAAAAAUGGUACAUGCUGGAAUUUUGAAAAAGGCAUGAAAUAUGGACCAUUUUAAAUUGCAUGGACCUCAUGAAGUGUAUUGUUAUGGAUGAUGGUGUCUUGCUGCAUGUACGAUAAUGAUUUGAGAUGCAUGUAUGAAUUCAAUGAUGAAUAUGAUCUUGGUUGCCAUCACAUCGCAUGCCAUGUUGAAAUUGAGCCAUAAUUGUGAAUGUGAAAUUGAAAAUGAGAUGUAUAAGAACAUGCAUCGUGGUGAUGAUGAUACCGUCGGAGGUGUGAGCCGAUGAUGCCCCGGGAGUCGGGAUGCCCAAAGGUUCGAAUGAGUCGAUGCCCUUUGGAUGCCUGGUUGUAUUAUGAAUACAUGCCCAGAGGUUUUCCCCGGGAGUGUCGGGAUGCUCGGUUGUAUUAUGAUACAUGCCCGGAGGGUGAGGGAUUGUAUCAUGAUGCAUGCCCGGAGGGUAGGGGUAACCAUUUUCAUGGCGAGCCCCGGAGAUUCCUCGUGAUGCCAGGUGGGAUGCGAGAUGUCCAGAGGUUCGAAUGAGUCGAUGCCCUUUGGAUGCCCGGUUGUAUUUUGAAUACAUGCCCGGAGGUUCCUCGUGAUGCCAGUUGGGAUACGAGAUGUCCGGAAUGUGGGGGUGCCGAAUGCCCGGUUGUAUCUUGGAUACAUGCCCGGAGGUUCCUCGCAAUGCUAGGAUUGGGCGAGAGUGAUGAAUGUGGGAUGCAAACAUUGGUCCCGGGAAAGAGAAAUGUGGCGGUCCAAAAAAAUGAAAUUGAAAUUGAAUUUAUGCAUGAUGAUAUAUGCAUGACGAUGAGAUGUGCAUGGAUACAUGGUAAUGAUGAUAGUACAUGUGAUAUGAUGAUAUGAUGAUGAUGUUACAUGCAUGGAUGCAUGGUAAUGAUGAUGGUACAUGUGAUAUGAUGAUAUGAUGAUGAUGUUACAUGCAUGGAUGCAUGGUAAUUAUGAUGGUACAUGUGAUAUGAUGAUAUGAUGAUGAUGUUACAUGCAUGGAUGCAUGGUAAUGAUGAUGGUACAUGUGAUAUGGUGAUAUGAUGAUGAUGUUACAUGCAUGGAUGCAUGGUAAUGAUGAUGGUACAUGUGAUAUGGUGAUAUGAUGAUGAUGUUAUACGCAUGGAUGCAUGGUAAGGAUGAUGCCAUAUGUGACAUGAUGAUGGUAAGUGUAUGAUAUGAUGGUGAUGUCUAUAUGAUGAUGAUGAUGCACAUGAGGUAUGAUGACAUGUGCAUGAUGCCAUGGUAUGUUGUGCAUGGAUGCUUGUAUGACAUGUGAUGCUAUGAUUGUGAUGAUUGCAUGGCAUGAUGUAUUGAGUGGUUUAUUGGUCUUUUACCUGCUGAGUGGUUGUACUCACCCCUUUUGAGGAAUAACAUUUCAGACUAGAUAAGAUACCUCUGCUGCCACUGCUACCAGUAGAUGAAUCAAGUGGUUGGAUAUGAUUGCGAGGAGGAGGAUAGUAAAGGGAGGAACUUUUGGACGCCGACACUGAUCGAUGGACUUUAAGUAUUCGACUAUUGGAGAAGAUGUCGGUCAUAUUUUGAAGUAUAGCCGAGUAUAGAAACAUUGGCAUUUCGAUGUACCGACUAAAGAUGUCCGUCUGCUUUAUGUAAAUAAACGUGUUCGGCUUUAACUUAUAUAAGAUGUUUAGUAGGUGUGCAUCGUUUUCUGAAUAUAGGGAAGGGAGUUGUUGGAUGUGCUUCCAUAUAUAAAUUGCGCAAGGGACCGAUAUAAAAGAUGUAAACCCCCAGGUUGUAUGGACCCGCUGCAAUUGAAAUGGUAUCAGAGUGACAUGUUAUUAGGAAAAGUGAAUGGUAAGCGAACUGUGGCGACCCUAAUCGGAUCGGGGGCCGUCGUGGGGGUUCCACAUUGGUACAUCAGUCUUUUUGCAAUUCUCCAGUCCAAACUUUUUGACAAGAUCUUUAGCAUACUUUUCUUGAUGAAUAAAGGUUUCUCCCUUCAGUUGUUUUACUUGGAGCCCAAGAAAGAAGGUUAGUUCACCCAUCAUGCUCAUUUCAAAUUCAUCCUGCAUAGACUUAGAGAAUUUCUUGCACAGACUUUUAUUAGAAGAUCCAAGAAUAAUAUCAUCAACAUAAAUUUGAACAAGUAGAAAACUUUUGUUUUCUCUUUUGAUAAACAAUGUAGUAUCUACAUUACCUUUGACAAAGCCAUUUUGGAUUAAAAACUUACUUAGUCUAUCGUACCAAGCUUGAGGUGCUUGCUUUAGACCAUAUAGGGCUUUUUUCAGUCUGAAAACAGAGUCUGGUUUCCUUGGGUCUUCAAAACUGGGUGGUUGUUCCACAUAGACUUCCUCUUGGAUAAAUCCAUUUAGGAAAGCACUUUUGACGUCCAUUUGGAAUAACCUGAAAUUUUUAUGACAAGCAAAAAGCAAGUAGUAAUCUAAUUGCUUUUAACCUUGCUACUGGUACGUAAGUCUCAUCAUAGUCUAUCCCUUCUUCUUGCGUAUAUCCCUUGGCCACGAGUCUUGCUUUGUUUCUUACAACCUUUCCUUUCUCAUUCAUCUUGUUUCUGAAAACCCAUUUAGCUCCAAUGAUGGAUUUUCCUUUCGGUUUAGGAGUCAAUUCCCAGACAUCAUUGAUACUGAAUUGCCUGAGUUCUUCUUGCAUGGCUUCAAUCCAGCUUUCAUCAGUUAGAGCUUCUUCUAUACUUUUGGGUUCUUUUUCAAAAAUAAGAGCCACAGCACUAGACUCUUCGCGCCUUUUGGAUCUUGUGCGAAUUCCUUCAUUAAUAUCGCCGAUAAUGAGAUCUGUGGGAUGACUGGACUUAUGCUUCCAGUUGCUGGUUGAUUUGUUAGACUGUUGAUCUUUUUCCUCAUUUGAAUCUUCGCCAAUUAUUUGUUACUGGUCUUCUAAAGUCUGAGCUGCUUCCGGAGAUUUAGACUUUGUGGAGUCUAGAGCAGGUUCAGAUUCUUCAAGUUGAGUCUGAAUCGAUUCAUUUUGCAUAGAGUCUUGAAAUUUGACAUUAAUUGAUUCCUCCACAGAUUGAGUCUUUUUGUUGUAUACUCUGUAGGCUUUGCUUGUGGUCGAAUAUCCAAGGAAAAUCCCUUCAUCUGAUUUUUCUUCAAACUUCCCAACUCGAUCAUUUGCAUUUUUCAAAAUAAAACAUUUACAUCCAAACACGUGAAAAUAUUAAACAAUGGGCUUCUUACCUUUGAAUAACUCGUAGGGAGUUUUUUUUUUCCAGAAUAGGCCUUAGAAAAACUCUAUUAAUGAUAUAACAUGUUGUAGAAACUGCUUCAGCCCAAAAACGUGAAGAGAUGUUUCUUUCAAUUAAAAGAGUUCUAGCCAUCUCUUGAAGCGAUCUAUUUUUUCUUUCCACGACUCCAUUUUGCUUUGGAGUGUAUGGAGAAGAGAACAUAUGCUGAAAACCAGAUUCAUCACAAAAUCUUGUAAAGUCUUGAUUUUCAAAUUCGCCUCCUUGAUCAGUUUGUAUACUUGAAAUAACAUACCAUUUUUCAUUUUGAACCUUUUUAGCAAACUUUUUGAAGUAAGAAAAGGUUUCAGACUUACUUACUAGGAAAUAUACCCAAGUAAAUCGUGAGUAGUCAUCCACAAUUACUAGGCAAUAUUUCUUACCUCCAAUGCUUUGAGUUCUGGUUGGUCCAAAGAGAUCCAUAUGCAGAAGUGGCAGUAUACGAUUAGUGGCAACUUGAUUUAUUGGUUUGAAUGAGUUUCUUACCUGUUUUCCCAACACACAUGGUGUACAUAGAUCAGUCUUUUGAAAUGACAAAUUGGGUAGACCACGAACAAGCUUCUUUACUGAAAUUUUAGCUAUUUGCUUCAUGUUGAUGUGCCCAAGUUUUUUGUGCCAUAAGUUUGCUUCUUCUUGAAUUGAGAUUAGACAUUGUACUUCAUCUAGUUUGACAUCCUAGAGGUAGAUAUUUCCAUGUCUUCGACCCGUGAAAGACUGAGAGGAAUCUUUACUGGUUCCUGAACAUAUUCCCUCUUGAAAGUUGAUUUUGAAGCCGGUGUCGCACAGCUGACUGAUACUAAGUAAAUUGUAGUUGAGUCCUUCCACUAAAGAAACAAUACUGAUCGUGAAACUUCCAAUCUUUAUAGUUCCGAAUCCCACAAUUCUUCCUUUGCUGUUUCCUCCAAAUGAAACUUUUCCACCAUUAACUUGAACAAGUUUUAUGAAGCAAUUUGAAUUUUCUGUCAUAUGCCUUGAGCAUCCACUAUCCAGGUACCAUUUAAUCUUUCUCUUGAUAGUGACCUGCAUUUAGAAAAGAGACUCAAGCUUUCUUUGGUAUCCAUAUUUUCUUGGGUCCAUUGGUGUUAGUAUGAUAUACUGUCUUUGCCCAUACCUUCUUAACAGGUUUCCAAACCAUAGAACAUUCUUUUUGAAAAUGAUCUGAACUAUUGCACUUAGAACAUUUAAGAGCACUGCGACCUACUGGUUUUACAAACACUUUUUGGAAAUGAUUUUGUAAGCAUUUCUCGUAGGUCUUUGCUUAAUUCUUUCUUUUACUUUAGAAAAAUCAAUUAGAGGAAUGGUUUCAGUAGUCAUUCCUAAACCUGAUUUAUUGAAGUAAGGUCUUUGUGCUGAAAGAAUUUUCUCAAGUUUCUCAGAUCCUAUAGAAAAUCUUUUAGAAAUAUUUGAGAUGUCAUUUUUCAAGAAUGCAUUUUCUUUUGAAAGAUUGUCUUCAUUUUCUUUCAAGGUAGAAACACUUUUGUCUAAACUUUUGACAUUUUCUUUCAAAACAUUUUCCUGUUGUUUUAGUGUAGAGUUUUCUCUUUUGAGUUCGGAAAUCCUUUUAAGAGAAGUCUUGAGACUAAGACACAAUUCAUCAAUGUAUCUAGAGACUUUAGUAGGGAUUUUCAAGUUACUUACCUCGAUUUCACUGUCUGAAUCUAAGUCUGUUUCGGAGUCUGAGUCUGAUUGUGCCAUGAGACAAAUGUUGGCAUAAUCAUCAUCACUUUCUUCACAUUCUGUAUUACUCCAAGUUUCUGCUUUGAGUGCCUUUCGAUACUUCUCAGUUUUUCCUUUCUUUUUUCUCAGAAUGGGACAGUUGGGUCUGAUGUGUCCUUUUUUCUUACAUUCAAAACAGACUACAUCUCUAUUGGAUUCAUCAUCCUCAACAGUCUUACUCUGUUGCUUUUGAAAGCUCUAUUUCUUUGGAUUGAAUCUUCUUCCCUUUCUGUUUAGCUUUCUGAAUCUUCUUAUCAUGAGAGCAAGCUCUUCAUCAUCCAUAUCGUCUUCAGAAUCUGUGACAUCAGAAUCAUCAUUAGAUUUUAAUGCAAUGGAUUUCUUACCUUUAGGAUCUUCAUCUUCAUUGAUUCGCUCCACUUUAUAAGACUGAAGAGUCCCAACCAACUCAUCAACAGAGAGUGGCAUAAUUCUUUGUGUCUCCCUUAUUGAGGUCUUUAUGUGAUUCCAAUCCUUGGAGAGUCCACGCAGUAGCUUGUUUACUUUCAUGGGAUCAAAAAUUGGUUGACCUUGAUUUUCAAGACCAUUCACUAUCUCUGUAAAACGACUAAACAUGUCAGUGAUAGAUUCUCCUGUUUUCAUUUUGAAUGCUUCGUAUUGUCCGAGCAGAAUAUUGAUUCUGGUUUCUUUCACUCGGUCAGUUCCUUCAUAGGUGAUGUGUAAUCUAUCCCAGACUUCUUUAGCUGUAACACAAGAAGAUAUUCUGUUAUAUUCAGUAGGUGAUAAUGCACAAUAUAAAGAAUAAAUCGUUUUUGCAUCAAGAGCUUGUCUCUUGGUUAUCUCUUCUUGAGUCAUUUCUCUAGACUCAACAGUUUCUUUUCCUCUUUCUGAGACAGGUGCAGCUUUAGGAAUGAUUCCUUUGUCUACCACGUCCCAUUCCAGAGGAUUCUUUGAUCUUAGAAAUGCCUUCAUCUUGUUUUUCCAUAUAUUGUAUUCUUUUCCAUCAAAGUAAGGCGGUCUUGUAUUGCUUUGCCCUUCAACCAGUCCUGGAGCCAACAUACUAGCCAUGAUCUUUAACUCUGAAGUAAAACACUUCAAUUCAAGUGAGUACUCAAGCUCUGAUACCAAUUGUGAAAGCUAGUAUGAGCACCUAGAGGGGGUGAAUAGGUGUAGAAACAAUUUUGCGAGAUAUGUGCAGUGCAAAUCAAUAAUAGAUUAUGAAAAAGGAAAUUCUCAAAACGAAUUACGAUCAAAGUAAAAGAGUGUAGAGAAGAGAAUAUGAACACAGAGAUUAUAGUGGUUCGGCUUAAUCCAAGCCUACGUCCACUCUUCCGCACUGACAGCCCACUGGCUGGAUUUCACUAUGAACAAAAGAGUUGUUACAGUUAGGCUCUUCCUUGAAUCCACAGUGUAGAGACUCUACUACACUUCCUCAAGGUCUUUCAAUGAUAUAGACUCUCUUUUGCGUACAAAAUUUCGCUCAGUAGUUUAAUUGACUAAGAACAAGGAGCUUCAGACUUUGGAAUUCUUCUAUCGCGCACACUCUUGAACAACUGGAACGUCUUCCUUAUAUACUCCUUUAUGCCAUCAUACCCGUUGGCACUUACCAAAGGAAUUCUUCCAAUCUACCCGUCGGACAGAAUCAAUUAGGAAGAUCUUCGAGCUAUUUAAGGAACAUGACGAUAGCCCAUCAAUCCUGCUCGCCCAUACAAUCAGGAUCUUGGUUUCUAUAAGUAGAACCUUCCAAGUAUACUUCGCCAAUCAACGAAUCCACGAUUCCCAAAUCAAUCUUGAUCAAAAUCAAGGAUUCCGACAUGCUAUAUCCAACCAGAAGUUCUACUCCAGUCGAUAAAGUUAAAUCCUUGACGAAACAUCCAGUUCUGGAUAAUCUUCUUCGACGGUCUAGAAACUGUCAAUGGGGAUAGACUUUGAGUCUUGAGUUUGGCAGUCCGGAGGUCUUUAGACUUUGAUGGAAGAGUCUGCAAGUCUUCAGACUAGACUGAUGGAAAUGUUUUGUCAGCUUCAAAACACUCAAGGAAGUUUUCUCCAAUAGAUACCUCAUAAUCCAUUUCACUGCAUUCCAGUGCUCUCUGCCUGGAUUUGACAAAUAGCGACUAACAACACCAACUGCAUGCGCCAAGUCUGGGCGUGUACAUACCAUUGCAUACAUUAAGCUUCCUAUAGCUGAAGCAUAUGGAACACUUUCCAUAUCUUUCUUCUCUUUAUCAGUCAUAGGACUUUGCUUCAUAUUUAACUUAAAGUGAGCAGCAAGAAGAGUACUAACCACUUUAGCAUUGUCCAUGUAAAAUUUCUGAAGGAUCUUCUCGAUAUAUUUCUCUUGCGACAAAAACAACUUCUUAGCAUCUCUGUCUCGGGUAAUUCUAAUGCCAAGAAUUUGCUUCGCCGAGCCCAAGUCUUUCAUGGCAAAAGACUUGCUCAAUUGUUUUUUCAAUAAUUCAAUUCUUGAAGCAUUCCUGCCAACAAUCAGCAUAUCAUCAACAUAAAGCAAGAGAAUAAUAAAGUCAUCAUCAGAAAGUUUUUGGACAAACAAACAGUUAUUCGAGGAAGUCUUCUUAUAGCCCUGUUCUGUCAUAACUGACGCAAACUUUUUGUACCACUGCCUCGGUGCUUGUUUUAGGCCAUAGAGACUUUUCUUUAAUUUUCACACAUAAUCCUCUUUCCCUUUCACUUUGAAACCCUCAGGUUGUUCCAUGUAUAUCUCUUCCUCCAAGUCACCAUGUAGGAAGGCUGUUUUAACAUCCAUUUGCUCAAUUUCCAAAUCUAGGGUAUCUGCCAAGCCUAGUACCACACGGAUAGAAGACAUUUUCACUACCAGAGAAAAUAUAUCAUCAAAAUCAAUACCCUUUCUCUGAUCGAAUCCCUUAACAACUAAUCUAGCUUUGUACCAUGGUUGUGAAGUAUGUUCAUCUUACUUCAACCUAUAUACCCACUUGUUCUUCAAAGCUCUUUUACCUUUAGGUAACUUCACCAACUCAAAAGUAUGAUUAUCAUAAAGUGACUGCAUCUCAUCUCGCAUAGGAUCGAACCAAUUGCUUUUGUACUCAUCUUCUAUUGCUUUUGCAUAACACUCUGGUUCACCUGCAUCAGUCAAUAAUGCAUACUCAUCUUCAGAAUACUUGGUGGAAGGUCGUCGGUCUCUAACGGAUCUCCGGACUAGAACAUCCAGUGGAACAUCUAAUUGAGCCUCUGGUUCAGGAAUAAUAUUAUCUAUUUCAACAUGUUAAGGAACAUGUGCGUUAUUUGGAAUAUUGACUUCCUGUUGCUCUUCAUCAACUUGUGUAGGAAUAUUUGUAAGAUGAACUGGAUCCAAAUCAACCAGAUUAUCACUAACCUGUGAUGCUGAAAUCAUCUCUACUUUCUUAAUAUCCUCUAUUGUUUGAUCUUCCAUAAACACAAUGUCUCUGCUUCUUACAAUUUUUUUUUUCAACUGGAUCAUAAAAUUUGUAGCCAAGCAUAUCAUGUCCAUAACCGAUAAAUAUGCACUGUCGUGUUUUCACAUCAAGUUUAGACCUCUCAUCUUUGGGAAUAUGCACAAAUGCUUUGCACCCAAAGACACGCAAAUAAUCAUAAGAAACAUUUUUGUCUGUCCAAACUUUAUUAGGAAUAUCAAACUCUAAUGGAAUGCAUGGAGUAAGAUUUAAUACAUGCACAACUGUACUUAAAGCCUAACCCCAAAAUGAUCCAGGUAGCUUUGACUGUGAAAGUAAGCAUCUUACCCUUUCAACUAGUGUUCUAUUCAUUCUCUUAGCUAAGCCAUUUAACUAAGGCAUCUUAGGAGGUGUUUUUUUAAUGUCGAAUACCUUGUUGUCUGCAAUAUUCAUCAAAAGGUCUAAUAUACUCUCCCCCGUUAUCAGUUCUGAUACAUUUCAAUUUCUUUCCAGUCUAUCUCUCAACUGAAGCCUGAAAUUGCUUAAAAGCAUCUAACACUUGAUAUUUAGUUUUCAAGGGAUGAAUCCAAAUUUUCCUUGAAAAAUCAUCUAUGAAGGUAACAAAAUAAAGAGAGCCACCAAGUGAUUUUGUUUUUAUAGGACCGCAAACAUUCGAAUGCACUAAAUCCAGUGUACUUGACUUUCUUGAAGGGGGGAGCUUUUAAAUGCAACUCGGUUAUGUUUUCCUGCUAAACAGUGAGCACACUUCUUUAGCGUUGAACUUUUUCAAUCCUGAAAGGAGCUUCUUCUUGGUCAAUAUUGACAAACCCUUCUUACUGAUAUGACCGAGCCUCUUAUGCCAUAAUUCAACUGCAUCUUCGUUGUCUACUGCAUUAAUUUUGUCUGUGGACAACUUUGCUUGCAUAAUGUAUAACGAAGAAUAUUUUUCACCUCUAGCCACAACAAGAAAACCUUUGGUGAGCUUCCAUUGACUAUUGCUGAAGAAGCUGCAAUACCCCUCAUCAUCCAACUUGCCUGUAGAAAUCAAAUUCAAGCGGAUAUCAGGUAUAUGUUAAACAUUAUUCAAUACUAACCUUGUGCCAUUGCUGGUUUCUAGGCACACAUCACCGAUGUCUACAGCUUGAGCUAGUCCAUUGUUUCCCAUCUUCACAGAUCCGAAGUCACCUGACCUGUAUGAUGUAAAGAAAUCUCUACGAAACGUAGCAUGAACGGAUACACCACUAUCAAUUACCCAACUAGUCUCAUGAGAUACAAAAUUCACCACAUCACCAUAAAAAAUAAUGAGAAAGUCUUCUUUAAGUGCAGCGACACAAUUGUCAUCACUGUCAUUAUCACUUUUCUUCUCUUUACCUUUCUCCUUUUGUUUCUCCCUUUUUAACCGGCGACAAAACCUCUAAAUAUGUCCCUUCUCAUGACAAUAAUGGCACUCAACGUUAGCAAAUUUAUUAUACUGACACUCAACAUUAGCAAAUUUAUUAUACUUACCUCUGCUUUUCUUUCGACUUUUAUCUCUAUUUCUUGGACCUCGAGACUCACUUCUUCCCCUUUUCUCAACAACCAAGGCAUCAGAAUGUGAAGAAGAUAAUCCUUGUGUCUUCCUUCUCAUCUCUUCAUUCAAAAUACUACUCUUGGCCAAAUCCACGGUAAUCGUACCAUCUGGGGCAGAAUUAGACAAAGAUGUUCAAAACGUCUCCCAAGAGUCCGGCAAAGUACCAAGCAACCAUAAUACUUGUAUCUUAUCAUCAAACUUGAUUCCUAUCGCAGCCAACUGAUUUAUAAUUUCUUGAAAAUAAUUUAAAUGAUUAGUCAAACGAGUACCAUCUUGAUAUCUCAGAGCCAUCAUUUGUUUGAUCAAAAAUAACUAAUUAUUCCCAGUCAUUCGAGUAUAUAAUUGUUCGAGCUUAUCCCAUAAAUUGCAUGCAUGCGUUUCCUCAAUAAUAUGGUUCAAAACAUUAUCAUCCACCCAUUGCCUAAUAUAACCACACACUUGACGAUGAAAUGUAGACCAUUCAGCAUCAGUUUUAUUCUCUGGUUUCUCCUCGACAAAUACGGGCAAAUAAAAAUCUUUCACAUAUAAAAUGUCUUCCAUCUUCCCUUUCCAAAUAUGAUAAUUUGAACCAUUCAGAGUAACCAUUCUACUCGUGUUCGUUUCCAUUAUUUAACACAAUGUAGAAAAAUCAAGCAAUAACCAGAUGCUGUGAUACCACUCUGAAGGGAGAAUAGUAACAAUUCGAACAAUAUCGAAUUAACGCAGCAGAAUAAAAUAAUCUCACCUCUUGUGUAAACCUAAUAGGAAUUGAUAUGGUAGAGUAAAAUAAAUACCAAUCAUGCGAACACAAGACAAUUUUUUACGUGGAAAACCUCCUCGAUGUGAGGAGAUAAAAAAUCACGGGACCGGAGUCCAUCCGAAAUUCUUCACUACCAACAAAAUUGUUCUUCUCUAGCAAAUACUAGCGGUACAUAGCAGCAAAUACCUCAAGACAUAAUUCUUGGCAAUGCACAUGAAUUUCACAAGAGAUCAAGAAUAAAUCUGACUAAAAACGCAGGUUUUGAUCAAUCCAUGAAAAACCUGAUGUAGGGAGCUUCAAACGAAAAUCAAACCGUUCAGAUUCGAUAAAAUUGCGCCACGAACAUGCUGACAAAAUUUCAGCUCAAUCGGACCAUGAAUCGACCUCUGACGCCGACUUGAUGUAAAUCAUAUAUUGCCCCAAACCCCAGAUUUUCUGCUUUAUCUUUUUCUCUUAUUACUAUUUCCUUUUGCAGCUAUCACUUUAUAUAGAUAGUGAGAAACCAUAUUUCCUCAUAUAACUUAUCAUAUGGGCUUAAGCCCCUUUUGGGCUUACAACUCAUUGGGCCUCCUCCACAUAAGAGUGAACCUAGCUAACAAUUACGUCCAUGUUGUUGCAGAUAGACAUGAGCAUUGGAACAGAAGCAAGGGUGCCGAUCAUCUUAUGUUUUCUUGCCAUGAUUGGGUAAGUAUAUUUCGUAAUUACGCUCCAGAAAUUUUUCCCAAAUUGUACAGGAGAUGGAAGGAUUAUGUGUUCAGUGCCCAAUUAAACUCGUCGAAUCCGAUGAGAAUUCAUUGCAAGUAGAUUGAGAUUCUGCAGAAAACGAAGGUCGGGAAGUUAGAUUGGUUCUACUUGUGUCUUUAUAUCUGAGGUCGGCAAGCGGAUGGAAUAUUAUACGAAAGUUUUCAGACGAACUUAUAUGGUGUGAGCUGUUUCAAAUAUUAAAACACAUAUUUAUUUUGAACUUUUAGAAUAAUUAGCAAUCUCAUAAAAUGUCAUAUGACAUCAAAACAAGUGUCAAGAAUUCGAAUCAAGAUAUUCUAUUUUAUUUUUCAACUGCUUAUUAUUUAUAGUAGGGAUAAGUGCUGCAGAAGUCCUAAAACUUGUCGCGAAAAUGCAUUUGAGUCCUAAAACUUGCAAAAAGUGCAAAUAAGUCCUAAAACUUGUCAAAAUAUUUCAUUUGAGUCCUAAAACCGACGCCGUUAGCCUUUUCCGUUAAAAAUGCUGACGUGGCAUUUUAAAUAAUUUUUUAUUUUCUGCGUGCAUUUUUUUAAUUAUUUUUUAUUCAUUUUAAACAAAAUAUAUUUAAAAACUAAAAAAAUUAAAUUUAUUCAUUUUAUCUUAUUUUCACCAAAAACUAAAAGGAAAAGUUAAAAUUUUAUUUUUAAAAAUUAUUUAAAAAAAACAACAACAGCUCCUCUCCCUUGCUGUUGCCCCCACCCAUCGCCGGUGGGGCUGAGCGACGAUCGCCGGCCUUGGGCGGGGGUGGUCGGCCCUUGCCAGCCCCAGAAGAGGGCUGGCGACUGUCGCCCGCCCUGGGCGAGCGAGCCUCGCCAGCUCCAAGCGAGGGUCGAUGANNNNNNNNNNNNNNNNNNNNNNNNNNNNNNNNNNNNNNNNNNNNNNNNNNNNNNNNNNNNNNNNNNNNNNNNNNNNNNNNNNNNNNNNNNNNNNNNNNNNUUAGAGAGCUGCCACUCAAAUAAUAAUCACAUAAACUCAUCAUGUGAAAAAUAUGGUGGACAAAAUCAAUUACAAUAUUUUUCAAAAGGUACAUAAAAAGCUUUUUUCUGUGAAAUUCACUACUUAUGACACGAAAAAGGAUCACUAUUCCACCCACUAUUUUUAACAGAAAUUUCUGACUAAUUGUUUGAUCCUUUUUCAUGUUCAUUUAGGGUCCUGACGUUUCAUCAGCGGACCCCGAGUUCUUCAAGAACUUCAUCAGAGUCUCCAUGGCCGACAUCUAUUUAAGCCACAGCGAGCUCGGCCUGCCUCGCUUAGGUCUUGACCCUCGCAACCGCACAAUCCUCGCCUUUUUUGCUGGUGGAGCUCACGGUCACAUCCAAGAGCUCUUGCUGGAGCACUGGAAGGACAAGAAUGAAAGAAAGUAAAAGGAAAAGGAAGGCAAGGAGAACGAAGCUGGAGGCGUGAAGAAUUUUUGUAUAUUCUCUUGUAUGCUUUGUAAAUGUACAGACUCCCAAAGAUAUAAGACUAGGUUUGUACAAUUAAUGGAAAUAAAUAAUUCUAUGUAUCAAUCUAUAUCAAUCUAGAUAUAACAAUAUAACUUCGUUGGUCUUUGCACUUGUACUCCGAGGUCCUUAAGGGUGCGUUUGGGAACCACUUCCCAAAGCCCCUUUGAAGCCUGAAGAUACUUGGGCAAAUGCUAGCCCGUUUGGCAAAAAAUUUUGAGCCCCCAUUCCCUAAAAGCCAUCAUUGUGAAGCCGAAAGCCCAAGGCAGGUGAGGACCUGCCUUGGGCUUUCAGCUUUUUCGGCAUGCCCACACGGGCACUGUUCAUAAUUUUUUUUUCCUGAAAUUGUCCUCACGAAUUUUUUGUUUUUCCGGUUCUUGCCCUUGUGUCACAAUUGUUCAUCUUCUCCGGGGGGUUCGGCUCUGGUUGACAGCAAGCGGCCGGGGACUGCUAGAGGGACGCCGACGAUCAUCGGGGGGUGGCGCGACUGACGCCGGAGGUGGCGCGACCGAGGGAUGGGUCGCUGCAACCCAGAUCUGGGGCGGCAGGCGGUCUUCUUCUUCCGCGAGCGGUCGCCGGCGAUCGUCGCCCAGACGAUCGACACCGGGGGGUGGCGCGACCGCCGCGACCCACGGCGAGGUUUGGGUCACCGCGACCCAGAUCUGGGGCGGCAGGGUCGCGGGAGGACCUUGCCUCCCCCGAUCUGGGUCGCGCGACCUCGCGGCACCCAGAUCUGGGUCGCGGUGGCGUCGCGCGACCUCCCGCGACCUCGCCGCCCCAGAUCCGGGGCGGCGAGGUUGCGCGACCCUGCCGCGACCCAGAUCCGGGGCGGCGAGGUCCUCCCGUGACCUCGCUACCCCAGAUCCGGCGUCGCCAGAGGUCGCCAGAGGUCGCUGGCGGCCACUGCCCUUUGGUCAAUUUUUUUUAAUUUUUCUUUUCAUAAUUUUUUUUUACCACAAACAUCCUUUGUAAAUGUAAUUCCCCAAACGCUAUUUUGCUCAAAAUACUUACAAAGAGCUUUCAAAGUACAAUUUACCAAACACGGUUGCAUUUUGGAAAACACCUUAACUCAAAGGUAUUUGCAUUUUCCUAAAAACUUUCCCCAAAAGUGGUUCCCAAACGCACCCUAAGUAACCCUUGUAUCCACACUAUCUGACAAGUGGCUUUAGCCAUAGCUCGAUACUCUGCUUCGGCUGAAGACAACGAUACAAUAGGCUGCUUCUUGGUCUUCCAUGAGAGGAGUGACUCUCCCAAUUUGACGCAAUAUCCAGUGACCGAUUUUCGGCUUAUAGGACAUAUAGCAUAAUCAGCAUCAUAAUAUGCCGUCAUCUUCAUGUCACAUAGUUUAGAUAGAAGUAUUCCCAGUCCUAGACAUUUCUUUAAAUACUUCACGACUUUCAAGGCAGCAUUCAAAUGAGACUGCUUUGGAUUGUGCAUGAACUAGCUAAGUGUCUAUACUGCAUAGGAGAUAUUGGGUCUAGUCAUAGUCAGGAAUUUGAGCUUUCCGACAAGUCUUUAAUACCCUGAUGGAUCUUUGAGUAUGGGAUCAUCAUUUUGAGAUAUGCCCUUAUCAUAUUCUGUAGUAGUCAAUUUAGUGUUCUGCUCAAUGGGAAUUACGGCUGGCCUGCAUCUUGAUAAACCUGCUUCUGAUAUGAUUUCUAACACAAACUUUUGCUAACUAAGGGAAAUUCCUUGAUCAGAUCGAGCAAUUUCAAUUCCAAGGAAGUAUUUACGUGCUCCUAAGUCUUUAAUGUGGAAGGUGGCAUGUAAAUAUUCCUUGAAGUUGUCUAUAGUAGUUUUAUCAUUUCCCAUAACAAGAAUGUCAUUGACAUAUAUCAUCAAAUAAAUAGAUGACAUACCUUUAGUUCGUGUGAUAAAGAAUAGUCAUGUUUAGACUGUUGGAAGCCUGUUGUUGCAAGAGCAUUUGCAAAUUUGGUGUACCAUUGUCUGGAUGCUUGCUUCAAUACAUAAAGGGAUUUACGGAGACGACAUACUCUAUUCUCCCCCUGUCUCCGUAAGCCUUGAGGGAUAUCCAUAUAAAUUUCUUCAUCUAGAUCACCAUGUAAGAAGGCAUUGUGCAUGCCCAUUUGAUGUAGAGUUCAAUCAUUAAUGGCGACAACAGUUAAAAAGGAACAAACUGUGACAUCUGUGGCAACCGGAGAGAAUGUCUCGUGAUAGUUAAAACCUUCUCUUUGUGUGAAUCCCUUAGCUACCAAACAUGCCUUAUAUCAUUCAAUGGAGCCAUCAGCACGGUACUUUAUCUUGUAGACCCAUUUGCAGCCAAUUGGCUUACGAUCAUAUGGGAGUGGAACAAGAUCCCAUGUUUUAUUAUCAAUUAGUGCCUGAAGUGCUGCCUUCAUGGCCUGUUGCCAUUUUGGAUCAAUAGACGCCUCAUUGUAACUAGAUGGUUCCUUAUCUUCUGAUAGGUGACUAAUACAACAUCUAUGUUCCUGUGAUAAUCUAUGGAAGGAAACAUAGGAUGAAAUUGGAUAUUGAGUACCUGGAGAAUUGUGAGUAGCACAGAUAUAAUCUUUAGUCCAGGUUGGAGGUCAUGUGGCGUGGCCGGAACGCCUUGGAUGAUUGAUUUCCGUAGAGGAAAUUGUCUCACUAGGGGGCGGCAAUGCAAUAUCAUGGUCUUCCUCAAUAGCAAUAGGUUCUUCGAGUUUGGUUUCUAAAACAUCUUCUGAGCAAUUGGGAUUCUCAGCUGAAGUUGAUGUUGUUGCCGGGAUAAAUGAAGGAGUAGGAUGAACAUUCCUCGACUCUGCUAGUGGUAUGUAAGUGGAACCUUGAGGUAGUACUUCAUCAAAAAAGAGGCCAUGAGAAGAGGAUGUUAUCCUUGUAUUUUCAUCUAGAGACAUCUUUUUAGAGAAAGGAAAAAUGUCUUCAUGAAAGAUGACAUCACGACUUACAAGGAAUUCCUUUGUGGAAAUGUCAAGAACCCGAUACCCUUUUUGUAAAUUGGGAUAUCCCAUGAAAAUGCAUCGCCGAGCACGUGGACUCAACUUGUCUCGAGGACCCACUAUUUCGACAUAGCAUAGACAUCCAAAGACUUUGAGAUGCUGCAGCUCCGGCUUCUUCCGAAAUAGCAAUUCAAAUGGAGUUUUUCCUUUAAGUGUCCGAGUGGGCAUGUGGUUGAUUAUAUAAGCCACUGUGACCACACAAUCACCCCAAUAAUCAUCUGGAAUUGAUGCUUGGAACUUCAAGGCUCGUGCGACUUCCAAUAGGUGACGAUGCUUUCGUUCGACCACUCCAUUUUGUUGUGGUGAAUAAACACAUGAGCUCUCAUGUUGUAUGCCAUGUGUAUUAAAUAGUAAGGAGCAAUCAUGGCUGAAGAAUUCCCUUCCAUUAUCAGUACGGAUCCGUUGAAUGGAUUUUCCAAACUGAUUCUUGGAUAGUGCUAGAAAGCUUUUUAAAUUAGAAUAAGCCUGAUUCUUAGACUGCAUCAAGAAAAUCUACGUCGCACGAGAAUAAUAAUCUACUAUGGUGAGAAAAUAACGAGACCCAUUAUAAUUUAUUGUAUGAUAAGGUCCCCAAAUAUCCACAUGAAUCAAGGAAAAAAUCUCACUAGCUCGGGAGCUACUAGACGGAAAGGGCGUACGAGAUUGUUUGGCAAGGGGACAUAUGGGACAUUGUGGACAAGGAAAAGAGGCACCGUGGCCCAAUCUCAAAUGCAUAAUGAAAUUUUUAUCAUCGGUUGUUAAGUUACACAAUGAUGAUUUAUUCAAGGAAUUGCAGGAAAAAUUGAAAUUACUUGGAAAACUUGUCCAGAAAAAAAGUCCUUCAUAGAGACUACCCAAGUCCAUCAGUUUCCCAGUCAAAAGGUCCUGAAAUAAACAGGUGUCAGCAUUGAAAACUACCUAGCAUGAAUUUUCUUGGCAGGCUUUUGACAUAGAAAUCAAAUUAAAUUGGAAUUCUGGGACAUAGAGAACAUUUCGAAGAAUGAUAUGGGGACUGAGAUUGACUGUUCCCGUCACAUUGACGUGAGUAACAUUUCCAUUGGGUAAUUGUAUAGAAAUAGGAAAAUUCAAUUUGUCAUUUAUACUCGAGAAAAAUCCCUUGUCACAUAUAAUAUGAUCGCUUGCCCCUAAAUCAAUUAUCCAUGCCUUUCUGGAGAUAGAAUUAAUCAAGCAAUGGGUAAAUUCAAUCUGUUAUUUAUACUCGAGAAAAAUCCCUUCUCACAUAUAAUAUGAUCGCUUGCCUCUGAAUCAAUUAUCCAUGCCUUUUAUGGAGAUAGAAUUAGUAAUACCUGAGAAACUCCCUCCUUUGUUUGAAGUAUCCAAUUUUUGCAGUGCCUGCAUCAGUUGAUGAUACUGACCAUAUGAAAUGGGCUGUUCAGUAUUUUACCAAUCAGUCUAGUAAUUUGGUAAGCUGCUGAAAUUUUUUUCUCCUUUUCACUGGGUUUUCCAUGCAGUUUCCAGCAAUUGUCAAUCACAUGGUUAGUACGUUUGCAACAUCCGCAAAAUAAUUUACCCUUUCCUUUGAAAUGUUUUUGCAAAAUUCCUUGAUGAUGUGCCAAAGAUCUGGCCGUCCAUCCCUUUAAGCGUGGGCUCCUGUCCGCCGUUCGAUUCAAUCACAAGAUCGGACCCUUGCGAAUCGUUUGAUCCUUACAUCCCAUAUGGACCGUCCAUCCAAUCCCUUUUAAAGGCUCGUGACUCCUCUUCUCCGAACCCUAAUGUUGCUCGCCUCUCUUUCUCUCGAUUGAGGGUUAGGGUCUUGGUGGCCGCGUCUCGCCGCUCACCGCGGGCUGCAAGGGUGAUGCUCUUGCUACUCCUGGUGUGUUCUGGCACUGCGAGUCGCUAACUCUUCUCCUGUACAGCCAAUUGAAAAAUCCGUCCGAUUGGUGGCAUGGGAUCCAUUGCGAGGAUUUGUGAACGAAAGCCGAGGUAUGUUUCUUCAAAAUAAGGAGAAAGCGUGUAGCUUUUUUCCUGUCUUUGAUGGAUCUAUACUGCUUGAUUGUGGAUUCUAGGCCCUCAAGCUUUUCCUCAACCGCUUCGAGGUUAUUCCACAGAGACGAGAGCUUGUUGAAGCAGGCUGUGACCGUCAUGUUCCCUUGCUUCAACUCGCUGAGUUCCUGCAUUAAGGUAAAGAUUUUAGCCUGAUCUAAUUUCCUGUACAUCUCUUUGAUGUUUUCCCACAUGUUUUUAGCGUCUUCUGUUGGUGGGAGUCUAGCCACGACCUCUGGGGAGAUGCAAUUGUUGAUCCAAGUUUGGACCAGGCAGUUGCUCUUCCUCCAGAGUCGGGCUAGGCAUUCAUUGAUGGGUACUAGAAUGGUUCUGACGAGGAAACCAUCUUUGUCUUUCGUUGCCAGGGCACGUCGGAAUUCCUGUGACUACCUCAUAUAAUUCUCUGGCCCGGUCAACUGCUGGCUGAUUAGCCAUAGUUCUGGUCUAUCGGCAGUGGAAACGAACAGUGGGUUGCUGGGUUCUAGUUGUCCAGUGAGUGCCGCCGCUAGAAACAGUAGAAAACCGAGUGCGAGGUUCAAGUAGGUAUUCGUUCCUAGACCCGAUUCGCUUGACUCGAUCGGGUAACCCGCAUUAGAAAAUCCCGGGUAGGGAUUUGUUCCUAUACCCGGUUCACCUGACCCGCUUGUCCGCUCCAAUCCGGUGGCUGGGCUUGCCCCAUUCGUGGCUGGCGGGCUCCCAUCGGCUUGGAUGUAGCUCUGGUGGCCCACAUGUGCAGGUGAUGACGAAUUUGGGCUUGGCCCAAAAUAAAUUGGAUAGGGAAUCCAUUGGUAAGGUUGGCUCAUCAAGGGUUACCCCAAGUUGAACUGAAUUUGCGUGGGCCGCCACUGUAUCGGUUGGGCUUGAGUCGGCUGUUGCUCCACAAUCGAAAGUGUCGUAGGGUGAUUCUGAGCCUGCGAGUGUUGAGGUGUAGCUUCUGCAGUUGAUUGAUUACCGGUGGCAGAGGCGCUGUCUUGCGGGGAGGCCAUGGUAAGUAAAAAAAUUCCUUCCUUUUCAGAUUGAUCCUAAUGCCGAAUGUAAUCUCUUUCGUAGGUUGAAGAUUUUUCUAGCAGAAGGUCGAGGCGGAAGCAAUUCAGAAGCCUGGAGGCUUUAAUACCAUGAAAGAAAGUAAAAGGAAAAGGAAGGAAAGGAGAAUGAAGCUGGAGGCUUGAAGAAUUUUUGUAUAAUCUCUUGUAUGCUUUGUAAAUGUACAGACUCCCAAAGAUAUAAGACUAGGUUUGUACAAUUAAUGGAAUUAAAGAAUUCUAUGUAUCAAUCUAGAUCUAAAUCUAAUCCUUAAUUGAUAUAUACAUAAUCGUAAUCAAAUCAAAUCAAAAUCUUCCAAGCCAAAUGCCGCAUAUCUUCUAACAGAGAACGCCGACGUCCAAGUGCACGAGUAUCUCACCAAGGGCCAGAACUACACUCAGCUGAUGGGGAGGAGCAGGUACUGCCUGUGCCCGAGCGGGUUCGAAGUUGCGACCCCAAGGAUCGUGGAAGCGAUCUAUGCGGAGUGCGUCCCGGUGAUCAUAAGCGGUCGUCGACUUCGGCCCGGCCCUCGACGACAAGCGGUCGUCGCUGCUGCUGCAGGAGCGCGGCCGGCGGCCGGUUCAGCCCCACCCGCUACUUCGUCGAGGAGGUCAUUACCAGCUUCGAUGAGACCGAUCUCUACCGCUCCUGGGUCAAGGUAAGUUAGAUCGAGAGCGCGCCGGCGGGGCCGUUUCGUCGACUUGCGGAGCGUGAUUUGUCUGAUGCGGAGUUUUUGCUCUGUGGUUUGGGGAUUUGUGCAGGCCCAGGCGACGAGGAGCCCGCAGGAGAGGAACACGCGGCUGGAGAACAUGUGCUGGAGGAUUUGGAACCUGGCGCGGCAGAAGAAGCAGGUCUUUGCUCGUGUUGUGUGAUUUCGUGCUCUGUUCGUCGGGGGGGAAUCGAUUCCGGUUCGAUGUGGAUUUUCAGAGUUUCCGUCGUCGUCGUCGUCGUCCGAGUAUCUUGUUUACUUUCACUUUGAUUGAAAGUAGAUGGUGGUCGAUGUUAUCGCUUGUGAUUACGUGCUGCGGAUUUUUUUGGUUCAUCUGCAGGAGAAAGGACUUGGUUUGGGGAAUUUGGCGGUUGUUUUGAAUGGCUCUACUUGUCGGCUAAAGUUAGCUUAACUAGUUCUAUUCUUGUUGUUUUGGGAAUUGCUGGGGCCGGAAACUCAGUCUAGCUUGGGAUUUUAUCCGAAUAGUUUUGUUCUGUGCGAGUAUGUGGAGUUCAUUGUGUGAGUUAAAAGAGCAAGGCUUGGAAACUUUUCGUUUCCUGAAUUCUUCUGGCAAGAGGAUGGAAGCGAACCGUAUCCCAUAAGUAUUGGUUUUGAUAUUUUUCCCCCUCAAUUAAGAUGGGGGACGAGGAACAAUUGAGAAUUAUGAUUUUCUCUGUUUUCUUUAUGGUCCCUCUUGAAUACUGAUUCUUUUCAUUUCACUGGGCCGGGGUAUAAGCUCCCAUGAAGUUGAUAACUGUGAAAUAGCUGUAGAUAUUAAUUCAAGGUGAGUAGCUUAUAGAAGGAUGCUUCAUUUUUGUGGCCUUAAGGCUAUUUUCUCACUAGAAGACUGAUUUCUACUGGAAUUAAUUCAUUUAACUUGCAUUUGGCAUCUAUGAUUUCUAUGCAAUAGGCUGUUUUCUUUUAUAGUUCAUAUGGUUUUGUUUUGGAGGCGGGAUUCAUAACUGAUACUGUGAUAUUACUUUCUGCAAAUUGAGAGAACAUAAAUGUAUUUCUGUUCAGGCUUUAAGUAGACUAUACUGAUUUCAAUUUGUUGUGUCCAUCCUGGACUAGCUUGAAGGUGAAGAAGCCCAGAGAAAAGCUAAGCGUCGACUUGAACGUGAAAGGGGUCGUAGAGAAGCGACUGCGGACAUGUCUGAGGACUUAUCUGAGGGAGAAAAGGGUGAUGCAGUCAGCGAUAUAUCGACUCAUGGUGAUAGCAACAGAGGCUGAUUGCCUAGGAUAAGUUCUGUUGAUGCAAUGGAGACAUGGAUUGGUCAACAGAAGGGGAAGAAGCUUUACAUUGUAUUAAUAAGGCAUGUGCUGUUAUAUUCUGUUCUGUGCAACUCUGUCCAUUUGAAGUGCCGUCAAAGAAGAAAGUGGUCUACCCCUGCAUUCAUUAGUUCACUUAUGCUUUUAGAACUUGAUGAGACAAAUGUGGCCACAUACACAACUUGAUUUUCUUACAAUGCGACCAUGUUUGUCUGGACAAUGGAAAGAAACUUUUAUUAACUGUUAGUGUAAUGUAUAUGUUUCCAUUGAAUAUGAGAAUGUAUUUGGUUUAUUUUCUUAAUCACUGCUGUUGUCUGCAGUCUUCAUGGCCUUAUAUGGGGUGAAAACAUGGAGGUUGGCUGUGAGUCAGAUACUGGUGGUCAGGUAGAUUUGAGCUGUGAUCUCUGAUUUUCUUGUUUUGUCCGAGAAAGUAUCAUUAUCUUUUGACUUCAUAAAGGCUCUGAUAAUCCUUGCUUUGGGUACAUAUUUGGAAUGGUGAUUUUAUUCCUUAUUUCAAGCUGAAAAGUGGAAGACUCACUGUGGGUCAUCAACCCACAUCAUCUCUUUAGGUCAAGUAUGUCGUUGAACUUGCAAGGGCAUUAGGUUCAAUGCCAGGCAUUUAUCGAGUGGACUUGCUUAUUAGACAGAUAUCGUCACCAGACGUUGAUUGGAGUUAUGGCAAACCCACGGAGAUGUUGUCUCCAAGAAAUUCUGAUGUUUAUCGGACGACGAAAUGGGAGAGAGCAGUGGUUGCUUAUUUCGUCCGUUAUACCUUUUGGACCAAGAGAUAAGUAUAUUCCCAAAGGAACUUUUAUGGCCCCACAUCCCUGAAUUUGUUGACGGUGCACUCAGCCAUGUAAUACAAAUGUUAAAAGUCCUAGGAGAGCAAGUCGGCGGUGGCCAACCAGUGUGGC
rnacentral:lncRNA from 1 species